UUUUUAAUAUAUAAUAAACCAGCUUACAUUUAUUUUUUUUAAGGAGAAAUGUAAGGAUCCUUUUAAUAAAAAAAACCAUCAACAUUAAAAUGAUAGAAUUAGAAACGAAAAUCACAACAACAUUAUAAUUGCAUUCAGUUUCUACGUAUCCUCCUCCUCCUUGUUGCCUUUUGCUGCGUUCCCAACUUCUCCAGAAUCCAUCCGAUAAUUCCUGUGUUGAAGUUGAACCCGAGAACCAAUCCUGCCACAAGUCCGCCAACAUAGCCAAUCAGAAUGAUUUUCCAAUCAGAUGCGCCUGAAAACAGAGACUCCUCCGACCUUUCAGUAUGAUCUUCAAUUGUUGGAGGUUCACCACUCUCACAUUCUUUGGACAAAGGCCAUCCACAAAAUCCUGAGUUGCGGUCCAAAGAAGUGUUGUCAAAUGUAGCAAAUUGCUUUCCUUGUGGUAUAAGCCCUGUAAGGUAAUUGUCCGAGACAUUGAAGAAUGCGAGAAAUGUGAGCUGAACCAGUUGUUGAGGAAUCCGUCCUGAAAACUUGUUAUUUGAGAGAUCCAAUGAUUCCAAAUUUGUUAGAUUGCCCAAACAUGAUGGAAUACGGCCUUGGAGAUUAUUGUUCUGGAGGUUUAGAACUUGAAGUCCCUUUAAAUUCUCAAUCGUUGCUGAAAUCGCCCCAUCAAAACUAUUGUUUGAGAGAAUAAUGCCCGCGAGGAUAUCUGGAAUCUUGUUAUAUGUCAUCAUUCGCCCUUUGCUGUCCAUUGUCAAUGAUCAGUAGUCAUAAGUGCUAAGUAUAUCAUUGGACAAUUGUCCAUACAGACAAAGCACAUCUUGCAGAUAUCUUAGCUCACUUGCAUUGACAAUUUUCAUGGCAUUCCAACACAGGAAACUCUUUGAUGGAAGCUUUCCAGUAAAUCUGUUGUCAGAUAGGUCAAUAAUGCGGAAUUUAGAAAAUCCACAACCAGUUCUGGGUUCUUCUAUAAUGCCAUAAAAUAUGUUGGAUCGUAGGAUGACGACAUUCAAUUUUGGCAGACUUCCUAACCAAGAAGGAAAAGUGUCACUAAUCUGGUUGUUCCCAAGACCAAGAAAUUCCAACUUUGAACAGUUGAUCAAUGAUCUUGGAAUUCUUCCUUGAAACAGAUUAUGGCUUAAAUCCAUCACGCCUAAUCCACUUUCUUUAGUGAAUGUAUUUGGGAUGGUCCCAGAGAAGUUGUUCCCCUGCAAGUCGAGCACUAAAAGUUCAUUGCUGAAAUUGCCUAAACACUGAGGAAGCAAGCCACUUAAGUUAUUGUGAGACAAAACAAGGCUUUCACGUAUAUUCAAAUUGCAUAUCCACGAUGGAAUUUCCCCCCGUUAAGCUACUGCUAAAAGCUAGAUAGUUAACGGUUCCGGGGGGUGGAACUGCGAGUGGUCCUUGUAAAUUAUUAGAGCUAAGAUCAAAAGUCACCAAAUCACCGUUAUUCCCUGGAAGAAGAAUAGGAUGCUGAUCAAACCCGGUUAACAAGUUAUGCAAAAGGUUCAAGGCAUUGAGAUUAUGCAUAUUGGGGUCUAACAACCAUUUGGGUACUUUUCCCUCAAUUCUAUUGUCAGAAAGGUCCAGGACCACCAUAUCACGUUGGUUUUCCAAGAAAUGUGGAAAUUUAGUAAGAUUGCAUGAACGCAGUCCUAUAUAUUGAAUUUUCUGUGAAGUGGUAUUAGAAGUGGCUUUGGUGAGCACUGACAACCUAUUUAAUGAGAGACCUAAAACUAACUCUACCGUUCCUCCAUAAGAAUUUUGAGCCAUGUCAAGGACGACAAGUUCGGUAAGAUUCCGAAGUGAAGAUGUAAUUUGACCUGAAAAAUUACACUCAGACAUAUAUAUUGCUUCCAAUGACCUAAGAUUUCCAAUGGAACCAAGUCACCUGAAAAAUUAUUAAAUCCAAGAUACAAAAAUUGUAGCCGGGUGAAAUUACCAAUUGAAUGUGGAACUUUGCCCCAAAAACCACAUGACCUCAGAUCUAAUAGCUUCAAAGAACUAAAAUUUCCAGUCGACCAGGGAAACUCACCCAAAAAUUUAUUAAAUGAAAGGUCAAGUUUUUCCAAAGAAAAAAGAUUUCGAAUGGAAGUAGGCAACUCGCCAAAAAAUCCAUUUUGUGAAAGGUCAAGUUCUUUCAAAGAACCAAGAUUUCCUAUGGAAAUAGGCAACUCACCAAAAAAUCUAUUUUGUGAAAGGUCAAGUUCUUACAAAGAACUAAGAUUUCCAAUGGAAAUAGGCCACUCACUCGACAAAAAAUUUGCAGAGAGAUCUAGUUCUUUCAAUGAAUGAAGAUUACCAACAGAAAUAGGCAGCUCACCCUGUAAUUCAUUUAGUGAAAUGUCUAAAUGAAGGAGCUUUGAUAGAUUACCGAUCGAAGAUGGAAUUCUUCCUGAAAUUAGUAAAAAAAAAAAAAAGAACACAUUGCUUAAGUGGAAAAUAAAAAAUAAUAAUAAUUUUUACUAAUGAAUUUAACAUUGCAAUUGACAAUUUUCGAGUAAAAUAUAUAUAUUUAACAAUAACAUGCAUGUCUAUUAAUUAAGAAGAAAAUAUAUAAAAUUUAAUUACCUUGCAAUUCACAGUUUCGAAGAGAAACAAACGUCAAAGAAGAUAGAUUUCCGAUGUUAUGAGGUAUCAUUGAAUCAAUAAAAACAUCACCAAGGUCAAGUGUUUUUAGAUUACUUAACUUCUCGACUAAAUUUUCGAAACUGGGCUUCUGGAGUUCAACUCUACUACCAGGGACACCAAGUUGGAGAGCUUUAGAAUUUCUGAAGGUAUUUGACCAGAUAAAGAAGUUCUAGAGAGGUUCAAGUAUGAUAACCUGGAAAGGUUGAUGAUUUCUGGUGGGAUUUCGGAGGAAUUGAAGUCAUUCAAAGCAAGAUUAAGCCACUCGAGAUGGACAAGCUUGAAAAGGCAGCUGCUAGAGUCGAUAGAACCAAAAAGGCAGCUAUGGGAGAGGUCAAGCUUGAUGACAUGACCGGUGUUCUUAUUGCAAUGAACGUCGUCCCAAGAGCAGCAAUCAACGCUACCUUCUUCUGGCUUCCAUGAUGCCAUUGGAGGACGACAGUCAAAUUUCCAAGCAUAAAAAUCACCACUGAUGCGGCUUUCUUUGAAUUGCAACAAAGCAGAACGCUCAUCAUCAUGGCAGAGUGGCAGCAUAGAAGAAGCAAUGACGUUAGCAAUUGUAAAAUUAAAGAAAAAGAAGGGAAAAACUAACCGUAUGAAUAUUGUGAAUAAACAUAUGGACGAUAAGCCCAUAGUUUUCUCAAAAAUAAAAUUUGUUUAACUUUGUAGAUGUGAAGAAAUUUAAGGAUCUUUAGUUUGGACUCUUUUUUGUUUUUUUAAGUCGACAAAACUUAGUCUUAAUAAUAUUUAUUUUUUAUUAUUUGAUGUGAUGUCUUAAACUUUUACCAUUCCGUCACCACUGAAAAUACGUUUAUAGCAAACGUGAGGAUUAAUUAAUUAGCGAGUGGAGCUAUUGGCACCCUUACAUUAUUCUUACAAAACCCUACUUUAAAUAAAAUUACAAUUAAGGAUAAUUGAAAAUUAAACACAUAUAGUUUUUUUUUUCAAGCAAAUUACUUAAUUCAUAAUCAAUCUUUUUCAAAAAAAAAAUUCUAUAUGUUACUUCCUAUAUAACUAAAACAAAUUGUACAAAUUUAAAAUAAUCUAUUGUUCUCUUUUGAUUUCUUAUUGAUUAAAUAUUUUUAUACUUAAAAUUACUUUAAAAUUAUAAUUUGAAAUAUGUGUUAUUUCAACCAAUGAUUAACACUAAAAAAUUUAUCACCCAUAUAACUUUUUAAUUUGUGUGUAGAUUAAUAAUAAAAUUGAAAAUAAUUAAAAAAAUAACACAAUAAUACUUUGAGUUUUAACAAUAAAACAAAUCAAAUGAAAAUUGAAAAUUUAGAAAAGUAAAUCUAAAAAAAGGGACAUUUUCAGAAAUAAAGUGAAUAUAACUAAGAAGGGGGCUUUAUGAGGAGAUGAGAGGGGUGCCAAUAGGCCAACUCUUAAUUAGCACAGGGAAAAAAUAAAAAUGAGUAAAUGAGUAAUACAUUCAUUUUUAUUUUUUGUUUGAAAAAAUGAAAAACAUAAUUCCGAAGUGGUCUAGACCACUUGAAAUUUUUUAAAAAAUGAUAAAUAUUAUUUGGAUAUGAUAUCAACUCAAAAUUCAAACAAAUCUUACAAACAACUGGGGAAAAAUGGUGAAUUCCAUUCCUUAACCAUGGUUUAUUAAAUUUAAAAAAAAAACUAGUGAAAAAAGAUGAUAAUUAAAUUAAUUUUAAUGGAAACAAAGUCACAAUAGUAGAAGUGACAAUUUCGGCACGAUUAGCUAAUUAAUCAGACACAAACACAAGACAAAUUAAUGAAUUUGGAUUUACUAAAAUUGACAUGAUUUUCAAUUUAGAUCAAUUAAAAACCUUUCAUUUCGUAUCAUCGGACCCACUAUUAAUCAUCAUAAAUUAUAGUCAACAGACGAUCGAUUUCAGAGACUCAAGACUACUAAUGAUAAGCCUUUGCAUGCUCUGUACAUAUGCCGUGUCAGAAAAUUAUUUCUUACUUUUUAACAUAAGAAUGACGAAAGAGUGAUGUAUUUUUGGACACUGUUCUAAGUCAACUAAAAUUAAAAUUGGCCAUAUAUCAUUAUAAUGGAUAUCAAGAUAAUUUGAACUCUUAGUUGUUGGAUAAAAAAAUAUUGUUAUCUUUAUUUUUGUUCGCAGAAUGGUUAUUAGUAUAGUUCUUUUAAAGUUCUCAAAAUUUUCAUUUAAAAAAAAAUGUUCCUACAAUAUACCCAAAAAAAAAUAAAAAUUGAACCCCAAAAAGAGAAAACAAUUUUUUAAAAUAUAACACAGAUAAUAUCGGUGAGAGUAAUUUAGGUCAAUUCAAAAUCGCUAAUUCGGAGUCAGAUUCAUGUAUUAAUUGUAUCAUAAGUUACCAUCUCUGAGUACGACUAUGGCGUGACAGAGGCUAAUGGAAACUCCAGACUAGUGAGAGUCUAUCGUUACUGAAAAAUGCAUGAAUGGCAUGGAUGCAAAAGUAAUAAAAUUUGGAACUGAUGAUUAAGCCAUUGGCUAACAAAAAUUAACUUCUGAAGAGGCAAGGUCCCUCAAAAAAAAAAAAAAAAAUCUUUAAUUUGUUCCAUUGUUUGGUUUGACAAAAUAUAUCAUCUAAAAUUUGGAACUGAUGAUCUAUCGAAGUUGACCUGUGUUUAUAUUUCCUUUCAUUUUCUAUAAUUUGUCAUCUAAUGGGUCAAUGAAUUAAUUUUCUUCUUCUUCUUUUUUCUCCUUUCCGCACUUGAAUUUCCCUUCACGGCAAGUUGAGUAUUCUGCAUACUUUAGGGAAUGUCAUUGUCUUGAUGACUUUUCACUACAACUCUAAAAUUUUCCUCCCCACGGCAUUUGAAUUUUCUUUGGAAACGGCGCACUCGUUGGCUGAGUGAUGACACCUCCUCAACUUAAUUAUUCUCAAGGUCAAGAAUUCGAGUUUUACUCCUUUAGGUUUCUUAGCCGAGCUGCCAAUGCGCCAAUUUGUAAUGAGCUUUACCUGAUGGUUUCUGAGAUGGGCUCUAAUUAGUGCACCUAAAUUCCUCUUAUGUUAGAAACUAAAGUUUCUAAAAUUACCGUUCAACUUUUUAACUUGUUUAAAUUAUCCUCCAGCAGUGCCUUGAAUGAGAUCUUCUACUCCAUCAAUGCUUGUAUGUUGUGUUUCAUUUGGGGAUUAGAUUUCCCAGUACGUAGACAGAGAACUCUGACUCUGUUGUCCGAUGUCUCUGCAUUUUCUUCAACUCUCUACUCUGACUCUCAUCGUGUAAUUAAGGAGGAUUAAAGUAAAAGAAAAGGGUAGAACCAGUUCUCCCUAUUUGUUGCACUAGCUAUCAGAUUUCCAUAUUAUAGUAAUUAUUGGCCAAAAACAUUUUUUUUAUUUAAAUUGUCAAAAAGACUUGAAUGUUCUCAUCCUAAAAUAAGUUCCAUUAAAACAAUCAUAAUAUUUAUGGAAUGUUUAUAACUAGAAUGAGUGCUCCUACUUAAACUAGUAAAAUCUCUUGAACUAAUUUAAAUGUUCAAUCCUGCUCACAUGAGUGAGGAGAGGGUAUUUGUUUUAAAUUUUAUUGUAUUGAAUUUCGCACUUUCAAUACUUCAACGCAGUUAUUACGAUUUCAUCAAGUUUACGAUGUUAAUGAUCAAACAGUACACUUUCUAAACUAACUAAAAUAGUACCUAGCUAGCUAAUUAGAUAACGGAUUAAUGGAAUGGAUGUGGGUGUCUAGUUUUAGAGUUUGAAAUUUUUUUUAAAUUAAUCAAAGAAAACAUAUUUUUAAUUUUGAGUUAUUGUACUAUUAAUUAAUAAUUUAAUUAAAAAAUUUAUUUAUUUGCUAUCAUAAUAGUUGUUGAAAAUGCCUUUAAUAGGGGUUGGUUCAAUAUUUGGUUAGAGUCUGAUUUCAUGCUGGCGAUCCAACUUCUUCUUUUCAUCCCUCUUUGACCAUUUGAAAUGUACUUGCAUUGCAAAUGUCUGUAGUCAAACUUGGGUCUUCAAUGUACUCACAUCCCUUGGUAGGAUUUCUCUCCUUCAAAGAUUAGCGCUCUUUCUUCUCGAGAUGCAAAUGGCUUUUCAAAUUGUCAUUUUUGUUAAUGUAGGUCCUACAUUCAUGGUUUUCUGAAGAUUUUAUAUCAUCUUAGCUUUAUGCAUUUAAAGAGUAAGAUUUUAUAUCACCUUAGCUUUAUGCAUUUAAUGAGGGAUAGGGUUUACUAUAUGCCCUAAUUAAUUGUGUUAAGUCGAUUAUUUAUCGAGUUGACAUCUUAUGGCAAGUUUAGUAUUGAAAUUUUAUUUACUAAAUAUCAUGUAAUAGUGAAACAACCCGCCCCGAACCCCAGGGUGAGUCUAUCUAAUCUCAUCAAAACUGGAUUGAUAAUAAUGUAAUUGUUAAAGAUUCUGCCGAAAAUUCGGCAAAGUUUCCUUUAUAAAUAUAGCACUCCCAAUAUGAAAAUAUGUAAAACAAGCACUUCCAAAAUAAUUCAAUUUACAACAAACUCCAAUGAUCAACAUCCUCAACUAAAAUGCUGAGUUUUUAUCAAGACAUCUCCAAAAUCUCAAAGAAUAAUAUUAUAACUAAUAUUAAUAUACCUCAGUUUAUUUUUAAUCCUAAAAAAAUAAUAUAACAAAAUUAUACAAUCCCAAAAGAACGAGAUAACCAUCAUGUCCUAACAAAAAACAUCUAUAUCUUCUAACACCAUCACGUGGCCAAGACUCAAAAUAUAUUUACAGUCGUUAGGUCGGUCUAGUGUACUUGCAACCUCCUGGUGGGGGGGGGGGAAUAUAAUAAAAACGGGAUGAAUAUAAAACUCAGUGAGCUCAGUGAGUGGAUAGUAAUUUUUGAAAAUUAAUUAUUAUUUUAAAAGAAAUAAUCAUGUCAUUUCCAAACACAAUUUUAUUAAACCAUAUGUGAGAAACCGGUAAUAAAUCAUUUAACAUUUAAAUAGGAUUACUAACCAUGAAAAGCAUAUACAAUAUCGUACCUAAUAACCAUGGAAAUCAUAUCACGAUAUUAUAUAGAAUACACAUAUCUGAAAAAUCAUCACCAAACAAGUACCCAGGGGAAUAAUCUCGUCGUAUUUGGACCUCAAUGGACAGGCAAUGACGUACUAUCUAGGUACCGUCACGCCCCAGAGCUACACGGAUAGACAAGGAAAUACCAUCUCAUUUGUAUCAAAGGACAAAAGCAUGCAUAAUCUAGUCCCCAAAGGACAAAAGCACCCAAGCACACGGCCCAAAGUCUCUAUGUGUACUCAGACGAGCCCCAAAGGCCUGUAUCUCAUCUGUGUCAUAUGUAUCUCAAUAUCUGUCUGUAUCUCAUAUCUAUAUCUCUGUAACUAUCAUACCGCAUGCAUAUGCCCCCAAAAGGCAAAAGCGCCCAAAUACACGGCCCAAAGCCUCUAUGUGUGUUCAGACGGGCCCCAAAGGCCUCUCAUCUCAUUUGUAUCACUGUAUCUGGAGGGAAGGGUAUUGUCCAAUGAUUUUAAAAGCAAUCUCUAUACUCAUAUUCAUAUACAUUAUAAUCAUACUUUCAAUCAUAUCUUUCUUUUCAUUAUCACAUCUAAAUCCACUUUUCUCAUCUUUAAGAUACUCUCAUAUUUUAUUCAAGUCCGUACGGAAAACCAUUAACCAAACAUUUUAAUAUAAUGUUAAUGCGUGAAUAAAAUCCAUUUCGAGAAAAUCAUUAAAUCAGAAUAUUUAAAAUACUUAUUUCGCAAACAUGCUUUACUAUCAUAAUUAACUAUGAAAAUAGGUUUUGUAUAUUCCAUUCAUAGUGACGGUGUUCACGUCCGGUUAUCAUCCACGUUCGCAGACUGCUUCUUGCUUGCGGAUCCUCCUAAAUAAAGGAAACAACAUAAUUAUUUUUCAUAAAUUGGAAUUACGACUAAAUUUAUACAAUAAACUCAAAACGAACAUCUAUCCAUAAUUUACAACUCCCGUGUCGAUAGAAUUACCAAAAUACCCUUGAAUCCGUAAAUCAUUAAAAUACUCUGAAAUCGUAAAUCACCGAAUUACCCUCGGAAUCGUAAUUACACUCAAUCCUCAAUUUCAGAAAUUACUAAAAUAUCCACAAGCUCAUGAAUUACAAAAUCAAUGAAAUGACAUAAUUAUUUUCCAUAAAUCGGAAUUACGACUAAAUUUAUACAGUAAACUCGAAACGAACAUCUAUCCAUAAUUUACAACUCCCGUGUCGAUAGAAUUACCAAAAUACCCUCGAAUCUGUAAAUCAUUAAAAUACUCUGAAAUCGUAAAUCACUGAAUUACCCUCAGAAUUGUAAUUACACUCAAUCCUCAAUUUCAGUAAUUACUAAAACAUCCACAGGCUCAGGAAUUACAAAAUCACCCUCAAAAUGUGAAAUUACUGAAUUGCCCUUGCCGGUCAAUGGUGGCCAAAAUUCAAGCAACGGUGACCGGAAAGCUCAGGUUAGACACUUCUCGCUGAGCUAAGUUCAAUGAUACUGGCGGUGUGCUCCCACGCUUGGCGACGACACCGAAAUCUAGCUCGACAGCCCUGUAACUACAACGGCUGAACCACAGCAAAUCGACAGCUCUCGGUGGCUGUGGAUGGUUGGAAAAUCAAAAGGGAGUUGUGGGGAACAAAUCCAGCCAGUGGUGUCACCCAAAACCGCCGAAAAUCUCGACAGAGCAAAGUGGAAAAGUCGUGGGUUUUUCAAGCUUUGGUCGCCGACGCUCUGGUUGUUUUUCGAUAACGUGGACGGCUGGGGUAUGAUGGCCAGACUUCAAGCCUCAGAUUGGUACCAAGCUUGACCGGUGGAGUGGCCGAAAUCGUAAGAUAUGGCCGAGUCAAUUUCGGGUCAAACAGGUCGGGUUUUUGGGUCAGUUUUGACAGCUUCUCUCUCACUCUCUCACACGUGUAUAUGUUACCCCAUUUCCAGCUUCUUCAUUUACUUUUUAACCACCUCACCACUUUUUUUUCACAUAUGUUACAAUCCUCCCCACUUAUAAAAAUUUCGUCCUCGAAAUUUACGUACCUGAUAAGAAAAGAUAAGGAUAUUGAGCUCGCAUUAAGUCUUCCCAUUCCUAUGUAACCUUUUCCUUUGUAUGAUUCCUCCAUCGUACUUUUACUAGAGGAAUGGUCUUAGAAUGCGGAACUUGGUGUUUCUCUUCCAGUAUCUCCACUGGUUCCUUUUCGUAAGUCUAAUCUUCCUUCAACUGAAUUGGUUGCUUCGAUAACACAUGGUUCGGGUCAUAUAUGUACUUUCGGAACAUUGAGACAUGAAACACAUCGUGAACUCUGGAUAACUCUGGUGGUAGAGCUAAUCGAUAAGCUAACAGACUGAUGCGCUCGAUGAUCUCAUAAGGCUGAAUGUAACGUGGGCUUAGCAUCCCACGUUUCCCAAAUCAAAGCACCCCUUUCCAAGGAGAUAUCCGUAUGAAAACUCUAUGACCAACUUCAAAUUCAAGUUCCUGCGUACGCUUGUCUGCAUAACUCUUCUAUCUAUCUUGGGCCACUUUUAAUCUAUCCUGGAUCAAUUGUAUCUUGUCGUUAGUAUCCUGAACUAGUUCUGGGCCAAAUAACCUCCGCUCACCAACCUCAUCCCAAUAUACUGGAGUCCUACAUUUUCUACCAUACAAAGCCUCAUAUGGUGCCAUCUCGAUAUUAGCUUGAUAGCUGUUGUUAUAAGCAAACUCCAUCAAAGGUAAAUAACUGUCCUAAUUACCUUUAAACUCCAUAACUCAAGCUUGCAACAUAUCCUCUAGGAUUUAAAUAGUACGCUCUGACUAUCCAUCAGUCUGUGGAUGAAAAGUUGUACUGAAGUUCAACUUGGUGCCUAUAGCAUUUUGCAAACUGGUCCAGAACUUAGAAGUAAACCGGGAAUCUCUAUCUGAGACUAUGGACACGGGUACUCCAUGAAGUCGAACUAUCUCAGCCAUAUAAAUACUCCCUAACUUGUCCAUUGAAUAGGUGGUUUUGAAUGGUAAAAAGUGAGCAGAAUUUGUAAGUUGAUCAACAACCACCAAAAUACUAUCAUGUCCUUUCUGAGUACGUGGAAGUCCCGCUAUAAAAUCCAUAGUGAUGUGCUCCCAACUUCCACUCAGGAAUAGAAAGCGACUGAGAACACCUUGUAGGCCUUUGGUGUUCAGCUUUAAUCUGCUGACAGACUAAACAUCGAGAAAUAAAUUCUGCUAUCUCUCUCUUCGUGCCCUUCCACCAGAAAUGAUCCCUCAGGGUGUUGUACAUCUUCGCCCUACCAUGAUGCAUCGCAUAAGCCGAACAGUGAGCUUAUUCCAUAAUCUCUUCUUUUAGAUCCUUAAUAUCAGGUACACAGAGUCUAUUACCCAUGACUAAGACUUUGUCGUCUCUUACCGUAAAAUCGGUUCGUAAACGUUUUUGCACAUCCUCUUUCAACUUCAUUAAUUGUGGGUCCUGAGCUUGCAUUUGGUGAACUUUGUCAAUCAAAGUCGGCCUAACUCGAAAGUUAGCUAUUAAAGCUCCACAAUUGUCAGCGUUCAACUCGACUUCCAAAGAUCUCAACUCGAUCAAUAGAGGCAUAUAUGUCAUUCGUAAGUGAGCUAUAAAGCUGGAAGACUUUUUACUUAGUGCAUCAGCUACCACAUUCGCUUUGCCCGGAUGAUAAUCAAUAGUGCAAUCGUAGUCCUUAAUUAGCUCGAUCCACUCCUCUGUCUCAAAUUUAGCUUUUUCUAAGUAAAUAAAUACUUGAGACUCUCAUGAUGGGUGAAAAUCUAACACGUUGCCCCAUAUAGGUUAUGCCUCCAUGUCUUGAGUGCAAACACCACUGCUGCUAGCUCUAGGUCAUGUGUUGGGUAGUUUUGCUCAUGCUUCUUAAGUUGUCUAGAACCAUAAGCCACCACUUUCUCAUGUUGUAUUAACACACAACUCAAUCCUUGCCUAGAGGCAUCGUUGUAUACCACAAAUCCUUCAUUACCAAAUGGAAGUGUAAGAACUUGUGCUGAGGUCAAACGUAUCUUAAGUUCUUGAAAACUCUUUUCACAAUCAUCAUCCCAUUAAAACUUAGCAUUCUUUCUGGUUAACCGUGUUAGAGGAGUAGCAAUCUUAGAGAAUCCCUCCACAAAUCUACGAUAGUAGCCAGCCAACCCCAGGAAACUUCUAACCUCUGUGACAUUUGUAGGCUGUUACUAUUUCACAACAGCUUCAAUCUUUUGAGGAUCAACAUAAUGCCUUCAGCUGAUAUCACAUGGCCUAAAAAUACUACUCUGUCCAACCAGAACUCAUACUUGCUGAACUUGGCAUACAACUGCUUUUGUCUCAAAGUCUGCAAAACAGUCUGCAAAUGCUCUGCGUGCACCUCCUCACUUCGGGAAUACACCAAGAUAUCAUCAAUGAAUACAAUCACAAACCGAUCCAGGUACGGGCGAAAUACCUUAUUCAUAAGGUCCAUAAAAGCUGCUGGAGCAUUUGUCAACCCGAAUAGCAUCACCAAGAAUUCAUACGUCCAUAAUAGGUUCUAAAUGUUGUUUCAGGAACAUUGGCCCGGGCGCAAAUCGAUCUUAGAAAAUACUUUCGCCCCCUGAAGUUGAUCAAACAAGUCAUCAAUACACGGAAGUGGAUACUUAUUGUGUACCGUAACUUUUUUCAACUGUCUGUAGUCGAUGCAAAGUCUAAAAGUCCCAUUUUUUUUCUUAACAAACAAGACUGGAGCUCCCCGCGGGGACACACUAGGUCUAAUAAACCCUUUAUCUACCAACUCUUGCAAUUGAAACUUCAGUUCCUUCAACUUUGCUAGAGCCAUCCUGUACGGUGCCAUAGAUAUAGGAGAUGUUCCAGGGACUAAGUCAAUAGAAAACUCAUCUUCCCUAUUAGAUGGCAUCCCAGGAAAUUCAUCUGGAUGGCCUACUACUAGAGCCACCCUCUGCCCAGCUCUGGCUACGCUUCUGCUUCAGUGCACAAACUUUGCGUCCCUCUGAAAUAUUGUGCUCUACUCUCCUGGCUGCCUCAACUACCUCUCCAAACUCAGUGUAUCAUAAUGCAGUCACGGUGGUACGAAUCUCAAAUCAGAGGCUCUCCUCAAACCAUUUGCAUCUCUCUUUCUCAUCACCGACUACAAAUGUAGCAAAUCUGAAGAGGUCUAAAAAUUUCUUCUCAUACUCCUCAACUGUCAGGGAUCCCUGAACUACCAGAAGGGAUUCACUCCGUUUAAUAUCCUAAUACACAGCUGGAAAAUAAUGAUUGUAGAAUUCCUUAUGGAAAAUGGUCCAAGUAAUCGCAGCAUGCCCCUGAUAUCAUCUUUCCACUGUCUGCCACCAAUGGUAAGCUCUAUCCUCGAGCAAGAAAGUGGCAAAGGAUAAUCUGUCAUCCUCUGAACACUUCAUUAUGUCAAAAGUACGCUCUGACUUAACAAACUAUGACUCAGCCUCAAGUGGUUCUUCGGAACCAUUAAAGUUUCUCACUCGCUCAAUAAUGAUUGCAUUGCCAGCAUGCUCUUGAGUUUGAUUCUGCACAACUGUAGUCAUGAUCUGAGCCAGCCUAUCAAAUGACUGCUCAAUAUUCGGGGCAAUCCCUGGUGCCUGUUGUGCAAUUUCAUAUGUGGAGGAUUCAACUACCCCUCUUUCACAAGUUCACUUUCCCCCAUAGGUACCCCACUAGAAGACAACCCAGCUACUGGCCUAGUACGGCCACGGCUACGUCUACUGCUACGACAAAGCAUGAUGGUGCCUACAAGAUAUAAAUUCUAACUUUAAUAAAAAAAAUAAAAUUUAUUCUUACUAAGGUAGUAAAGUCUACAAAAUCUAAAACCAUGCUCUAAUACCAACUUAAACGACCAGCCCCGAACCCCAGGGCGAGUCUAUCUAAUAAUAAUCUAAUUGGUAAAGAUUCUGCCGAAAAUUCGAUAGAGUUUCCUUUAUAAAUAUAACACUCCCAAUCUGAAAAAAUGUAAAACAAGCACUUCCAAAAUAAUUCAAUUUACAACAAACUCCAAUAAUCAACAUCCUCAACCAAAAUACUAAGUUUUUCCCAAGAUAUCUCUAGAAUCUCAAAGGAUAAUAUUAUAACUAAUAUUAAUAUACCUCAAUUUAUUCUUAAUCCCAAAAGAAUAAUAUAACAAAAUUAUACAAGCCCAAAAGAACGAGAUAACCAGGAUGUCCUAACAAAAAGCAUCUAUUUCUUCUAACACCAACACGUAGCCAAGACUCAAAAUACAUUUACAGUCGCUAGGUCGGUCUGGUGUAUCUGCAACCUCCUGGUGGGGGGAAAAUAUAAUAAAAACGGGAUGAGUAUAAGCCUUAGUGAGCUUAGUGAGUGGAUAGUAAUUUUUGAAAAUUAAUUCCUACUUUAAAAGAAAUAAUCAUAUCAUUUCCAAAUACGAUUUUAUCAAACCAUAUGCAAGAAACCAGUAAUAAGUCAUUUAACAUUUAAAUCAGAUUGCUAACCGUGAAAAGCAUAAAUAAUAUCGUACCUAAUAACCAUGGAAAUCAUAUCACGAUAUUAUAAAGAAUAUACAGAUCUGAAAAUCAUCACCGAACAAGUACCUAGGGGAAUAAACUCGUCGUAUCCAAACCUCAACGGACGGGCAAUGACUUACUAUCUAGGUACCGUCACGCCCCGGAGCUACACGGAUAGACAGGGAAAUACAAUCUCAUAUCUCAUCAUAUUUGUGCAUGCAUAAUCUAGUCCCUAAAGGACAAAAGCGCCCAAGCACAAGGCUCAAAGCCUCUAUGUGUACUCAGACGAGCCCCAAAGGCCUGUAUCUCAUCUGUAUCAUCUAUAUCUCAAUAUUUGUCUGUAUCUCAUAUUUGUAUGUCUGCAACCAUCAUACCCCAUGCAUAUGCCCCCAAAAUGCUAAAGCGCCCAAACACACGAUCCAAAGCCUCUAUGUGUGUUCAGACGGGCCCCAAAGGCCUCUCAUCUCAUUUGUAUCACUGUAUGUGGAGAGAAGGAUACUGUCCAAUGAAGGGUACUGUCCAAUGAUUUUAAAAACAAUCUCUAUAUUCAUAUUCAUAUACAUUCUCAUCAUAUCUUUCUUUUCAUUAUCACGUCUAAAUCCACUUUUCUCAUCUUUAAGAUACUAUCAUAUUUUAUUCAAGUCCAUACGGAAAACCAUUAACCAAACAUUUUAAUAUAAUAUCAAUGCAUGAAUAAAAUCCAUUUCGAGAAAAUCAUUAAAUCAGAAUAUUUAAAAUAUUUAUUUCGCAAACAUACUUUACUAUCAUAAUUAACCAUGAAAAUAGGUUUUGUAUAUUCCACUCACAGUGACGGUGUUCACGCUCGGUUAUCGUCCACGUCCGCGGACUGAUUAUCGCUUGCAGAUCCUCCUAAAUCAAGGAAACGACAUAAUUAUUUUCCAUAAAUCGAAUUACGACUAAAGUUAUACAAUAAACUCGAAAACGAACAUCUAUCCAUAAUUUCGGGUCAAACGGGUCGGGUUUUUGGGUCGGUUUUUACAGCUUCUCUCUCACUCUCUCACACGUGUAUAUGUUACCCCAUUUCCAGCUUCUUCAUUUACUUUUAUUUACUUUUAUUUACUUUUUAACUGCCUCACCCCUUUUUUUCACAUAUGUUACAAAUAGGGUUUAAUUUAUUCAAUUCCUAGCUAAUUUAGUUAAAUUCCAAUUUAUUAGGAAUAUCGUUUCCUGGUUUUAACUAGAUGUCUAAUUUAGCAAGUCAAUUAGUGACAUGAUUUUUAUAAAUGGUGCGUGGGAUUUAUUUAGAGGAAGAAGUUAGUUCAAACAAAAAGUUCAUUAAAUGCUCUAGAUAUUUCUUAGGAGAUAAGUAAGGUAAGCAUAUCAUUUUUAUUCCUAUUCAGAUUUAUAGGAAUUAUAAGAGGAAAAAAAUUCUUAUUUGGAAAGAAUCCUAGUCUUUUAACGACAGUCUUAAUAAAUUUUUUCACAUCAGCCUCAUACUCAUCAAACAAUAUAUCAUAUUUAAUCCAAGAUUUAUCCAUUUUUGUUUAGUACCUGACAUAUAAUUGAGACAAAUUUCAACAUAAUGUACUAAUGGGCAGCAAUGAUAAAUAGUUUCCAUUAUCAAUAAAUUAAGCAACAAAACAUUAUUAAUAUUCAGUUUAUAAAUUUAAUGAAAUAAAUAAAUUUAAAAAUAAAAACUUGUCAUCAUGUGCAACAAACAUAACUUCACCAACGUGCUGUCAUCAUUUACCAAAACCCACUAAUAAUAUCCUAAAUAAUUUAGCCCACAUACAUUUAACAUUUAUUUAAAAGAAAUUUUAACAAUCCGGUAUUUCAUGGACCGCAAGACUAUAUAUAUAUAUAUAAAUACACACGCAACUAAACAUUCCUUGGUCCACAUGACCAAACUUACCAUUUCUUUCAAUCAUAAAAAAAAAUUGAAAACGGGGGCCUCACUUUUCAACUCAAUAAAAUACACUAGAAAGUAUUGAAAAAGGGGGCCUCACUAUUCAAGCGUCACCAUUAGCUUGGAUGUAUGUAAAGAUGAUUUGAACCCAUAGUUGUUGCAUAAAAACCUUUGUUAUCUUUACUUUUGUUGUCAAAAUUAUUAUUAUAAUUUUUUUAAUGGUAGAAGUAGAACCUAAUCCCUCACAAUUAUCAUUUAAUAAUAUGUUAAUUACCAAACACUAUUAUUUUUUUAUUCAUACCUAGUAGUGAUUUAAAUUUGAAAAGCGACAAAACCAGAAACCAAUUUUUAAUAUAUAAUAAACCAAUUAUUUAUUUUUUUUUUUACGGUGAAAUGUAAGGAUCCAUUUAAAAAAAAAAAACACCAACAUUACAAUGACUGAAUUAGAAACGAAAAUCACAGCAACAUUAUAAUUGCAUUCAGUCUCUACGUCUCCUCCUCCUCCUUGUUGCCUUUUGCUGCGUUCCCAACUUCUCCAGAAUCCAUCCGAUAAUUCCUGUGCUGAAGUUGAACCCGAGAACCAAUCCUGCCACAAGUCCGCCCGCAUAGCCAGUCAGAAUGAUUUUCCAAUCAGAUGCGCCUGAAAACAGGGACUCCUCCGAGCCUUCAGUAUGAUCUUCAUUUGUUGCAGCUUCACCACUCUCACAUCCUUUGGACAAUGGCUUUCCACACAAUCCUGAGUUGCCGUCGAAAGAAGUAUUGUCAAAUGUAGCAAAUUGCUUUCCUUGUGGUAUAGGCCCUGUAAGGUAAUUGUCCGAGACAUUGAAGAAUUCGAGAAAUGUGAGCUCAACCAGUUGUUGAGGAAUCCGUCCUGAAAACUUGUUAUUUGAGAGAUCCAGUGAUUCCAAAUUUGUUAGAUUGCCCAAACAUGACAGAAUAAGGCCUUGGAGACUAUUGUGCUGGAGGUUUAGAACUUGAAGUCCCUUUAAAUUUGCAAUCGAUGCUGGAAUCGCCCCAACAAAUCUAUUAUUUGAGAGAAUAAUGCCCGCAAGGAUAUCCGGAAUCUUUUUAUAUGUCAUCAUUCGCCCUUUGCUGCUCAUUGUCAUUGAGUAGUCAUAAGUGCUAAGUACAUUAUUGGUCACUUGUCCAUACGAAGAAAGCACAUCUUGCAGAUAUCUUAGCUCACUUGUAUUGACAAUUUUCAUGGCAUUCCAACACAGGAAACUCUUUGAUGGAAGCUUUCCAGUAAAUCUGUUGUUAGAUAGGUCAAUAAUGCGGAGUUUAGAAAAUCCACAACCAGUUCUGGGUUCUUCUAUAACACCAUAAAAUAUGUUGGAUCGUAGGAUGAGAACAUUCAAUUUUGGAAGAGUUCCUAACCAAGAGGGAAAAGUGUCACUAAUCUGGUUGUUCCCAAGACUAAGAAAUUCCAACUUUGAACAGUUGAUCAAUGAUCUUGGAAUUCUUCCUUGAAACAGAUUAUGGCUUAAAUCAAUCACGCCUAAUCUACUUUCUUUAAUGAAAGUAUUUGGGAUGGUCCCAAAGAAGUUGUUCCUCUGCAAGUCGAGCACUGAAAGGUCAUCGCUGAAAUUGCCUAAACACUGAGGAAGCAAGCCACUUAAGUUAUUGUGAGACAAAACAAGGCUUUCAAGAAUAUUCAAAUUGCAUAUCCACGAUGGAAUUUCCCCUGUUAAGCUAUUGUUUGAAGCUAGAUAGUUAACGGUUCCGAGGGGUGGAACUGGGAGUGGUCCUUGUAAAUUAUUAGAGCUAAGAUCAAAAGUCACCAAAUCACCGAUAUUCCCUGGAAGAAGAACAGGAUGCUGAUCAAACCCGGUUAACAAGUUAUGCGAAAGGUUCAAGGCAUUGAGAUUAUGCAUAUUGGGGUCUAACAACCAUUUAGGUACUUUUCCCUGAAUUUUAUUGUCAGAAAGGUCCAGGACCACCAAAUGACUUUGGUUUUCCAAGAAAUUUGGAAAUUUGGUAAGAUUACAUGAACGUAGUCCUAUGUACUGAAUUUUCUGUGAAGUGGUAUUAGAAGUGGCUUUGGUGAGCACUGGCAACCUAUUUAAUGAGAGACCUAAAACUUCCAAAUUUUUCCAGCAAGUAAGUAAAACAUCUAACUCUAUCGUUCCGCUAAAAGAAUUUCGAGCCAAGUCAAGGACGAAAAGUUGGGUAAGAUUCCUAAGUGAAGGUGGAAUUUGACCUGCAAAAUUACACUUGGCGAUAUGUAUUACUUCCAAUGACCUAAGAUUUCCAAUGGAACCAAGUAUGUCACCGGAAAAAUUAUUCAAUCCAAGAUACAAAAAUUGUAGCCGGGUGAAAUUACCAAUCGAAUGUGGAACUUUGCCCCAAAAACUACAUGACCUUAGAUCUAAUAGCUUCAAAGAACUGAAAUUUCCAGUCGACCAUGGAAACUCACCCGAAAAUUUAUUGAAUGAAAGGUCAAGUUUUUCCAAAGAAAAAAGAUUUCGAAUGGAAGUAGGCAACUCACCAAAAAAUCCAUUUUGUGAAAGGUCGAGUUCUUUCAAAGAACCAAGAUUUCCCAUGGAAAUAGGCAACUCACCAAAAAAUCUAUUUUGUGAAAGGUCAAGUUCUUUCAAAGAACUAAGAUUUCCAAUGGAAAUAGGCCACUCACUCGACAAAAAAUUUGCAGAGAGAUCUAGUUCUUUCAAAGAAUGAAGAUUACCAACGGAAAUAGGCAGUUCACCCUGUAAUUCAUUUAGUGAAAGGUCUAAAUGAAGGAGCUUCGAUAGAUUACCGAGUGAAGAUGGAAUUCUUCCUGAAAUUUGUAAAAAAAAAAAAAAAACACAUUGCUUAAGUAGAAAAUUAAAAAUAAUAAUAAAUUUUACUAAUGAAUUUAACAUCGCAAUUGGCAAUAUUCGAGUAAUAUAUAUAUAUUUAACAAUAACAUGCAUGUAUAUUAAUUAAGGAGAAAAUAUAUAGAAUUUAAUUACCUUGCAAUUCACAGUUUCGAAGAGAAACAAACGUCAAAGAAGAUAGAUUUGCGAAAUUAUGAGGUAUCGUUGACUGAAUAGAAACAUCACCAAGGUCAAGUGUUGUUAGAUUGCUUAACUUCUCGACUAAAUUUACGAAACUGGGCUUCUGAAGUUCAAGUCUACCACCAGGAACAUCAUUUAGUGAUAAAUCAAGGGACACCAAGUUGGAGAGCCUUAGAAUUUCUGAUGGUAUUUGGCUAGAUAAAGAAGUUCCAGAGAGGUUCAAGUAUGAUAACCUGGAAAGGUUGAUGAUUUCUGGUGGGAUUUCGGAGGAAUUGAAGUCAUUCAAAGCAAGAUUAAGCCACUCAAGAUGGACAAGCUUGAAAAGGCUGCUGCUAGAGUUGAUAGAACCAAAAAGGCAGCUGUGGGAGAGGUCAAGCUUGAUGACAUGACCAGUGUUCUUAUUGCAAUGAACGCCGUCCCAAGAGCAGCAAUCAACGUUACCUUCUUCUGGCUUCCAUGAUGCCAUUGUAGGACGACAGUCAAAUUUCCAAGCAUAAAAAUCACCACUGAUGAUGCUUUCUUUGAAUUGCAACAAAGCAGAGCGCUCAUCAUAAUGGCAGAGUGGCAGCAUAGAAGAAGCAGUGACGUUAGCAAUUGUUAAAUUAAAGAAAAUGAAGGGAAAAACUAACCGUAUGAAUAUUGUGAAUAAACAUAUGGAGGAUAAACCCAUAGUUUUCUCAAAAAUAAAAUUUGUUUAGCUUUGUAGAUGUGAAGAAAUUUAAGGAUCUUUGGUUUGCUUUUAUAGGCAAAUUGCAGCAAUUCAAACAUUAUAGUCAUUGGACUCUUUUUUUAUAUUUUUAAAGUCAACAAAACUUCGUCUUAAUAAUAUUUAUUUUAUAUUAUUUGAUGUGAUGUCGUAAACUUUUACCAUUCCGUCACCACCGAAAAUACGUUUAUAGCAAACGUGAGGAUUAAUUAAUUAGUAAAUGCAAACAAUCGCAUCAAUACGGUGUCGGGCUGUUGGAUUUUUAAUUCUAACUUUAUUCUUUUUUUUCUUUUUCUUUCUUUUUUACUUUUCACUUCACUUUAACAAUCCUGGAUUGUGGGAAAAAAGUUCAUUCCUUUACAUCCCUUUUUCCACAUAAAUCUACUCAUAAAAGAAUUACAUAAAUGAUUUCUGAAUCUACGAAAUGGAAUCAAGUGAAUGCAAUCUUCCAAUCAUUCAUAUUCCCCUUUCCACAUAAAUCAACUCAUAAAAGUGAUGCUUACAAUUAUGUCCAGAUUCACACCAGUAUAGCAAAAUAAACUUCUUUUAGAUUUCCCAAAUAGACGCUGUUGGUUAUUUUGCAAAAAAAUUUCAGGAUCCAAGUAAAAAACAUAAAAUCUAAAAUAGGGUAAAAGCUUAUAACGAACAUAAAACAAAAUAAAGAAAGAGUACACAUUAUGCUAUAAGUGUUUAAAGAAAAUUACGUACAGUGUCUUCUAUGUCUCCUGUUUCUCCUCAUUGUUUUUGGCCAUCCCAAAUUUCUCAAUCACCCUCCUGAGUAUUGAACAAGCAAAUAUUAUUAGUUAUAAUAAAUAACUUAAUGAUGAUAAUUUUUUUGUCACCAAGUCCUUAUCAAAAACCAUUAGACUACUCUUGCACUGGUGUUUACCGUAUGUGUAAUAAAUCAAUCUUUUUAUUUUUGGUUUGAAAAAAUGAAAAACAUAAUUCCGAAGUGGUCCAGACCACUUGAAAUUUAAAAAACAAAAUGAUAAAUAUUAUUUGGAUAUGAUAUCAACUCAAAAUACAAACAACUGGCGAAAAAUGGUGAAUUCCAUUCCUUAACCAAAGUUUAUUAAAUAAAAAAAAAAACUAGUGAAAAAAAUGAUAAUUAAAUAAAUUUUAAUGGAAACAAAGUCACAAUAGUAGAAGUGACAAUUUUGGGCACCAUUAACUAAUUAAUCAGACACAAACACAAGACAAAUUAAUGAAUUUGGAUUUACUAAAAUUGACAUGAUUUUCAAUUUAGAUCAAUUACAAACCUUUCAUUUAAAUUAUAGUCAACAGACGAUCAAUUUCAGAGACUCAAGACUAGUAAUUAGAAGUCUUUGCACACUCUGUACAUAUGCCGUGUCAGAAAAUUAUUUCUUAGUUUUUAAGAUAAGACUGACGAAAGAGAGAUGUAUUUUUGGACACUGUUGUUCUAAGUCAACUAAAAUUAAAAUUGGCCAUAUAUCAUUAUAAUGGAUGUUAAGAUAAUUUGAACUCAUAGUUGUUGGAUAAAAAAACAUUGCUAUCCUUAUUUUUGUUCACAGAAUUGUUAUUAGUAUAGUUCUUUUAAAGUUCUCAAAUUUUUCAUUUAAAAAAAAUAUGUUCCUACAAUAUACCCAAAAAAAAAAAAUUGAACCCAAAAAAGAAAACAAUUUUUUAAAAUAUAACACAGAUAAUAAUGGUGAGAGUAAUUUAGGUCAAUUCAAAAUCGCUAAUUUGGAGUCAGAUUCAUGUAUUAAUUGUAUCAUAAGUUACCAUCUCUGUGUCUAUGGCGUGGCAGAGGCUCACGGAAACUCCAGACUAGUGAGCCUAUCGUUACUGAAAAAUGCAUGAAUGGCAUGGAUGCAAAAGUAAUAAAAUUUGGAACUGAUGAUUAAGCCAUUAGCUAACAAUAAUUAACUUCUGAAGAGGCAACGUCCCACCCAAAAAAAAAAAGAAAAAAAAAUGAUUUAAUGUGUUAUUAACAAUCUAUCCAGAAAAAAAAAAAAAAUUAUUCAAUAGGAUCUAUCGAACUUGACCUGCGUUUAUAUUUCCUUUCAUUUUCUAUAAUUUUUCAUCUAAUGGGUCAAUGAAUUAAUUUGCUUCUUUUUUCUUUUUUUUCCUCCUUUCCCCACUUGUAUUUCCCUUCACGGCCCGUUGAGUAUUCUGCAUACUCGAGGGUAUGUCAUUGUCUUGAUGACUUUUCACUACAACUCUAAAAUUUUCCUCCCCAUGGCAUGUUGAUAUUAACUCCAAAUUAGCAAUAUUAUCACUGUCACUCUUCUUUGUAAACUACGCACUCGUUGGUUGAGUGAUGACACCUCCUCAACUUAAUUAUUCUCAGGGUCAAGAAUUUGAGUUUUACUCCUAGAUUUCUUAGCCGAUCUGCCAAUGUGCCAAUUUGUAAUGAGCUUUAGCUGAUGGUUUCUGAGAUGGGCUCUAAUUAGUGCACCUAAAAUGUAACAAAUAUCUCACGUUAACAACCCAAAAUUCCAUAAUAUCAUGCAAAAUCAUUCUAGAAGUUAAAAUUAGGUGUUAAUCCGAUACAAACACCAGAAAAAUUAAUGAAAUUUGGAUUUACUAAAAUUGGCAUGAUUUUUUAAUUUAGAUCAAUUAAAAAUAUUUCAUUUUAUAGUGUCGGAUUCCCUAUAAGUCGUCAUAAAUCAUUAUCCAGACGAUCAAGGCCGGCGGAUAAAGACUCAAGACUAGAAUUAGAAGUCUUCGAGUAUCAAUCAUAUGUCGUGUCAGAAAAUUCUUUCUUAGAUCAAGCCAACUAAAGUUGAAUUAGCCAUAUCAUUAUAAUGGAUGUUAAUAUUGCUAACUUCGAGUCAAAAGUCAUGCGUUGAUUGCAUUUGUAUUGUCUGAAUGACUAGGACGUGGCAAAGGCUCAUGGAAUAGAUCUGCUUCUUUUUUCUCCUUUCCCCACUACCACCAGUUCACUUAACUUUUCCUUCACGGCAUGCUGAAUGAGAUCUUCUACUCCAUCAGUGCAUUUAGGAUUAGAUUUCUAAUUUGUCCGAUGUCUCUGCAUUUUCUUGAACUCUCUACUCUUCCUCGUGUAAUUAAGGAGGAUUAAAGUAAAAGAAAAGGGUAGAACCAGUUAUCCCUAUUUGUUGCACUAGCUAUCAGAUUUCCAUAUUAUAGUAAUUAUUGGCCAAAAACAUAAUUUUUUAUUUAAAUUGUCAAAAAGACUUGAAUGUUCUUAUCCUAAAAUAAGUUCCAUUAAAACAAUCAUAAUAUUUAUGGCAUGGUCCUACUUAAACCAGUAAAAUCUCUUGAACUAAUUUAAAGGUUCAAUCCUGCUCACAUGAGUAAGGAGAGGAUAGGGUAUUUGUUUAAAUUUUAUUGUAUUGAAUUUCGCACUUUCAAUACUUCUACGUAGUUAUUACGAUUUCAUCAAGUUUACGAUGUUAAUGAUCAAACAGUACACUUUCUAAACUAACUAAAAUAGUACCUAGCUAGCUAAUUAGAUAACGGAUUAAUGGAAUAGAUGUGGAUGUCUAGUUUUAGAGUUUGAUUUUUUUUUUUAAAUUAAUCAAAGAAAACAUAUUUUUAAUUUUGGGUUAUUGUACUAUUAAUUAAUAAUUUAAUUAAAAAAAUUUAUUUAUUUGCUUUCAUUCUAGUUGUUGAAAAUGCCUUUAACAGGGGUUGGUUCAAUAUUUGGUUAGACUCUGAUUUCAUGCCGGCGAUCCAACUCCUUCUCUUCAUCCCUCUUUGACCAUUUGCAAUUUACUUGCAUUGCAAAUGUCUGUAGUCAAACUUGGGUCUUCAAUGUACUCACAUCCCUUGGUAGGAUUUCUCUCCUUCAAAGAUUAACGCUCUUUCUUCUCGAGAUGCAAAUGGCUUUUCAAAUUGUCAUUUUUGUUAAUGUAGGUCCUACAUUCAUGGUUUUCUUAAGAUUUUAUAUCAUCUUAGCUUUAUGCAUUUAAAGAGUGAGAUUUUAUAUCACCGUAGCUUUAUGCAUUUAAUGAGGGAUAGUGUUUACUAUAUCCCCUAAUUAAUUGUGUUAAGUCUAUUUUUUAUAAAGUUGACAUCUUAAGGCAAGUUUGGUAAAUUGAAAUUUUAUUUACUGAAUUUCAUGUAAUAGUGAAAUGGCCGGCCCCGAACCCCAGGGUGAGUCUAUUUAAUCUCAUCAAAACUGGAUUGAUAAUAAUCUAAUUAGUGAAAAUUCUGUCGAAAAUUCGGCAAAGUCUCCUUUAUAAAUAUAACACUCCCAAUCUGAAAAUAUGUAAAACAAGCACUUCCAAAAUAAUUCAAUUUAUAACAAACUCCAAUGAUCAACAUCCUCAACCAAAAUGCUAAGUGUUUCUCAAGAUAUCUCUAGAGUCUCAAAGGAUAAUAUUAUAAUUAAUAUUAAUAUACCUCAGUUUAUUCUUAAUCCCAAAAGAACGAGAUAACCAGGAUGUCCUAACAAAAAGUAUCUAUAUCUUCUAACACCAUCACGUGGCCAAGACUCAAAAUAUAUUUACAGUCGCUGGGUCAGUCUGGUGUACCUGUAACCUCCAGGUGGGGGGGGGGGGGGGGAAUAUAAUAAAAACGGGAUGAAUAUACAAUUCAAUGAGUGGAUAGUAAUUUUUGAAAAUUAAUUCUUACUUUAAAAGAAAUAAUCAUAUCAUUUCCAAACACGAUUAUAUCAAACCAUAUGCGAGAAACCAGUAAUAAAUCAUUUAACAUUUAAAUCAGAUUACUAACCAUGAAAAGUAUAUAUAAUAUCAUACCUAAUAACCAUGGAAAUCAUAUCACGAUAUCAUAUAGAAUACACAGAUAUGAAAAUCAUCACCAAACAAGUACCUAGGGGAAUAAUCUGGUCGUAUUCGGACCUCAACGGACGGGCAAUGAAUAAUAUUACGCCAAUUUGUAAUGAGCUUUAGCUGAUGGUUUCUGAGAUGCGCGCUAAUUAGUGCACCUAAAAUGUAACAAAUAUCUCAUGUUAACAACCCAAAAUUCCAUAAUUUCAUGCAAAAUCAUUCUAGAAGUUAAAAUUAGGUGUUAAUCCGACACAAACACUAGAAAUAUUAAUGAAAUUUGGAUUUACUAAAAUUGGCAUGAUUUUUUAAUUUAGAUCAAUUAAACAUAUUUUUAAUUUUUAUAGUGUCGGAUUCACUAUAAGUCGUCAUAAAUCAUUAUCAACAGACGAUCAAGGCCCGCGGAUAAAGACUCAAGACUAGAAUUAGAAGUCUUCGAGUAUCAAUCAAUCUAGAUGGCAAGCUCGAUUUCAGUCAAGUGGUUUAGGUCAUUGCAUGUUCUAUGCGUAUGUCGUGUCAGAAAAUUAUUUCUUAGAUAGGAAUGACGAAGGAGAGAUGUAAAUAAGAGCGCCAUUCUAUGUCAGUCAAUGUUAAAUUCGCCAUGUCAUUAUAAUGGAUGUUAAUAUCUCUAAUUUGGAGUCAAAGUCAUGCUUCAAUUUAGGUAUUUGUCUUUAAUAAAUCUGAUUCUUUUUUCUCCUUUCCCCACUACUACCAGUUCACUUAACUUUUCCUUCACGGCAUGUUGAGUAUUCCGUAUCCUCUAACAGUGCCUUGAAUGAGAUCUUCUACUCCAUCAAUGCUUCUAUGCCGUGUUUCAUUUGGGGAUUAGAUUUCCCAGUACGUAGACAGAGAACUCUGACUCUGUUGUCCGAUGUCUCUGCAUUUUCUUGAACUCUCUACUCUCCUCGUGUAAUUAAGGAGGAUUGAAGUAAAAGAAAAGGGUAGAACCAGUUCUCCAUAUUUGUUGCACUAGCUAUCAGAUUUCCAUGUUAUAGUAAUUAUUGGCCAAAACAUAAUUUUUUAUUUAAAUUGUCAAAAAGACUUGGAUGUUCUCAUCCUAAAAUAAGUUCCAUUAAAACAAUCAUAAUAUUUAUGGAAUGUUUAUAACUAGAAUGAGUGCUCCUACUUAAACUAGUAAAAUCUCUUGAACUAAUUUAAAGGUUCAAUCCUGCUCACAUGAGUAAGGAGAGGGCAUUUGUUUUAAAUUUUAUUGUAUUGAAUUUCAAACUUUCAAUACUUCUACAUAGUUAUUACGAUUUCAUCAAGUUUACGAUGUUAAUGAUCAAACAAUACACUUUCUAAACUAUCUAAAAUAGUACCUAGCUAGCUAAUUAGAUAACGAUUAAUGGAAUAGAUGUGGAUGUCUAGUUUGAAAUUUUGAGUUUGAAAAUUUUAAAUUAAUCAAAGAAAAUAUAUUUUUAAUUUUGAGUUAUUGUACUAUUAAUUAAUAAUUUAAUUAAAAAAAUUUAUUUAUUUGCUAUCAUUCUAGUUGUUGAAAAUGCCUUUAAUAAGGGUUGGUUCAAUAUUUGGUUAGAGUCUGAUUUCAUGCUGGCGGUCCAACUCCUUCUCUUCAUCCCUCUUGGACCAUUUGCAAUGUACUUGCAUUGAAAUGUCUGUAGUCAAACUUGGGUCUUCAAUGUAGUCACAUCCCUUGGUAGGAUUCCUCUCCUUCAAAGAUUAACGCUCUUUCUUCUCGAGAUGCAAAUGGCUUCUCAAAUUGUCAUUUUUGUUAAUGUAGGUCCUACAUUCACUACUAGAAAAAUGGGCUACCAUGACAGAAUUUUUGUGAUAGAUAUUAGAAAAUUAGUCAUUUAUCACAAGAAUACGAUAGACACAUGACAGAAUUUUCAUACAUCAUAAAGCCAUGACAGAUUUGUGAUAGAGUUUUUAUAUAUCAGAUAAACAUGAUAGCAUAUUAAUAUUUAAUCAAACCGUGAGUUUCAGAUGGAAUUAAUUUGGGGAUGAAAUGACACCGUGUAACAGAUUUAAAAAAUUUAAAAAAUAAUUUUUUUUAUUUAACAUUUAAACGCUAUCAUUUAACUAUAUUGACUAAACCACAAAACAAUUCUAAGUGUUGGCACCUUUGACUUCUCACCUCAUUGGCAAGGGCUGAGAAACCGAAGCAGUGAAACCCCUCAAAAUCUAGAAUUAACCUAUUUUAAUCUACAAAUUGGUUUUGAAACCCAUUGCAUGGAAACCAAAAUCAUAGUAUAUGCUAUUGAAGGAGCCUUCGCGUCCUUAUUUUGAACCCAUUGUUUUUAAGAAAUUAGCAUUGUUAGGUGUCCAUGUGAUAAAUGUCGGAAUUUACCAUUUCAUAGGCCUAAAGAAGUGAAAGAUCAUUUAAUUAUAUGGGGUUUUGAUAUGUCAUACAAAACAUGGGUUUGGCAUGGGGAAGAUAUCCGCAACAAAUCUCCUGAUAAUAUAGGUUUCCAAAAUGACAGUGGAUAUAUGGAUUAUGAUGGUGGUAAUACUGUUGAAAUGGUUGAAGAUGCUUUUAAAGAUUGUGAUAGUCAUCCUAAAGCAUUCAAAAAACUAUUAGAAGAUUCUGAAAAGCCUUUGUACCCUGGAUCAAACAAAUUUACCAAGUUAUCAGCUUUAGUUAAAUUGUACAAUAUAAAGGGCAUAUAUGGAUGGUCUGAUAGUAGCUUUUCAGAUUUGUUGAGUGCUCUUUCUGACAUGUUACCGAAAGAAAAUGAAUUGCCUGUAUCAAUGUAUGAGGCCAAAAAGACAAUGAGUGCUUUAGGCUUAGAGUUAUAAAAAUUCAUGCUUGUCCAAAUGAUUGUAUACUCUAUAGAAAAGAGUAUAAAAGCCUUUCUAAUUGUCCUACAUGCAGUGAAUCUAGGUGGAAGAAAAGGGAUGGUAGUGUUGCUGCUUAUAGGAAGGGGGUUCCUGCAAAAGUGUUAUGGUAUUUCCCUUUUAUACCUAGAUUUAGGCGUAUGUUUCAGUCCUCACAAACUACCAAAGACUUGACUUGGCAUGUAAAUGAGAGGGAAAUAGAUGUUAAGCUUCGACAUCCAGCUGACUCACCGGCAUGGAAGUUAGUUGAUGAAAAAUUGCCUACCUUUGCAUUAGAGCCUAGAAAUUUGUGUCUUGCCCUAUCAGCUGAUGGCAUUAAUCCUCAUAGCUCUCUUAGUAGUACGUAUAGUUGCUGGCCGAUUCUUCUUGUAACAUACAAUCUUCCACCCUGGUUGUGUAUGAAACGAAAAUUUAUGAUGUUAUCCUUAUUAAUUUCUAGUCCACAAUAGCCCGAUAAUGAUAUUGAUGUGUACUUGGCACCACGAAUAGAUGACUUGCAAACUCUAUAGGAUGUUGGUGUGGAAGCUUAUAAUGCCUAAAAAAAAUAGUUCUUUAAUUUACGGGCUAUGCUAUUGUGGACUAUAAAUGACUUUCCCGCUUAUGGGAAUUUGGCGGGUUGUACGGUCAAGGGUUAUUAUGCUUGUCCUUAUUGCGGUGAAGAUAUGCCAAAAUGUAGACUUAAACACAGUAAAAAAAAAUGCUUAUAACGGCCAUCGUCGUUGGCUUCCUCAUGAUCAUCCCUUUUGAACUCAAAAGCAACAUUUUAAUAAUAAACAUGAAAGAGAGCCUCCUCCGAAACCAUUGAACAGCGAGGCCAUUUUUCGAAAGGUGGAGAGUAUUGAAAACAAAUGGGGUAAAGUGAAAGAUAAAAAGCGCAAAAAAAGAGGCAAGAAAAAGGAUGAUGAUGAUGAUCGUGUUUGGUGGAAGAAAAAAUCAAUAUUCUUUAAGUGAGAAUACUAGAAGUACUUGUUUAUUCAUCACCAGUUAGAUGUUAUGCACAUUGAAAAAAAUGUUUGUGAAAACAUCUACGGAACAUUACUAAAUAUACCGGGAAAGACCAAAGAUGGCAUUAAGUCGAGGUGGGAUCUAAAAGUUUUAAAGAUUAUUGGCACUUGAUGUUAAAGAAAAUAAUCGUACUUUUUUUCCUCCAGCUUGUUACACCUUGACCAAAGAAGAAAAGAAAAGGUUUUAUAAAGCAUUAAAAAGCAUAAAGGUUUCUGUCGGUUAUUCUUCAAAUAUUAAGAACCUAGUGUCAAUGAAAGACUUAAAACUUUAAGGUUUAAAGUCUCAUGACUGUCAUGUUCUCAUGCAAUAACUUUUACCUAUUGCUUUAAGGUCUAUCAUAUCAAAUCAUGUUAAAUAUGCCAUUAUUAGAUUGUGCUUCUUCUUUAAUUCCUUAUGCACAACGGUUGUUGAUGUGACCAAACUUGACCAAAUGGAAGAAGACAUUGCGCUGACCUUAUGCUUGCUUGAAAAAUGCUUUCCAUCAUCCUUUUUUGACAUAAUGAUCCAUUUAACCACCCAUUUAGUUAAUGAAGUUAGACUAUGUGGGCCGAUAUACUUAAGAUGGAUGUACCCAUUUGAAAGGAACACAAAAGGCCUAAAGGCUUAUGUUUGAAACCGUAAUAACCCUUAGGGAUGCAUAACAAGGAGUUACAUUGUCGAAAAGGCUCUGGAAUUUUGUGCAUAAUAUGUUUCAAACAUGCUUACAAUUGGGCUUCCUCUUGGACAUGUUGAAACCCCUUCAACUGAUAAGCCUUUGCUUGGUGGAAAAUUUGAGCAAGUUGAUCAUUCCGUAAUUCAUUAAGCACACCUGUAUGUGUUGCAAAAAAUAGAAGAAGUUCAGCCAUUUAUUAGGUUUGUUAAUGUUUUACCUUUAAUUUGUUCCUUUAUUGAAUUAUUUUUAAAGAAUUUGAACAAUAGCUUAAUAUGUAUAUGUCAAAUAUGUAGUGAGCACAUUGAAUGGCUAAAGGGUCAUCAUUCACAAAAAGCCAAGAAUGAGAGAUGGUUGAGCAAAGAGCACAACUGCAACUUUUCAACUUGACUUAAUAAGAAGGUUAAUAAUAUAUGUUCCAUUAUAUAUUCUUUUUAGUAAAUCUAUUGUCAUGUUUAUACAAUUAUUCAUUCAUUACAAUUAUUAUUAUGUAGGUAUAUGAGAUAAUAGAUGAUGAUGAGCAUGUCUCAGACACCUUGAUGUGGUUAUCUUAAGGACCCCAUCCUUUUGUAGUUAAAUGCCCAGGAUAUGACAUCAAUGGAUAUCGUUUCCAUACUCGAGAACGAGACGAACAACGAGUUCAUCAAAAUAGUGGAGUUAGUCUUAUUGCAGCAACUUUACAAGUAGCAAGUGCCAAGGACAAAAAUUGUAUCGUUUGUGACAUGUCUCACUAUGGAGUUCUUAACGAAAUAUGGGACAUUGACUACCAUAUGUUUAGAAUCCCUUUGUUCAAGUGUGAUUGGGUUCAAAAUAAUGGGGGUGUUAAAAUUGAUGAAUUUGGCUUCACUUUAGUGGACUUAAAUCACUUGGGUCAUAAAUCAGACCCAUUUAUAUUGGCUUCACAAGCAACACAUGUCUUUUAUGUACUAAUCAACUUGAUAAAAGAUGGUCAGUUGUAAGUCAUAUGCAUCGUAGAGGUGUUCCAAAUAAGACAAGUGAUGAGGAUAUAGAUAUCAUGAUGGAACACAAUCCUUUGACCAAUGGGUUACCAAAUAUUGAAAAUUUAAAUGAUGCGAAUAGAUAUGCAAGAGAUGGCAAAUAUGGCAUCUAGAUUGAUGCUUGAAAACGCUGAUGGCCUUCAUUGCUUAUAUGUCUUAUAAUAGUUUUGUGUUACAAUAUCUUUUAUUAUUAUAUGUUCCUUGUAUUGACUUUAGAUUAUUUUUUUUCAUUAUUUAUACUUUAUAUAAUGUUCUAAUACUAAAUGUGGAUUUAUUGCAGAAGCAACCUUAUGGAUAAAGGAAAAGGACUUGCUGAUGAACACUCUAACAAGGAAAGUAUUGAUUAUUCGGGUAAUAAAGAGGUUCCUGAUGAUGGUAAUUCAAGUGAUAAAGAGGUUCCUAAUGAGUUUCCUAAUUCAGAGGAUGAAAAUGAUAUUCCAAAGAGUAGUUCCACCGCGAGAAGACCAACUAAAAACUCUGGUAGGAUGAGGAUGAGUGGUGGGAAGCUUAUAGUCACGUACAAUGGGCUCGGUGUACCUGUUGGCACUGAAGCUACUGAAUUAGCAAGCUUUAUUGGGCUUUUGGGACGUACUUUUAUUCCAGAUAUUAACCAAGAAUAGAGAAAGGUUACUCCAUAUAUAAAGAGCCGUUUGUGGGAGUUUAUUAAGGUAAAAUGAUUAUUUAUAUUUAUAUCUCAGAAUUGAAUAAUGUAUAUGUUAAACUAUUUGAUCAUUAUGCUAUGUAUUUUUCUCAGGAACGUUUUAUUGUUCAUCCAAAUAGUAAGAAGCAAGUUUUUCAAGCACUUGGUAGUGCAUUUAGAAACUUUAAGUACUUUCUCACCAGAAAGUAUAUCUUGCCACACAAGCACAAUCGUAAAAGGUUGAAGAGGCCACAUUUUCAGUACAGUCAUAUUCCUCAAAAUGUUUGGGAUAAAUUUGUGAAUUUUAGAUUGUCCACUGAGUUUGAGGUGAAUACUUUUAAAUGUUAAACAUUUAGGCAUUUUAUAAAACCAUCUUUAAAUCUAAUUAAGGACUGUUUUAUGUAGAGAAUUAGGCGUCAACAACAAAAUAAGAGGGCUAAGAACAAGUGGAACCAUCGUUUUAAGUAAAAAAGGAUAUGUUGGAUUGCUUGAUGAAAUUGUAAGUAAUAUGAUACUAACUUGACCAUUCUUGUAUAGCUAUUGGUAGAGAGAUGGUUGGUUUGAAGAUGAUAAAUUGGUAAACCUUUUGUUUUAAUUUACUACUUAGAAUUCGUGGUUAGUUAAGGAUGCAUACCAGCUAUGAUAUUAUUAUUAUUUUAAACUACAGUGCUCGGAAACUGGACUUGUCGAAACUAAAGUUGACAGGAGUGUAGCAUGGAAGCAUGCUAGGAAGAUGAAAAAAUCUGAAUAUGACCUUGAUGUUGAAUCAGUUGUGAAGAAGAUUGUAAGUAAUAGCAAGUUUUUUUUUUUUUCAAUUAGGCUCCAUUGGAAAGAAUUUGAUAUUCAUCAAUAUGAUUAUUAUACAAUUAGGAUGCACUAGAGGAGAAAGCUAAAAAAAGAGAAUUUAAAGCUUAUGCAAGAAAUGAUAUUCUUGCAAGUUCAAUUGGAAAGCAUGCCACUUCUGGACAUAUGCAGGGUGUUGGGAAAUUUAUAUCGCCUAAGAUGUACUUUGACACCCCAAACAAUUUAUUUCAAAUGCGACAAGAGAGACUAAACAUACUAGAGAGGUUAGAUAAGCAAGAAGCAGAGUUGAGUGAUCUGAAGAAGAAGAUUAAAAAGCAACCUCGACAUUCAAAUGUUGGAAGCUCAAACUUUCCAUUAGAUGAGCAAAUAAUUGAAGAUGAAGCUGAAGAAAUGAUUGCUCGUAAUGUGGACAAGGUAUGAUAUAGAUUGUUGUGCACAAUUAAGUUAAAAAAUGACUUAAACAUUUUAUUUUAGACAAUUUUAGCCGUAGUCAAAACCGUAAUUACAAUCUUUUUUUGUUUGUUUUUUAGGCUUGUCAGUCAAUCGGCAUGACAAGGAAUUGAUCACCUGUAAAGAAGAAGCAUGAAACACUGACAAAGAAAAGGCAAUUACCAAGGAAGAAGAAAGAAUCACCAAAGCAACAAGUGAUUGUUGAUUGUCCUAGAGACAAGCCAAAAAGUUUUAAGAAAAGGCAAUCACCAAGAAAGAAGAAAGAAGAAAGAAUCACCAAAGCAACAAGGGAUUGUUGAUUGUCCUAAAGACAAACUAGGUGUUGUGCAAAUUUUAUUGAACUCGCAAGUGCACGAAUUUAUUGUAGAAUAGAUUAAUGGUGACGAGUGACGAUCCCAUGAGUAGGUGGAUUUUAAUUAUAUGUAGAAUUAAUUUUGUAUGAGGGUGGUUGGAUUUGUGGUGAAAGUGACUUAGAUUAUCCUAAAAUUGGAAUUGAAAUGGCGAGAAUAAAUUGAAGAGAAAUCUAUUGAAAUGACGUACUUGGGUAUCUGGAUCCGUAUCAACAUGCACCAUGGGCUAAAUAUUCCUUAUUAAUGUCAAUUAAAUCAUGAGGGAGGUUUCCACACCUCAUGAACCACGCUCUAAUCAAUAUGGUGCUAAGAGCUUAUCGUGCUAAAUAAUAAUAACCUUGUACUAGGGAGCCAGUGAAACCAAGGCGGUAUCCAGACAAGAUUAUUAUUAUUUGUCGACGAGAAGUCAAAACAUCCACAAAAACUAGAGGGGAAGAGAAAAUAAAUUUACCAAAUAAAGCCCAUGACACAUGUUGAGACUCCACGUUCAACCCAAGCUUGAAAGAAAAUUAGCUACUCAUAAUUGAACUAGGGGUAAAAUGGGAAUUUAUUAAAAUACGUAGAAAAUACAAGAUGGAGAAGGAAUUACAGAAAAUGGAGUCCAAAAAUGGAUUCAGAGAUAUCAAAUUAGGGGGGAGAGGUCCCCUUUUUAUAGAUACAUUGAGUAAAUCAUGGCCAUCGGAUUAAAAAUAGUUUGGACGCUCAGAAUUGCGCCACGUCAUCAGUCAACAGUACGCGGUUUGACCACGUGUUUGAACAGUGACACAGUUUGACCACGCGGUUUGAACAGUCAACCGGUUUGAACAGUGAUGCGGUUUGGUUGAAAAUAAUCAUGUGUAUAUGCAUGUACCGUACACGCAAUAUUUGGUCCACUAACAUGCUGCCAUGUCACCGAUCAACAGUGCAUAAGAAUUCUCUCUAAUGGAAUCAUGACACCUCAUCAGUCAAUGCCACAUCAUCGGUCAAUGCCACAUCAUUGAUCCGUCUAUGUGAACAAUGUCGUGAACAGUAACGUAGAUAAUACAGUACAUGUGAAUAGUACCGUACAUGUGAACAGUGACAUUUUUCCUUUUAUGCUCCUCCUAAGGUUUUCGACUGUCUUGAGUUCAAAAGUGAUGUCUGUUUUGCCGUCUGAUUUUUCGUUCAUUGUGAAAUGAUCAUGAUGCCCCUAAAAUACAUAAAAUACUUAAUUAAAAUAAAGCACACAUAAUUAAAUCAUAAGAAGCUUAAAUACAUAAAAGUAAGGGUGUUAGUAAAACUUGAAGUGUAAAAUGAUGAUUUUCUUCUUUAUAAAUAUACAUUUUCUAAGACUCAACACACCCCCAACCAGCUUAUUGCUAGUUCCUAGCAAAUAAAGCGAAAACAAAAUUCAAAUCCAAUUUUUUUUUUUAAACACUUGUGUUUAUUCAAUCAGACUAAUGAUAGCAAUCAAAUAAAAGUAUAAGCAUUAUCUCCAGUCUAAAGAAAUAUCACACCCACAUCAACCAUCCACAUGAAUCAGCCCAGUAGACUUUGUCACAGCUACUUUCACGAAUGACAUGUUAAACCCCAAAAUCUCACUGGAAAUAGUGACACUCUCACAAAGAAAUUAAACCCAAUAAAAAUAGUCACUCCAAUGAAAUGGUAAUUGAGAGAAAAUAAUAAAGAAGUGAUAUCACACGCUCUCACCAAGAUGAAAGAAAUAUGCCUUUAACUUAGAAAUAAUACAAUCUCAAGUCAAAUAAAAAUGCUAGUCAACUCAAUUUAUUUUUUUUCUUUUUUUUAUGCACCACUACAUCUUUUUAACCCAUAUAAUUAGCUUCUACUUCAGACAAUAGUUCCCUAAAAUCAAGAAGGACUUUUAUUAGGACGUAACGUAGGCUAGGGACAUGGCUAACAAAGGAGGGGCAAUAAGGAAAACAAAGUGUAUGUUUGAGAAAAAUGUAGAGUAUUUUUUUUUUUGAAGUUGCAAGGUGGAACUCACCUAUUAUUGUUAUUUUUUUUCUUUUUUUAUAAACAACAAUUUUUUAUUUUUUAUUUUUUUGCUUUUGUUUGGCACAACUUCACUGAACAAAAUAAUUAUUUACAUUUUUCUCAAACAUAAAUAGGCGAUGGAACUUGUAAGAUAUUGGGUAAUACUCCAAAUCAGAGUGGGUCAAGAUGAUAAGUUUGACAAAGAAAAAGUUUUUUUUUUUUUUAAAGGCUCAAAAGGGUUAACUAUGGAUAUUUCAUAAAAGGGAUAGCUAGAAAGGCUCAAACGGAUCAAAGAUGGCCUUUCCAUCCUCUUUUAGGGCUCUAAAUAAUCUUCCAUAUUUACUAGUUAGAUGAGCCUCCAGAUGUAGCAACACACUUUUUUUUUCUUUUAAUUUUACAACUUUUUUUUAAGGGUUAACUCAAAAGAAAUCUAGAGAUCGUGUAUAAAAUAAUAAAUUGCUAAGCUAUAUGAAGAAUGGGCAAAAUGGUUACUCUCCAAGAAAAAUGAUAGGCUCAGAAACUCACUUGGUACUUAUUAUGACAUGUUCAUUCCUUCAAGCAACUCAUAUUUGUCUCCGACAUCAACAUGUACAGUAGCAAACAUGGCGUAACAUCACUUAAGACCAAAGAUAAUACAAAUACUAAAAUUUGAAAUUCAUCAUGUCAUCCAAUGUUAAAACAAAUCACACAAUUUUUUUUUUAAACAACAUUCUACCCCCCAACCUAUUCUAAACAUGAAAGGAAAAUAUGCAUGCAGAAAUGUGAAAAUGAUGUAGAAAAACUAAUUAGAAAAGUUACACUUGAAAUGAUAGAAAAAGAAAAUAUUUUUUUUUAACUAAGAAGAUACGUUUCUAGAGGCACUACACUCCAUAUUCAGCUGUCUUCGACUCAAAAAUUUGAAAAUGUAUAUUUAUAAAGGAGAAAUUAAAAAGAAGAAGAAAAAUGAUUGUCAAAACUUAAUAAAGAAAAGGAAAAUGUCUGAAUUUAUUUUGUUAUUAUUUUUUUUUUUAAUUGUUUUUUUUUUGUUUUUUUUUCAAACAAAGAAGAUGCGUUUCUAGAGUCACUACACUUCAUAUUCAGCCAUCUUCACCACAAAAGUUAGCCACGGUUAGUCUCUACAAUAAAAAAAUUAGUAAAAACUUAACCAAGAUUCCACAAUUGUUGACUAUUCCCUCCCCCCAACCAGAACGAAACAUUAUCCUCAAUGUUUUAAAGGAAAGAAGUAGAGUUUAGAAGACAUCACCUGGGUGGUACAACAAAGAAGCAAAUAUUUAUAGGCGGAGAGUUAAAUCUAAUUUGUACUUCUUACUGUGGCUACUGUUACCAUCAUUAUUUGGAUGCUCCAACACAAAGGUCCAAGGGUCUGGCUCCGGUUUAUAAGCUUGUAACAGAUCAAGUAACUCAUUAGCAGUGUGAGCACAAAAUAAAAAGCUUUUUCACUGUGGAAGGAAUGAAAUAGUUUUUUAUUGCAUGGUUAAGAAAUGCGAUAAAGCCAUCAUAAAAGUUAUUGACAUUUAACAAACCGAUGGGUUUCUGGUGGAUGUGCAGAUGGGCCCAAGAUGCUAAUGUGAUAAGUGCCUCUAGAGUUACAAGAUCUCCUGGUAGGAAAAUAAAAGCAUCAGCAUGAUUAAGCAUUUAAGUUAUUCUUUCUUGCAUACCUGAGACGACUAACUCUUCUCCAGUCGGUGAGUCAGACAAACUGCCCAAAGGUUUUAGGGCUCUUGGGAUGAUGCCUAACACUUGACUUCCUCUGACAAAAGCAGCUUCUGAGACCAAUUUUGAUAACCCUCGGUUACCUCCUCCAUACACCAAGUGUAAUUUUCUCUCUGUUAUGCUUCGACCAAGAUCUAUGGCUGCCUCAACGAACUCUUUAUGUUUGCCAUAGUUAAAUCCAGAAAGCACACAAAUGUUCUUGAAUUGUCUAUUGGGAGUAGCUGCCAUUGGGAUACUUCUCAUUAGGGGUGUUCAGAAUCCAAUCCGAUCCGCUCAAUCCGUCCAAUCCGCUCAAUCUGAUCCGUAUAAAUCCGAUCCAUGGAUUGGUGGAUUGGAUAUGGAUUGAAAAUUUAAAAAUCCGCAGUCGAUGGAUUGGAUAUGGAUUUAAUUCUGUAAAUCCGCAGAAAUCCGUGAAUCCGCAAAAAAAAAAAAUAUAUAUAAUAUUAAAAAAUUAUUAUAAAUUUAAUUAAAAAAAUUAUAAACGUGACAUUGCAUAGUUACUAAGCACUAUAACAUAUCUUAGCCAUUACCCAAUAAUAAUAUAAAAUAAAAAAUAAUUAAAUAAUCAAAUAUACAAAUAUAACUUGUAAAAAUUGUAAAAAAAAAUAAAAGCAAAGUCACACGCACUAGCAAAAGCAAAAUAACAUAACGCCAAGUCACCAACAAUUUGCAAACAAAAAACCAUAAGCUUCCCCGCUGUCACACACACUAGCAACACUCAAUACUGGUUGGAUACACUCUCGACACUGAUUUAAAGGACAUCGGCCCCGCGAUUUUGGCGAGAGCAAGCCAUCUUCUUUCCCAAGUCCAUCGAGCCACUUCACAUUCACUGGUUCCAGCUAAACAAUUUCACUAUCACAACCUUCAAGAUCGUCACCCGUACGGCUUUUCCUGGUUCCCAUCGUGGAUGGCUCCAUAAUCACCACUUUUCGACAGGCGCAACAGCCCUGGUGCAGGAUCAGACUUUGUUUGGUUUCCGAAACUUCGCCAUUUCAAUUAAUUGUGGCUUUAUUUGAACAAUUAAUUUUGGUGUUAUAUUAACGUAUUAUUGUAACUUUAUUUGAACAAUUAAGCUUGGUGUGUUAUAUUUUGAAACUUUGAACGUGUUAUUGUAGCUUUAUUUGAAUAAUUAGUCUCGAUGUGUUAUAUUUUGAAACUUUAAAUGUAUUAUUUUAGCUUUAUUUAAACAAUUAAUUUAUUUAAAUUUAAUUGGUAGCAAAAUUAUUUUAAUAUUAGAUUUUUUUAUUUCAUUAGUUGGAGAGAACUAAAAAUUUUUAAUUCGAAAACUAAUGCGCAAAAUGGUGAAUUGCAUAUGGAUUGAGUCAAAUUCGCAUCCGAUCCGCAGACGUAUGGAUUGGAUAUGGAUUGAGUCAAAUCUGCAUCCGAUCCGCAGAUGUAUGGAUUGGAUUUGGAUUGAAUUUUAUCAAUCCGUGGAUUGGAUUGGAUUGAAAAAUUAUAAUCCGCAAAAUCAUGAAUCGGAUAUGGAUUGAUGUCCAAUCCGUAAAAUCCGAUCCGCGAACACCCCUACUUCUCAAAAAUAAUUUGUGAGUGCUUGACAAAAAAUCAUAUUUAAUAAUCUUGGUGACAGUGGGUCACAGCUGUGUAUGAGGUAGCAUGUCAGUGUCAAUUAACAUGUAAAGCACAUGGCUCGCGAGUCAAAAAAGGAAACAGUAAAAAGAAAAAGAAACAAUGAUAAAAUAAAAUUAUUAAAGACAAUAAUGCAAAUGAUAAAACAGCAGUGAGAUAAAAUAACAGUGAAAUAAAAUGAUAUUUACAGGUAGUUGCGAUUGUGGCUCACAUCUUCCUCUGGUUUUACGUCCAGAAACGGCUUGAACGCCCUCUAUGGGUCGAGGAUAGGCUUUCCAUCCAGUUUUCUUAUAAACUGGCAAACAAGGUCGUUUAUAGUCAAAUUCCCGAGACUAUAUCGUGCAUGCUCUUUCUGGAAUAAUGGCCAUAACUGGAGAAUCGCUCCUUGCACAUAUCCACUAGGAUGCGUUUCAAGAGAAAAAAAGAUAUCAUCCAAUGAUUCCUUAUUCAAGCCAUCCCUAAUGAAUUGAAUCUUAUAUUCCCUGUUAUCAGACACCAUUCCUAAAGAACAUGGGUUUUUAUUGCAUCUCAUUCUGGCACAUUUAUGACAAGCAACAAAAAUUUUCGAGCUCUUCUUUUUCUUGCAUAAUUUCCUUUACCAUAACCAGGCAUGUAUGCAAUAAAUUUUGGAGGUAACUCACCUACCAAUCGUACUUUAGCCUCGAUUAACCAACGGAUGUCAGCAGGUAUGUUAUUCCUCAUGAGCAAUCGCAUGCGUUCGGACCGAGCUUUAUAGAUUGUAAGGAGGGCAUUCUGAGGAAGUGAAGGGAAUCGAUUGUGAAGCUUUGCUAGAAUCUCGUUUAUGUCCAUACCUUCGCCUCAGAAUAUCAGUUAUUAUGAGAAAUUGAAGUAACCGACUUGAUUGUCACGGAGUACUGUUAUCCGCCACUUCACCGGGGUAACAAACUAAAGCACACAAACAAAGAAAAACAAACUAAAACACAUAAAGAAAAUUACAAUUGUCCUCUUAUUGAAUUUACCUCAAGCUCCAACUGGAUGUUGCAGACAUUUCUCUCAAUGACUCUGAGUUGGCUUUCUAAAUCCUCAACAUAGGAUACUAACUCUGGUGGUUGCAGAGCCCAAAUACGAUGUGUUUUACAAAAUCGAAUCUGCCUUUUGAGAUGAGAUUUUACACGUUGAAGUGGUUUAAGAAUGUGCAGGAGGAACUGUUUAGCUAUGGCACUCAUGAUUAACAAUGAUAAGAGAAAACUUAAUGGUUAAACAAACACACUUAUGCAAAAAUAAUUUCAAUUAGCAAAAGAAUAAUAAAAAGAAAGAAAAAAAAUCAAAUCACCGAAAAGAAAGAAGAAAAACUAAAUUCAAAUCUGGUGGGUCACUCAAAUUUAUUUCGGUGUCCUCUCCAUGUGGUUGGUACUCUAGAUAUGGCUUUAAUCUUUAACCAUUAACUUUAAACGUGACACCGUUCUUUGGGUUCUUAAUUUCAAUUGCCCUAUGUGGAAAAACAGUGUGAACAAUAAAGGGGCCAGACCAUCAAGAGCGUAACUUACCUGGGAAUAGGUGCAAGCGAGAAUUGAAUAAAAGCAUUUUCUGACCUGGAGUGAAAGAUUUUCUCAUAAUUUUCUUGUCAUGAAAGACUUUCAUUCGCUGCUUGUAAAUUUUGGCAUUUUCGUAUGCAUCAUUGCGAAUUUCUUCAAGUUCUGCCAGUUGUAAUCUUCUUUCUGAGCUAGCCUGCUGCAUGUCAAAGUUGAAUUUCUUGAUGGCCCAAUAUGCACGAUGCUCGAGUUCCACAGGUAGGUGGCAAGCUUUUCCAUACACUAGCCUAUAGGGUGACAUCCCAAUCGGGGUCUUGAAAGCCGUUCUAUAUGCCCAUAAUGCAUCAUCAAGUCUUAAUGACUAAUCUUUUUUGUCUGGCCUCACCGUCUUUUCUAAUAUGUGCUUUAUUUCUCGAUUGGAGAUUUCAACUUGGCUACUGGUUUGCGGAUGAUAUGGAGUCGCCACUUUGUGAGUGAUUGAAUAUUUUGUCAAAAGAGCUUUGAAUGCUUUGUUACAAAAGUGGUCACCACCAUCACUGAUUAUUGCUCGAGGAAAUCCAAAACGUGAAACAAUGUUGCUUUUCAAAAAUCCUAUCACCACCUUGUGAUCAUUAGUUCUACAUGGAAUUGCUUCUACCCAUUUCGAUACGUAGUCAACAGCAACCAAUAUGUAUUAAUGGCCAAAAGAAGGGGGAAAGGGUCCCAUGAAGUCGAUACCCCAUACAUAAAAAAUCUCAACCACUAAAAUUGGAUUUAGUGGCAUCAUAUUCCUUUGUGUAAUGCUCCCCAUUCGUUGACACCUAUCACAUGAAGAACAGAAAGUGUAAGCGUAUCGAAUUAUAGUUGGCUAAUAGAAACCACAUUGUAAAACUUUAGUAGUUGUUUUCUUAGCACUGAAAUGGCCUCCACAAGCUUGUUCAUGGCAGAAUGAAAGGAUAUUAUGAAUUUUACUUUCUGGGACACAUCGUCUAACAAUUUUAUCUACACAAUACUUGAACAAAUACGGGUCAUCCCAAAAGAAAUUUUUUAUUUUCGUAAAAAAUUUGGCCUUGUCUUGCUUGGUCCAAUGCUCUGGAAGUUGACCUGCAACAAGAUAAUUAACUAUAUCAGCAUACCACGGUAAUACUUCCACACUUAUUAAUUGUUCAUCUGGAAAUGACUUAUUCAAUGUUAGUGGCUCUGUAAUUGUGUCAACAAUUACAGAUGGUCUGCUACAACAUUUUCUGUGCCUUUCUUAUCUUUGAAUUCCAAAUCAAAUUCCUACAAAAGUAACACUCAACAAAUUAAUCUAGCUUUUGCAUCUUUCUUUGUGAAAAGAUAUUUAAGAGCAGCAUGAUCUGUUAAUACAAUUAUUUUACAACCAAUGAGAUAAGAUCGAAAUUUUUCCAAUGCAAACACUACUGCUAGCAUUUCUUUUUUUGUAGUUGAAUAAUUCAAUUGUGCAUCAUUCAAUGUCAUACUAGCAUAGUAAAUAACAUGAGGAAUUUGAUCAACUCUUUGUCCUAAUACUGCUCCUACUACAUAAUCAGAUGCAUCACACAUGAGCUUGAAUGGUAGCUCCAGUUUGGGGGCUGAAUGAUGGGUGAUGAUGUCAACAACUGCUUUAAUUGUUCAAAUGCCACAAAACAUGAAUCAUCAAAGAUAAAAGGUACAUCCUUAGCAAGUAGAUUGCAUAAGGGUCUAGAAACUUUGCUAAAAUCUUUAAUGAAACAUCUAUAAAAACCAGCAUGCCCAAGGAAAGAUCUUACUUCUCUGACUGUUUUAGGUGGAGGAAGAUUAGAAAUGAGAUCCACCUUGGCUUUAUCAACCUCAAUACCUUUGCUCGAAAUAAUGUGACCGAGAACAAUACUUUGUUUUACCAUAAAAUGGCACUUCUCCCAAUUUAAGACUAAGUUCUUCUUGAUACAUCUCUGCAGAACUAGUGUUAGAUGAUGUAAACAUUGAUCAAAUGAGUCACCAAAGACAGAAAAGUCAUCCAUAAAGACUUCAAGGAAUCGCUCAACCAUAUCAGAAAAAAUGCUUAACAUGCAUCGUUGAAAUGUAGCAGGUGCAUUACAUAAUCCAAAUGGCAUCCUCCUAUAUGCAAAAGUGCCAAAAGGGCAAGUGAAAGUGGUUUUCUCUUAAUCUUUUGGUGCUAUAGGAAUCUGAUUGUAUCCUGAGUAGCCAUCUAGAAAGUAAUAAAAUUCAUGGCCUGCUAAUCUAUCAAGCAUUUGAUAGAUAAAUGGUAAAGGAAAAUGGUCUUUCCGUGUGACAGAAUUCAAUUUUCUAUAAUCAAUGCAUACACGCCAUCCUGUAGUCACUCUAGUGGGUAUCAAUUCAUUAUCAGCAUUGGUAACUACUGUGACUCCUGACUUUUUGGGGACAACUUGCACAUGACUAACCCAUGAACUAUCAGAAAUUAAAUAAAUGAUACCUACGUCUAAUAGCUUAAGGACUUCAGUUCUAACAACUUCUUUCAUAUUAGGAUUUAACCGACGUUGCAUUUCCCUAGUAGGUUUAGCAUUUUCAUCAAGGUGAAUGUAAUGCAUGCAGUUUACUGGGUUUAUACCUUUUAUGUCCGCUAUGGUCCAUCCUAAUGCUCCUUUGUGCUCUUUUAAAACAUCCAACAACUUACAUUUUUUUUCGUCAUUUAGGGACGAUGAGAUGAUUACCGGUAGAGUACUUUCUUCUCCUAAAAAUGCAUAUUCCAAAGUGUUGGGUAAUGGUUUGAGCUCGAGUUUCGGUGAUGAUUUUGAUGAUGGGAUGAGUUUCUUUUCUGAUGGUGCUAGUUGUUCAACUAUUGACUUCCAUUUAUUAGUGUCCAUGGAUGGUGCUGAGACAAGCAGGGCGUUGACCUCAUCAACUGAUCUGUCAAUAUCAAACUCAAAACCAAAGUGAGUUAAACAUGUUUGUAAAGGAUCAUCACUAAGGUUUGAAAGAAAAGUGUUAUCAACUAUUUCUUCUAUUAAAUCCACAUCAACAAUUCCAUCAUCUGUAUUAUGAGGUUGUUUGGCAAUGUUGAAAAUGUUUAGCUCCAUAGUCAUGUUGCCAAAGGACAACUACAUAUUUCCAGUCCUGCAUUGAAUGUGAGCAUCCGCAGUUGCCAAGAAAGGUCGGCCUAGGAUAAUGGGGAUGUGCUUCCUUAAAUCUUGUAUUGGUUGAGCGUCAAUUACAAUAAAAUCAACAGGAAAAUAAAACUUGUCUACCUGGAUAAGCACGUCCUCUACAAUACCACAAGGUAUUUUUGUGGACCGAUCUGCAAGUUGUAACACCACUGGAGUUGGGUGUAAUUCUCUCAGUCCACGUUUCACGAAUAUAGAGUAAGGCAACAAAUGUACACUAGCUCCUAAAUCCAACAAAGCAUUCUCAAUUGUGUGGUUCCCUAUACUACAUGAGAUAGUAGGGGAGCCUGUGUUUUUGCAUUUUAGAAGAAUUUUGUGUUGGAUUAUAGAACUAACGUUUUCUAUUAAAAAGGCCUUCUUUUGAACGUGAAUGUUUCUCUUUUUAGUACAAAGGUCUUUAAGAAAAUUGGCAUAAGAUGGAACUUGUUUUUAUAGCAUCAAGUAAAGAGAUGUUAACACUUACCUGUUUGAAGAUUUCAAGAAUCUCACCUGUGGAUUUUCCCUUCUUUCCUUUAGCUCACCUCUGAGGAAAUGGAGCUUUGGGAACAUAUUCUCAUGGAUUGGUUUCUUCUUUCUCUUCCGAUGGUGAGUCCUCAACAUUCACAGGUACAAUUUGAUUUUCUUUUGUCACUGGUAUCUCCACUUUGUUGUGGACUUCUUUCCCUUUUCGUAAGGUCAUGACUGCUUUGACUUCUCCAUGCUGCUGUGGUGAACUGGUACUUACGUCAUGCACUCCUUUAGGAUUAGGCACUGGUUGACUUGGAAACUUGCCUUUCUCAACAGUCAUUGCCAAGGUCUGAACUGAAUAAGCAAGUUGUCCCACCAUUUUCUCGAGGCUUGAAACUGAUUGGGCUUGUGAGUUGAUGCCUACUCUCAUCUCAUUUCGUAUUCCAUCAAUGGUGUGGUUCUGUUGCUCAAUCGUAGAGUGAGUAACAUUCUUGAAAUUCUGGAAUGCAUCCUCCCAUGGUCUGGGUUGAGAGUAGUUCUCGUUCUGAUUGUAUGGUCUAAAUGGUGGCUGAGAGGCUUGAGGAAUUUGAGGAAUUGGUUGCAUUAGUGGAGCUGGAGCUGCUGGUCCAUUCUGUUGGAAUCCUUGAGACCAUGAAAAAUUGGGGUGGUCUCUCCAUCCAGGGUUAUAUGUGUUGGAGUAUGGGUUGUAAUUUGAUGGUUUUCUCAUUACACCUAUGGCAUUGGCUUGAUCUGAGUAUGAGUCAUGGUCAUGUGGUUCUGUUGAUUUAGCAGUCGUUAACGAUGUUAUUUGUCGAGAAAGACCUUCAACCAUUUCCUUAACUUCUUUGAUUCCUGAAGUUGACUCGCCAAUGUGAACCUCAUUCACUCCUUUAAUUCUUUCAGUAUUCCUAAGUGAUCGACUCCGUUGUUGGGAAUUAUCCGCUUGUCGCUGGAAGAAUUCUCAAAUCUCUGAUGCACUUUUUGACAUUAGCUCUCCUCCACUUGUUGCCAUUAGUCAUUCUUGCACAAUCGGCAAUAAUCCCUCCAAACAGUAUUGGCAUUGGUGUCAUUUCUCGUACCCAUGAUGUGGACACUUCAAGAGUAGCCCAUUGAAUCGCUCCCAUGUUUCGAAAAACUGAUCGUCUUCUCUCUGGGUUAACUCUGAAAUUUCCCUGCGAAUAGCAUUGGUUUUAUGAACUGGGAAAUAUUUAUUCAAAAAUUUAGUUACCAUUUGUUCCCAUGAUGUAAUGCUAUUUGCAGGCAAAGUUUAAUCAUGAACGAGCUCUAUCCUUUAAAGAAAAUGGGAAUAAUCUAAGUUUAACAUCAUCGUCUGAAAAAUUCUCAUAUUUAAAAGUUUGACAAACAGCAUGAAAAUCAUUCAGAUGAUUAUAUGGGUCCUCAUUUUCUAAGUCAUAGAAUGUUGGGAGACAAUUUAGCACACUAGGUUUUAGUUCAAAACUCCUAGCAGCUACAUUUGGGUAUCUUAUGCAUUAUGUGCUCAAAUUAGCUAAGGGAUUGAAAUAGUCCUUAAAUGGCCUCUCUGGUGGUGCUUGUUGUUGCAAAUCCAAUUUAAUUUUAUCUUGAAUGUGUUUGUGUGUGCGCAAUGUUUUUUUCUAAUUCAAGGUCUAUAGGUUCAAGAUUAGGUAAUAAUGACCUUCGACCAUACAUGCAAUGAAUACAAAAGAAUGAGAACAAAAUUAAUAAAAAUAAACAAGAAGGAGAAAUUACGGUACUAACCUUAUCACGUUGUUAAAACCUUUCUAUAAAAACACACUAAAAAAAUACGUGAAAUAAAUUAACUAAAAAUAAAUUAAUAAAAAAAAUUACAAAGAAAAAUAACUUAAAAAUUAAAUUGCAGAAUUGUAAAGAAUAGAGAAAGAAAAGAAAUUAUUACCUCCAAAUGCAGAUUCACUUUUUUUUCCUUUUUUUUUAAUAAGAAAAAAAAUACAAGAAAACAAAUAAAAGAAAUUAUUCACAAAAAUUAAUUCUACAAAUUAAAAUAACUUACCUCCCCGGCAACGGCGCCAAAAACUUGUUGUGCAAAUUUUAUUGAACUCGCAAGUGCACGAAUCUAUUGUAGAAUAGAUUAAUGGUGACGAGUGUCGAUCUCACGAGGAGGUGGAUUUUAAUUAUAUGUAGAAUUAAUUUUGUAUGAGGGUGAUUAGAUUUGUGGUGAAAGUGACUUAGAUUAUCCUAAAAUUGGAAUUGAAAUGGCGAGAAUAAAUUGAAGAGAAAUCUAUUGAAAUGACGUACUUGGGUAUCUGGAUCCGUAUCAACAUGCACCAUGGGCUAAAUAUUCCUUAUUAAUGUCAAUUAAAUCAUGAGGGAGGUUUCCACACCUCAUGAACCACGCUUUAAUCAAUAUAGUGCUAAGAGCUUAUCGUGCUAAAUAAUAAUAACCUUGUACUAGGGAGCCAGUGAAACCAAGGCGGUAUCCAGACAAGAUUAUUAUUAUUUGUCGACGAGAAGUCAAAACAUCCACAAAAACUAGAGGGGAAGAGAAAAUAAAUUUACCAAAUAAAGCCCAUGACACAUGUUGAGACUCCACCUUCAACCCAAGCUUGAAAGAAAAUUAGCUACUCAUAAUUGAACUAGGGGCAAAAUGGGAAUUUAUUAAAAUAAGUAGAAAAUACAAGAUGGAGAAGGAAUUACAGAAAAUGGAGUCCAAAAAUAGAUUCAGAGAUAUCAAAUUAGGGGGGAGAGGUCCCCUUUUUAUAGAUACAUUGAGUAAAUCAUGGCCAUCGGAUUAAAAAUAGUUUGGACGCUCAGGAUUGCGCCACGUCAUCAGUCAACAGUACGCGGUUUGACCACGUGUUUGAACAGUGACACGGUUUGACCACGCGGUUUGAACAGUCAACCGGUUUGAAUAGUGACACGGUUUGGUUGAAAAUAAUCCUAUGUAUAUGCAUGUACUGUACGCGCAAUUUUUGGUCCACUAACAUGCUGCCACGUCACCGAUCAACAGUGCAUAAGAAUUUUCUCCAAUGGAAUCGUGACACCUCAUCAGUCAAUGCCACAUCAUCGGUCAAUGUCACGUCAUCGAUCCAUCUAUGUGAACAGUGUCGUGAACAGUAACGUAGACAAUACCAUACAUGUGAAUAGUACCGUACAUGUGAACAGUGACAUUUUUCCUUUUAUGCUCUUCCUAAGGUUUUCGACUGUCCUGAGUUCAAAAGUGAUGUCUGUUUUACCGUCUGAUUUCUCGUUCAUUGUGAAAUGAUCAUGAUGCCCCUAAAAUACAUAAAAUACUUAAUUAAAAUAAAGCACACAUAAUUAAAUCACAAGAAGCUUAAAUACAUAAAAGUAAGGGUGUUAGUAAAACUUGAAGUGUAAAAUGACAAUUUUCUUUUUUAUAAAUAUACAUUUUCUAACACUCAACACCAGACAGUCCAAUGAAAAGGCAAUCACCAAGAAAGAAGAAGGAAUCACCAGUGAAGCCUCACAAGAAACCAAGAAUGACUCUUGAUUGUCCAGGAGACAAACCAUACAGUCCAAAGAAAAAGACGUCACCAAAAAAGCCUCAAGAGAAGCCAUUGUCAAGAAGAAGAACAAGGAAUUAUCAUACUGUGCAUAUGAACCAAGUUAUUGGGAUUGUAAUAUUUGGAAAUCUUUGUGAAAAGAACUUGGCUCAAAUGGGUUAUUACGUACCUUAUCAGGGGGAUGAAGACCAUUUGGGUUCAUAUACAUAGGACUUUUAUCAUCAGCCCACGAUAAGGAUGCCUUUGCUACAAGGGUAGAAAGGGCACAAUUUAUUGUCGAACGGUUGAACAAAGCAAACAAAGGGCAAAUGAUUUUCAUGCCAUAUAACCUUUGGUACAGUUCUAUUUACUUUCUAUUAAUGAUCAUUUACUAAAAUUGGUUCAUAAAUUCAAUUUCUUUGUGUAAUAGUUUCCAUUGGGUGUUGAUUGUAAUUGAUAUGACGACAAAGCAAGCAUUUUAUCUAGAUUCUACGAACAACGAUUUGGGUGACGACAGUGACCUGAAGGACAUAGUUACCAAGUAUGGUGAUAUUGUAUUUCUAAUAUAAUUUUAUAUAUCAUGUUUAUUUACUAACUGCAUGUAUUGUAAUGUAGUGGGAUUUCAAUGCAUGUUGUGAUGAUUGGUAAAAAAAGGGUGAAACCACAUAUCACAAAAGUUUUGGUAAGCAAUCAUGACUUUUUUUCUUUUUUUGCAGCACAUGACUUGUUAAUAUUUAAUCACUUGAAAGAAUUCAUAUGCAUUUGUAUUAAUGAUUAUUCUAUUGAUGAUAUAGUCCCCAAAUCAACCAGGGAGUACUAAGUGUGGAUACUAUGUGCUGAGGUUUAUUAAAGACAUAAUUGCAUAUCUGAGUUUACUUCUCCAUGAUGUAAGUACACAUUCUUUUAGAUGCGUUGUAGGAUUACUUCACUUAUUACCUUUAACUAUAUAUAGUUUACUUUAGUCUGACAUGUGAUCAUCAUUUAACAGUUUAAAGAGAAAUGUGAAUACACUCAAAGUGAUCUUGAUGAAAUGCGUCUCAAGUAUGCUUCCUUUGUGUCUGAGCUAAUAGUAUGACCAGUGGAGUUGAUGAUGUGUAGUUUUUUGAAGUUCUAAUUAUUGGUGGUAUUAUGGUAGUAUUUUGAAUUUCUAAGUGGUAGUGAAUUUGAUAAAGUCUUUAUGGAAUUUCAAAUUCCUUGUUACUAGAAGAUGAUAUUGUUUUGUUCCAACACUAUGUUUAUCAGCCUGGAGGUGUAAGAUCUAGAUAAGCUUGGUAGUGUUUCAGAUGAUAUAUAGUGUUGUGAUGUUUUUGUAUGUUGGUAAUGAUCGAGAUGGUAGUGUUGGGAUGUAUUAUUGUGAUAAUUGAAUAGAUGAUUUUUUACAAUGUUAUGGUUAUUUGAAGUGAUGUUUUGAUGAUAUUGUUGAGAUAAUUUUGAUGUAUUGAUUUUAUACAUAUUUUGAUUUUAACAUUUCAAUGGAAUUUAUAAAAUUAUAAAAUAAUAAUACUAAAAAUAUUAUUUAAUAAUAUUAUUAUUUAAAAUAUUAAAAAUUAUUUUCUAAUUUAAAAAUAUUUAAAAUAUUAAUAUUAUUUAAAAUAUUAAAAAUUAUUUUCUAAUUUAAAAACAUUAAAAAUUAUUUUAAUAUUAUUAUUAUUUAAAAAAAGAUUCUCAUCAUGACACCAUAUUAACAUCAUAAAGCUGCGACACAUAAUUACCCGCCAUAAUUUAAAGUUGCAUUCAUAACACCCGCCAAAAGUUUUUUCACAAUAAAACAAAUUUACCACCAAAAUAUUAAAAUGACGUCGCCUUUUUUGUGUCACAUUUGUGAUCGCUAUAAGCUGUCACAUACUCCUGUGAUAGAUAAAUUACUGUCACGGAUUUAUCACAGAGGAUACAAUGACAAAUCGAAACUCUGUCAUAAAGAGGGUCGGAUGACAGAUAUUCUCUGUCAUGAUAGCCCAUUUUUCUAGAAGUGAUUCAUGGUUUUCUUAAGAUUUUACAUCAUCUUAGCUUUAUGCAUUUAAUGAGGGGUAAGGUUUACUAUAUCCCCUAAUUAAUUGUGUUAAUUCUAUUAUUUAUAGAGUUGUUAUUUUAUGGCAAGUCUAAUAAAUUAAAAUUUUAUUUACUGAAUAUCAUGUAAUAUGUUUUAAUUUAUUAAAUUCCUAACUAAUUUAAUGAAAUUCCAAGAUUUCCCAUGGAAAUAGGUAACUCACCAAAAGAUAUAUUUUGUGAAAGGUCAAGUUCUUUCAAAGAACUAAGAUUUCCAAUGGAAAUAGGCCACUCACUCGACAAAAAAUUUGCAGAGAGAUCAAGUUCUUCCAAUGAAUGAAGAUUACCAAUGGAAAUAGGAAGCUCACCCUGUAAUUCAUUUAAUGAAAUGUCUAAAUGAAGGAGCUUCGAUAGAUUACCGAGUGAAGAUGGAAUUCUUCCUGAAAUUUGUUAACAAAAAAAUUUAACAAAAUUCAGACAAACCAUUGCCAGCAAGCAUUGUUUAAACAUUGAAUGGAAAGGCAAGUAAAGAAUUGAAUAAACCUGAUGCUAGAAAUCGAAUUUGAAAGGGAACAAAGCAUUGAAAUCCUGCAAUUCAGAAAAAAAAAUUAAAAAAAAAGGACAUACUGAAUUAAAUGAUUGAGCAAUUUAAAAAUUUAAUAAAAGGACAAAGUAUAAGCUUCUUGAAUUAAAUAAAAAAUAAAAAAUAACCAAUGAAACAAACAAGAAUUAAAAAAAUAAAUAAUAAAGAUAAACAAUUCAUGAUAGAAAUCCCAAAAACAGGGCAUAAAGUAUGAACAAAUAAGGGAGAUAACAAAACUGACAAUUAAUUUUGUAAUGGCCAACUAAUUUAUUCAAAAUAAAAAAUAAAAGCUAAUUGACAAUAAACCUAAGGAUUCAGCAAUUACAAGGAUGGCUUCUCCACCGCCAAUUAAACAAUCCAAAGAAAUAGUAACAACGACGGCUUCAAUAGCGAACGUGUUGUUCGAAGGCGCAACAAUGAGCAUAUAUGGUGAUUUUGUUCCUAAAAAUUUAUAAUGAAGUGGUUGCUUCAAUAGCAUAUACGAUGAUUUUGGUUUCCAUGCAAUGGAUUUCAAAACCAAUUUGUAGAUUAAAGUAGGGCUUGUUAAUUUUGGUUUUUGAGGGGUUUCAAUGCUUAGGUUUCUCAGCCCUUGCCGAUGGAGUGAUGAAGUCAAAGGAGCUGAAGUGUUUAUGAAAAAUUAGAAUUUUCUUGUAGUUUAAAGUCUAUAGUAAAUGACAGCGUUUAGAAGUUAAAUAAAUAUUUUUAUUUUUUAAAUUUUUUAAAUUAUGAAAAAUCAACACACAGUGCCGUUUCAUGCCCAAAUUGAUCAAUCAUAAACUCACUGUUUCAUUAAAUAUUAAUAUGCUAUCAUAUUUAUAUGAUGUAUAAAAACUCUAUCACAAAUUUAUCAUGCCUUUAUGAUGUAUGAAAAUUAUAUCACGUGUCUAUCAUAUUCUUGUGAUAAAUGACUAAUUUUCUAAUAUCUAUCACAAAAAUUCUGUCAUGUUAGCCCAUUAUUCUAGAGUGAGAUAUUUAUCCAACUAGACUACAAAGUAAUUGAAAUUAAUUGUAACACCUAUGGCCAAAACUUGGACCCAGUGUUAUUCUAUAAUCAAAAUUGAAACCUAUAACUACAGUCAACUUGAAUCUGAAUCAAAUGGGCAAAUGCGAGCAAACACCUUCUCUAGGCUCUAACCAUGAAACAAUAAUCAAAUCGUCAGACUUCUAAAAUAAGCCAAUGAAACAUUACUCACAAACCCAUCUAUUAACAUCUUUAAAGCUUUGGCACUGAAACUUAAAAGAGAGUUUUGUGUUAAAUAGUAUUGAAAGUAAACACAACAGCAAUUAUAUAUAGCAAAGAUUAGUGGGAAAACAGAUGUAUUAAAAUUGUUCUUGACUCCCAAUUCUGCCAGAAUAAAAUAAAUGAGCGUAACAAGCAACCGGACCACAGAGAAAGAUAUCUCCAACACCAUAAGCGGUCGCUUCUGAAAAUGCAUUCUGGUAGCAGCUCUAGUUCUUCUCACGGUACAAGUAUGCGUACUCAUGGUAACAGCAAAUCCAAAUGCAGCAAGAAGGAUGCUCCUCUUCCCAAUCAACAAAAAAGUAUUGUCAUUCAUUAUGUGAAAAAUUUUAAGAUCAGAAAUUGGAGGCCAAUUGUGUUCAAAACUCUGAUAUUUUACUUCGAUCUAUCCAAAACCAAAAAUGAAAAUGAAUACUCGAGCAAUAUUCAAAUAUCGAAAGAGCAUAUUUUUAAAAUGAAGUGAGGAAAAAAAAUUUCAGUAUCAAUUAUCAUCAACGGGUUCUUGAUGUUAGGAAUAAGCAUUAAAAUGAGCUGCUCAGGUCGUCUGAUGAAUCAGCAAGCUGUUAAGCAAUAUGCUGAGUCAUCAGCCACGUCAGCAGUCAGUUACGGAGGCUGUUGCUUUGCUUAAGAAGCCUCUGGACAUGUAUAUAUAAACCCCUGUAAUCUCAAAUGUUGUUACAAGCGGCCAAGGUCACGCUCAUGAUUUUGUUGCUUGUAGAAGCUCCUGGACAUAAACCCCUGUAAUCUCCGUUCAUUUUGUAGCUUAAUGAAAUGAAUUUGGCUCACUAUUCUUCUAUCAAAACUUUUAGUAUUUUCCCUUCAGUUUCUAGGCAAACAAACACAGCAACAUCUUUUAACUCUUGAAAUCUUCCACCUCCGGUGCAAGCCUCAGUCACAAUGUAUUCACUCGAUGGCACAUCUUCACCCCAACUUUUCGGUAAAGUGAAUUAAAGCUUUCAGAACGACACAUAAAACUUGAAAUUGUUCCUGUAACACACAGACAAUCUUUAGUUCGGUAUUGUAACUUCAAUUUCUUAUAAUCUCAUUAAUAUACUUUUUGAAUUUUAUUGUGAUCUUCAUUAGGCGUUAAUUUUUAUUUUUCCUUAAAAAAAAAACUCUUCCGGAGUCAUUGUAAGAUUCUUGACAAAUAGUAAAAUGUAAUGUUUGUUCUCCUGAUAAAUUUAUGUAAGGCAGUUAGAAAAUAGCAUAGCUUUCUUCUAAGUUAUAAUUAUUGGGUCCAAUUAACAAGUUGGAUAAUCUUUACAUAUGCUUUUCAAACUAUUAUUUAAUAUUUGAUUAUUUUACUAAUAUUUAGAAUUAAAAAAAUCUAUCAAGAACUCCAAAAGAAAAUUCACAUACUAUUUAGUAUCGAGGUUAAGCAACUGUAGAGAAAAAUUAUAAUACUAAAAUAUUUAAUAAAUACUAGUUCAUGUAAUUUAAAAAUUAUAUUAAUGUGAUUUACUACUUAUAUGAUAAAAAACUUGUAUCUUUACUAUCAGUAACGUUUGCUACUAAUGUUAGAGCACUAAUAAGGGACUUUAUUCUAUUUUUGUCAACUUUUCGGCGGUUCAAUAGUUUUCAAUUCAGAAUUUGGCCAACUUCCUCCAUUCAUUUCUCAAUCUUAAUGCUUUAAUAAAGAAUACAUGAGCGGAUGACUAUGUCUCUUUUGUGGACUUGAAUGUUGCCUUGCAACUAGGGAUUUUCAAUCCCUAUCUCUCCUUCUUAACAAUUUUGAUAGGCUUCUAAACUACCAUAAAAAAAAUAGUAGAGAGAGAGGAAAAAAGUAAUCUUCUAUUAGGAUUUCAAACUUCACAAUAAGAGAAAUUAGCAUGAAAUGGCAAUUUCUACACAAGUUGGAUAUUAAUUUAUUUUAAAGGUUGCGCGAUUGAAUUGGAAGUUGAGGGUCCAUCAUUCAACACUAUAAGAAAAAAGAGAAUAAUUGAUAUUUAAAAACUGUCAAAUAAAGGAAUAUUUGACAAUUAAAAAGUGCCAAAUAUUCCUGUGUCAAAUAUGCUUAUUUGACAUUUAGUAAAAUUGUCAUUUAUUUUUGUCAAUUAAUAAUAAUCAAAUAUUUUUCACAAUAUAAGAUUGUCAAAUGUGUAUGACACUUAAUAAUAGUCAUAUGCAUGUGACAUUAUUCAAAAUGGUCAAAUGCAAAUGACUUGAUAAAAAUAUCAAAUAUUAUAAUUCCUUGUCUUGGGCUGCAAAUUAUAUAUAUUAUAACAUAGAAACCUAAUAAAAUUCAAAAAAAUUCAACUAACUUCAAACACCAUAAUAAAGCAUAGGAAACCUGAAUUCAUAUUAAAAUGAACUUGCAUUGUAUGUAUAAAUGUAUCAAAUGUCUUGAGUAUAAAUCUAAAAUAAGAUGUUUCUAAAACUAUACAUUGAGCCUAUAGUUAGCAUUCCACCAUCGGUCCAAAAGUUUUUCAUAGCAGCGUUGUACAUACAAAAGGAAAAGCUUUUAAACAAAUUUCCAUUAACCCAAUAGAUCUGAUAUUUUAUAACCCUUAUAUCCCCUUUGAUUGUAAAUGUUUCUUGGUCUUGAGAUCUAUAUAACUCCGCGGCAUAGCCCUACACAUCAAGAAACCAAAAUUACUGCCAUAUACUACUGUUAUUGUUUAAGGAAGAGGCUAAAAAAGUAAGUCAUGGUUACCAGUAAGGCAUUGACAAAUUUUGAUUGAAUUAACUGAGAGCUUUUAUUAUGAAUCCAACUAGAUGAUAUAGUUGCCUUAUGCAAUGAAAGCAUAAGAUAUCUAUGCACAAAGAGAAGGAAAAACCUAUGCAUGAAAAAUAUUAACAAUAAACUAAUGUACUUCAAUUGAAUCAUAUGCUAUUUACCUGCAUUACUUGUCUCUUUUGCAUUUUUUUUUCAAAUCAAGUCACUAACAUAAGUGGUCCAAUCAGAGCGAAUUUCGUUGAUCUCAACUUCAUUAUAAGUAUAUUUUUCAUUGAACUGACAUCAAAAGACAAAAAAAACAAUAUUUAUUUGUCACUCCUUCAAUUCAUAGACUUCAUUUUAACCACAUUUCCCUAUAAAAUUUGCAAUAAGUUUAAGCUAUGUUAAUGUUCUAACCUUUGCAGAAAGUAUACUUUGAUCUGCAAUUUCAUUUGCAAAUAUCAAAUUCACAACACAAAACUCGAACAUAAAAAAAAGCUUGAUUUAACAAAAAUAAAAAAAUGACGUAAUUACCAUUAAAUUGAACUUUAUAACUUAUAAUCUGACCAUAAGUAAUCCAAUGGCAGUUAUUGUUGAGAUGAUAUUUAUCCUAAUUUAUUUCCCACAAUUGCAAUUAUGGUUGUAUCCAAAUUAUUGUCAAAUCUAUUUGCAAAUAAAUGUACAGAUUGAUGCCUUCCAAAAGUUGUCUCUGUAAUAUAUUCAUAACAAAGCAGAUACCAUCCAAUUUCGACCUUGGGUUUUGUAUUUAUGCAUUACACAAACAAUCUACGGUGAACAUAUAUAUAUAUAUAUAUAUAUCAGUAAUAAUAACAAUUUUUUUCCUAGUCUUUGGUCAUGUGUGCCUUUGUUCAACACAACAAAACUUCAAGACAAAAUAUUCAGAUUACUUAAUGCACUCCGAUAAAGCAUGUUUCUACGUUUAAUAUUGCACAACACACUCUUGACACCCGCAUUCUGAAUUUCUUCCUUAUUUGUUUAAUUUUGUAUAACAAUAGCUUAUAUUAGAAAAGAAUUCACAGAUGGUUGCAAAGAGAGGAUUCACCAGAGUAUACUUUGUGGCUUGCUACAGAACAUAUUAGCAAACUAGAAAGUACCUAAACGGCUAAACCUAAACAUUAGAAACAAAGCCAAGUAGACCCAUUUGAAAUGUAAUUCCUUCAAGAUAAAUGCUGUAGUACCUCUUUCUAUCAGCUACAGUAGCACCUUUCACAUCCUUUGAACUAGGAUCACCCUUUUGUUUCUUGAGAGUGAGCGAUCUAAUCAGUAUGUUCUGUUGAUUUGUCUUUAUCAAUUGGUCCUCUGGAGGAACAAGUAAGUGUUAGAAUGAAAAAUGAUCUUAUAACAAUGAUCGAUCAGUAAAUUUUCACCACAGCCUUUCCUUCAGAAAUUCCAUAAAUUAAAGUAGAAUGAUGAAUAAUAGACUCCAAAAUAUGAAAUAAGAGAAUUCUAACAUGGUAAAUUUAUCCUUUCCAUAUAUGUACCUAUAAUAGAUUUGUAUCUAAUUAAUGAUGUAAAAAUGUGAAUCUGACAACAUCACAAGUUAGGGUUCUUUUAAAACAAAUGAAGAAAGAGUAGAAAUAUGCAGCAAUCAGAAUACAGAGUCAUGCUUUGUAAGCUCAUCAAAAGUUGAGAAAUAUAUACAGAAGGUUUAGAGAACACAGAUACUUGGCGGUGAUGUGUCAUGCUCACAAAUGUAAACUCGCAUACCACCCUGCACAAAUAUUUGAACAUUCAAACAAAGUCAUUGAAACUGGUUCUUAAGACAGGAAUAUGAAUUUCAAUAAUUAACUAAACUGAAAUAUUAAAAAGCCCAGCUGGCAAUAAUUUUUUCAAGAAAAUAUUAAAGGAAAAGAAGAAAAUAAAUAAAAUUCUAAGAACAUUUGCAACCAAAAUCUAAACAACCUCAAUCUUAGAAAUGCAACAACUAUGAAGAGAUGCUCAAUCUCAAACCAUAAAGAAACACAUUUAUAAGGCAAUAUCCUUUUGCAAAUUAAGGGAUUGGAAAUGUUGGGUGUAGAAGUACAGAACAGCCUCCAACAUACUGAUAAAGCUAUCAGGAAAUGGGGGCAUGUAACAUUUUAACUGUACCACAUGCAUCUCUACAAAUAUUCCAUUGAUAGAUCAAAAUUCAAGUAGCUAUGCCUAAAUCUUUAACAGCACCACCAACAUACUAAUAAAGCUAUCAGGAAAUGGGGCAUGUAACAUUUUAACUGUCCCACAUGCAUCUCUACAAAUAUUCCAUUGACAGAUCUUGCAACCAGAAAACAAACUUGCGUUUCCCAUGGAAAGAAACCAUGAAAACCCAUCUAUGUUAGUUCUAAAGAUCAUUGGUUGAUUUUUCCAAAAUGAAAGAGAAUAAGUAGAGCUUCUAAAAAAAAUAAUAUUAGAAAGAAAAAAACAUAAAUAUACUUCUUAUUUCUUAACACCUAGUUAACUAACUUACCAUUACAGGGGAAAAAUAAAAGAUAUCAGCAUAAUUACAAGAUAAAUGCAAGGAUACACACUUAAGUCCCUAAGCGACUAAAUAACAUUAAUACACUUUUUGAUACCCUAGAAAAGUAACAAUAACCAAAAAAGGGGAUCGGCCAACUCUUAAACUAAAAUAAAGAAAACCAAUUAUCAUCGUCACCUUGAAUAAAUUCUUAUAAUUUUCUGGUUCAUCACUAAAUUCUCUAAUAAAAUAAAACCUCUAAGAUCACCAAUACAAUUCAAACAAACUCAAUUCGUAACCCAAUUACAAAAUGAAGAAUGAACCAACUGAUAACAAAAAUAUUACAACAAGGUCAUCCCAGGUUUCAAAAUCACCAAUAAUUAAUUUUUUUUAAAAAAAAUCUCGCCUGUCUAAUUUUAAGCAGAAUCUCUUCUCCCUUUGCCGCUUCUUCUUUGCUUUCAUAAAGCCCAGCUCCAACCAAAAACUUCAACCCUAAAGGAAAUCAAAAUCAGGGUUUUCUAUAUAGAAAGAAAAAAGUAAUUAUAAAUAAAGAUAAAACAAAACCUUUUCUAAGUCAUGGGUUCUUUGCAUAUGACCCUCCAUCGAUCCCGCAAUUGAUAUUGGCUUCGUCACUCCAUACUGCUUAGGCGGUAACGGCGGAAAAAUCAUUCUCUUCGAACUCAACAUUAAAAACAAUGAAAUACCACCUACAAAAAAGCCCUAAUUUUUGGAUUCGAACUUUCAAAAAAACCCUAGCUUUGCUCAAAUUCUUCACAACACUUUCUAAUUCAAGGGUAUUUUAGGUCAAGGAUGGCGAUUUGAAGGUUGACAGCAACGGCUGAGGUAGAUCAUUGUUAUAAAGAGAGAGAGAGAGAGAGAGAGAGAGAGAGAGAGAGAGAGAGAGAGAAUGAAGGAAGAGAGCUUCAGUUCAUAGCAAGAAGCGGCCGUGGGGAAUGUUUUUUCACUUUUUAAAAAUUUUAGAUUUUAGGUUUUCAUGUACACCUUCCAUUAAAACGACAUAGUAUCUAGGUAAUUUAAUUUAAUUUUUAAUAUUAUUUACUUAUUAAGCCAAAAAUCAAAAUCCAACUCAUGGCCCAGUGGUUAAUGUUUAAAAUUAAAAAGUUAAAGUUUAGAGGUCUUUAGUUCGAUUACUAAUGGACACAAAAUUAAAAUUUUAUUUUUCUAAUUACUAACACCUCAUUGUCACAGAUCUCUGAUAUUUAAUUUACAGACACUAUAGUAUCACAAAUUUGUGAUAUUUAUUUGUUAAACACGGAAAAUGUCUGAAAUGCAUGUAAUUACUGAUACUUUUUAAUAAAGUAUCACAAGACAAGUGUCAGUAAAGGUCAUUUUUCUAGUAGUGUUACUAUUUCUUCUUCUAAUCCAUUAUACCCUUUUCGACCAAGGUUAAACAUUCUAAUUCUUUCCUAAUAUUGAAAUCAACAAGGUCCAACCGAGAAUUAAGUCCAUCUUUUGCUUUUCCUGGAAUGUUCAAUAAUUUACCAUAUAUACUUUCGCACACAUUUUUUUCAAUGUGCAUUACAUCUAACAUAUGGCGAACAUGCAAAUGUUUCCAAUACUCGAGAGAAAAAAAUAUUGAUUUCUUUUUCCAGCAAAUUUUUUCAUCAGAAUCUAAUUUUUUACGCUUUAUAGUUUUCUUCCCCCAUGAGUUUUGAAUCCCUUCAACCUUUCUUAAUGUUUCUUCACCACUUAAUGGCUUAGAAGGAAAGUCUCUUUCUGGUUUACCAUUAAAAGCCUUUUUUAAAUCUCAAAACAAGUGAGAUUCUAGGAGAUAUCGCCUAUGGCGCAUGUACACAUUUUUCCUCCCAUGCUUAAGUCUACAGGACUGCGUAUCUUCCCCACAUAUAGGACAUGCAAAAUAUCCUUUGAGCAUCCAAACAAGUUCCCAUAAGCAGGAAAAUCACUAAUUGUCCACAACAAGACAGCCCGUAGAGUAAAUAAUUCUUGUCUAUAUGUAUCAUAAAUUUGGACACCAAUUUCCCACAAAGUUUUCAAGUCAUCAAUCAGUGGUGACAAACAGGGGCGGAGCCAGCAUAGGACCAGGUGGGGCACAUGCCCCAGCUGGCUUUCAAAAAAAUUUUUUGAUGGUUCUCUUAAAAAAAUAUAUUUUAUUUAUUAUUUAUCAAAAUGCCCCACGUAAAUUUUAAAACUUUGAAAGUGCCCACAUAAUUUUAAAAACAUUUCACGUUGCCCCUAACUUAAAUGUCUAAUUCUAAAUAAUUUGAUUAACUAUUAUAAUAUCAUAAAAAUCAAUAAAGACAAAUGAGAGAACCUUUAUCAAAUGAAAUUCAUUAAAAAAUUAAUUAAAAUAAGUAAAAUCUUAGCUUUCCGCUUUCUCUCGUCUCUUCCAUAGUUCCAUGAAAUAAAGUGUGGUGGGUGGACUCCAUAGCAGAUUAGGCGACUUGUAGUGCUCCCUGAUCGUCACCAUGCGCGUGAUGUUUUUUAAUUCUAAUUUUUUAUUUCAUUAUUUUCUCUAUUUUAAAAUUGCUAAUUUUAUUAUAUACCUUAAAUUUGAAGUUCAUGCAAACAUUUGAUUUUGUGUUUACUUUAUACUUGAUGAAAAAUAUUCUUGGUUUUGCAAAUGAUUUGUCACAAGCAUUACAAAGGAAAGAUCAAGGUAUUGUGAAUUCCAUGAAAUUAGUUAGUAUUUGCAAACUAGGUCUACAAAGUAGGGGUGGGCAUUUUCCGGUUCGGGUUCCGAACCGAACCGAACCGGAACCAAUCGGUUCUUAAAAACUCAAACCAAACACGAACCGAAUUUUAGAACCGAACCGAAAUAUUUCGGUUCGGUUCUAAAAUUCGGUUUGGUUUGGUUUGGUUCGGUUCGUACAUAUACAUGUAUUUUACAAUUUUAACCAAAUGUCUUACUGUAUUUUAUAAUUUUCACCUAAUUUCACUACAUUUUACAAUUUUCACUUGCAUUUUACAGAAUAUAAGUUCACAACAAGAAAAAUAAAAAGUCUUGUAUACUAAUAUUUGUGAUUUAGCAUUUUAUAUUUUUGAUUUUGAAUUUUUAUUAAAUUAAUUUAUAAAUAAUUGGACUGAACCGAUCGGUUCUUCGGUUCGGUUCGGUUUUGAACCGAACCGAAUGUAAACCAAUCGGUUCUUGUAAUUUCAAACCAUUCGGUUUUUUACCUUAGAACCGAACCGAACCGAAUUAAGUUAUUUCGGUUCGGUUCGGUUCGGUUCGGAAAAAACCGAACCGUUUGCCCAGCCCUACUACAAAGGAUGAGGGAACAUGGAUGGAAUUCUUUGCUUAGUCAAGUUUCUUCAUUUUGUGAGAAGCAUUUUAUUAUUGUUCUUGUCAUGGAAAAUAUGUUUCUAACCCCUGGAAGAUCAAGGCAUAGAGCACAAGAGAUCACAAAUAUGCAUCAUUAUCGCAUUGACCUAUUUUGUACUAUUUUGGAUAUGCAACUUCAAGAGUUAAACAGUCGUUUUAAUGAGGUAAACACUAAAUUACUUCUGUGCUUGGCUUGUUUAUGUCCAAAAGAUUUAUUUGCAGCUUUCAAUAAAGAAACGUUAUUGCGUCUUGCUCAAUUUUAUCUAAAAGAUUUUUCUCCAAUUGAUCUCAUGGCACUAUAUACUUAACUUGAUGUUUACAUAAUGGAUAUGCAGUCUAGUGUUGAGUUUUCAGGAUUAAACAGGAUUUGUGAUCUUGCACAACAAAUGGUUGAGACUAAUAAGCACAAGGUGUUUUUAUUGGUCUAUUUAUUAGUCACAUUAGCAUUAGUUUUACCAGUUGCCACUACUACUGUUGAAAGAGUUUUUUCAGCUAUGAAUUAUGUGAAGAAUCGACUACGAAGUUGAAUGGAAGAUGAAUAGUUGAAUGAUAAUCUGGUUGUAUACAUUGAAAAAGAUGUAUUUGAUUGUAUUAAUGAUGAAAUUAUUUUACAGCAUUUUCAACGCAUGAAAUCUCGUUGGGGAAUUCUUGAUUAGAACAAUUGUAAUAAGUAAAUCUAUUAUUAAUUUAUAUUAUAGUUGCAAUUCUAUGUAUUGUUAUCUAAAUUUUCAAAAUUUAUUAUCAAUUUAUAUUAUAUUGCGAUUUUAUGUGUUGUAAUAUAAAUUUUCAAAAUUAUACUACAUUUUUAGUGUGCCCCAGAUCAAUUUAAUUCCUGGCUACGUCCCUGGUGACAAAUAGACAUCAAUAUUGUUACCGGGCUGUUGUGGACCAGAUAUUAGCAUAGUCAACAUCAUGAAUUUUCUCUUCAUGCAUAACCAAGGAGGAAGAUUAUAAGUAAUCAUAACAAUUGGCCAACAACUAUACGAACUGCAAAAGGUUUUAUGGGGAUUUAUCCCAUCUGCAGAAAUAGCCAGCCGAAGAUUUCUUUCUUCUGCAGUGAAAUCUGGCCAUUACGGUGAGUCAGCUGGGUGACGUAGUUUGCCAUCAAUCACCCUUUCAUUGGCAUGCCAAGUUAAGUCUUUUGCGGUUCAAGGAGAUUGAAACAUCCUCUUAAACCUUGGUAUAGGAGGAAAAUACCAUAAGAUUUUAGCAGGAAUUCCCUUACUUUUCUUGGGACUCUUCCAUCUUGACAUUCCACAAGUGGGACAUGCAGAUAAAUCCUUAUAUUCUUUUCUAUAUAGGAUGCAAUCGUUGGGACAUCAUAUUCUAAGCCUAAUGCAACCAUAAUCUUUUUUGCUUCAUAUACGGAUAAAGGUAUUUCAUUUUUAUUAGGAAGCAUAUCUGAUAAACAACUUAGUAAAUCUGAAAAACUUUUGUCUGACCAUCCAUUUCUUCCUUUAAUGUUGUAAAGCCUUAUUAAGGCAGAUAACUUAGUGAAUUUCACAAGCCAUGAAACAAAGGUUUUUCAGCAUCUUUAAGUAGAGUUUCAAAAGACUUGGGGUCACCAUUACAAGUGUCAAAUGAAUCAUUAACCAUUUCUACUGUAUUAGCAGCUUCAUCAUCUUGUUGAUUGCCAUCAAAUGAAGCUUUUACAUUUGAUGGCCGUAUACUAGAAGCUCCUUCUCCAUGCCAAGUCCAUGUCUGAUAGCUUUGGUCAAUACCUUUCCAAUAAAGAUGAUUUCUUAUCUCAACAGGUACAUGAAAGACCAAAUUACCACAUGCUUGGCAUGGACAUCUUAAAAGUUCAGGAUUACUAGCAUGAAGUAUUGCAAACUUGAGAAACUCAUUUACCCCAUUUUCAUAUUCUAUAGACCUUUUAUCCAUCAACAUCCAAGAUUUAUCCAUAUUUAAACUAUUAACUUUCCUGCAAAUGCAUCACAUAAUAUUCAUUUAGUUUUAUUAAUAUUAAAAAAUGAUAUUGUUUGCAACCACAAGAACAACUGAUAAAAUUAUAGAAUUAACCCCAAAAAAAUAAGGCAAUGAGAUCACAAUUUUACUAAUUAAGCAACUAGAGUGUGUCUAAUAUAGUUUCUACUACUAUAUCUCUGUGAUUGUUUGUCAAGAAUCUAACAGAUGUUAUAAAUAAAAUAAAUUGAGUUCCACAUUAUGUCCUAAAUCCAUAUCACGCUAAGUGCAUUACGUUAAUAUUCUUACGAGAAACAUCUCAAUAAGAUGCUUGUUAAAAACAAAAAUAAUCUUUUAAAGAGACAUUUCAUCAAACAAGUAAUGUGCAUUCAAAUAGCAGAACAGAUACGACACUUGGAAUCAAUUAAAUCAACCCUAGAUUGUUUAAAAUACAAAUAAUUCAACUAUAACCCUAAAAUUAUCAAACUAGAAAGAGAGAAGUAGAAAAAAAAUAUCAAAAUUAAAGGAAACAAUACCUGAAAUUCGAGAAGCAAAUAAGGCUAAAGCAAGCUGAAAUUCUUUGUGCGUUCUUCUUCGAGAGAGGAUGGAGAUGAAAUUCGAAAUUGAGUGAUUGAUAAAAAAUGCGAGGUGAUUAUUGAAAAGAAAGCAAGGGGAACGAGUUUGAAUUUUCUUAAAAGAAACAAAUAUGUUCGAAGAACAAAACAAAGGCAGUCUAGUGCGUUUUUUGUUUUUUUCUUAAGUCAAUAAAAGGAAAAGGUAAAUGGUAAUUAUUCAAUAAAUAUAUAAUAUAUUUGCCACUUAUUUGGUAAAACAUCAUAAGUAUUUGACGUUUAAAUAAAUUGUCAUUUAUAUUUCACAAUUACUCAGUUUUUCACAAAAUGUCAUAUAUAUUUGAUAUUUCUUAAAAAUUGUCAAAUAAAAAAUGUCAAGUACUCUGUUUUUUCUUGUAGUGCCAUUACAUGUAGAAAUUCAUUGUAGAAUAUUACGUGAUAAAUAGUUAUAUGAAAUAUGAAAAUUUAGUGUAACACGUCACGUCCUUUGUCAGACAUCAAUUGAGAUGAAAAUCAUAGGCACUAAAUUAGAUUGCAGGUCAACUAGAAAUUUGGUAUAAUAAACCAAGAGAAAUUAAUUAAGAUGAAAUCAAUUAAGCAGGGAAUGCAUGAGGUUAAGCCAAAUUAAUUAGAAGCCACUCAUGUGAAGGCGCGAAGUUAAGCCAAAUUCAUUAGAAGCCACACUUGCAAACGAGUUAUCCACAGUGACGAUCAAUGUGCUUGGCAGCUUGUGUAUAUAAAUAUAACCGAUAAGAAAAUAAUUGGUCCGUAUGUGUUGCCGUUUUAGACCAUAUAUGGCCCAACAAAUGGGGCAGUAAUCUGUCAAAUCAGCCCUCGAAUUAUAUAUGCUUCGUUUAGCUUCAACGAAAAUAUACAAAGAAUAAGAGCCGCCAUGGCAUUACAAAAUGCCAAACUAACUGUUCUAAAAAUCGAGUGAUGAUAUUUGAAUUGAUUUAAUGGUAACAAAAAAAAAUACAAAUUUAUAUGGUUUUAUAAUAUUAAGUAAAAAAUUAAUUAAAAAAUAAUACUAUAAUACUAUAUAAUUUUUAUAGUUAUUUUUAUUAUCAUUGUAUUACUGUUAGAUUUGUUUGCCAUUUUCUUAAAAAAAUAAUGCACAAGGAUUGAUGAAGAAAUUUAAUACGACAUGUUCCCUUCAAAAAAACCAAAAACAAAAGUGUGACAUGCUGUGCAUAUAUAUAUAUAUAUAAUUGUGACGCAGAAUGCAUAAUUCACAAUAAUUCAUAUGUUUUUAUCGAUAUUUUGUAGUUCAUAUACUUUUUUUUUAUUCUUCGCAAGGAAUAUCGCACUUUGAUUAUCACAGAAGACCGCAAUGUUCUCUUGGAUUACUCCCAAAUCACCUAACAAGCCUUUCAACUAGAUAGCUUCUUUUACAGCUUCAGUUGCUGCCAUAUACUCUGCUUCCGUAGUGGACAAAGCAAUUGUCGAUUGUAGAAUCGACCUCCAGCUAACCAGACCUCCACCCAAUGUGAAUACGUAGCCCGUUGUUGAUCUUUGCUUGUCAAGGUCUCCAGCGAAAUCAGAAUCACAAUACCUAACACAUUGUUGACCACAAUCCUUCUUGAAUAAUAACCCAACAUCAACUGUCCCAUACAGAUAUUGGAGAAUCCACUUUACUGCAAGCCAUUGAUUUUUACCCGGAUUGUGCAUGUAUCUACUAACCAUGCUCACUGCUUGAGAUAUAUCAGGCAUUGUGCAUACCAUAGCAUACAUAAGACUACCCACAGCACUAGCAUAUGGAACACGAGCCAUGUAAUCGCGCUCCUCUUGAGAUCUAGGACAUGAAGAAGAGCUUAAUUUGAAAUUAGGAGCUAGAGGUGUACAUACCGGUUUAGUUUUGUCAUCCAUACCGAAUCUUUCUAGCACUUUCUUCAAAUAAGACUUUUGAGUCAACCAUACGCUCCCAUUUUUCUUGUCUUUACGAAUCUCCAUCCCAAGUAUUCUUUGUGCAUCACCCAAGUCUUUCAUCUCAAACUCAGAAGCCAACUGCUUCUUUAAUCUUUCGAUCUCAUCUCUAUUCUUCGAAGCUAUAAGCAUAUCGUCGACAUAGAGUAACAAAUAGAUGAAAGCUCCAUCUGGUAGUCUUCUAAAGUAAACACAAUUAUCGUGUUCACUUCUAGUGAAUUUCUGCCCUUGUAUAAAUUGAUCAAAUCUUUUGUACCACUGCCUUGGCGAUUGCUUCAGUCUGUACAAAGAUUUAAUCAACCUACACGCAUGAUUCUCCUUUCCAGCAACUCUGAAACCACAAGGCUGAAUCAUAUAGAUUUCCUCCUCCAAAUCUCCAUGUAAGAACGUCGUCUUAACAUCCAAUUGAGCCAACUCUAACUCAUAUUCUGCAACUAAGGCAAGUAGGAUACGAAUGGAAGUAUGUUUUACAACUGGAGAGAAAACUUCAUUGUAGUCAAUACCUUCCUUUUGAGCAAAAUCUUUUGCCACGAGCCUUGCCUUGUAUCGAAAGAGUUGUUUGAUUCGGAAAUCCUUGCUUUUUGGUGUAGACCCAUUUAUUACCAAUAGCCAUUUUCCCCUUUGGUAACUUUACAAGUUCCCAAGUCUAGUUUUGAUGGAGAGAUUUCAUCUCUUCCUCCAUGGCUAACUUCCACUGAUCACUUUCACUGCUGCGUAAUGCUUCACCGAAAGUGUUGGGGAUGUCAUCAUCAAUAACUAGAAGUGCAUAGGCUACCACCAUAUCUUUAGUAAGCCAUAUGGGUUUCUUUAUCUCUCUUCUUGGCCUCUUUGUUGCUAUAAAAUCAUCAUUAUCUACAUCAUCAAUUGUUUCUUCAUUUUGUGGGACAUCAGAAGAAACAACCUCUUCUUCAACUCUACGUGUCACCUCCAUAGUUGAACCCUUCUUUGAUGUAGAACUAACUGGUACAUAUGGAGUUGCAUCAAACUCUACCCGCUGCAAUACCUCUUUGGUCUUGUUCUCCACCUGCUGAGAACUUGAAGCUUUCAUCAUUGAAGCUUCAUCAAAUGUGACAUCUCUGCUACACACAAACUUUUUGCCUUCGAGAUCCCAAAGCUUGAAGCCCUUUACUCCACAUUUGAAUCCCACAAAGAAAGCUUUUCUAGCACAAAGAUCCAGUUUACCAUCUUUGACAUGAUAAUAAGCUGGACACCCGAAUAUAUGAAGGGAAUCAUAGUCUUGUGCAUGCUUUCCAGACCACAUUUCCAUAGGAGUUUUACCUCCAAUUACAGCAGACGGCAACCAGUUUACCAAGUGACUUGCGUAGCUCACAGCUUCAGCCCAAAACUUUUUAUCUAAACCAGCAUUAGAUAACAUACACCGUACCUUCUCCAGUAAAGUACGAUUCAUACGCUCAGCCACACCGUUCUGUUGCGGAGUAUGUCUCACCGUGAAAUGUCUUUUAAUACCCUCGUUCUGGCAUACUUGCAAGAAUGGAUCAAAAGUAUAUUCACCCCCAUUAUCAGAUCGUAAUACUUUGAUCUUUCUGCCAGUUUGAGUCUCCACUAAUUUCUUCUAUUUCACGAAAAUCUCUAGAACCUCAUCCUUUGCUUGCAUGGUGUACACCCACACACGUCUAGAGAAAUCAUCAACAAAUGUAACAAAAUAAUGGCUUCCACCAAUUGAUGCAGUCUUGGUUGGUCCCCAUACAUCACUAUGAACAUAUUCAAGGAUCUCACGAGUAUCGUGAUUAGCUGUACCAAACUUGACCCUUGUUUUCUUGCCUACUACACAAUGCUCACAGAAAUUUAAUUUACAGAUUUUGGUACCUUUUAAGAGUCCAUGCCUCAUCAGAGUUUGCAAAGACUUCUCUCCAGCAUGUCCCAGUCGUACAUGCCAUAGCUUUGUGGUGUCACUGUGCGCCUCAACAACAUUUGCUUCAUCAGUUGUACAUCCCUUCAAAUAGUACAGAUUGUGACGCCGAAUUGUUCCUAUCCUUAUUGUGCGACAAGGUUGAUCAUUCCCCAUCACAACUGCACCGGAUUCCAGAUUACAAAAGUCCGUAAACCAUUCCUUAAUAGGACACAAAUGAUAGGUUGCUCCAGUAUCAAGUAUCCACUCGCUCGAACUAGCCACAUAUGCUGCAGGAGUAAUACUUAGUGAAUAAUCAGAGUCUUCAUCUUUUUGUGUCAUGUUUGCUGUUGCUGGUUUCUUCCCAUCUUUCUUUUGAGCCUUUGGACAAUCUUUCCUCCAAUGGCCCUUUUCAUGACAAAAGGCACACUCGUCUCGAGCUAUAUUUCUGUUUCUCGAUUUGGAUCGAGAAUUCUUUCCACCACGCUUCUUCUGUUUCUCUAUCGCCCAAUCUCUACUCACCAAAGCUUCAGACGAUGCUCGUUCAGAAUUUUUAUCAUUAUUCCGAAUCUCCAAGCUAGUCAAUGCUGUGCAAACAUCUUUGAAGACGAUCACACUCUUCCCAUAUAUCAAAGUAGUCACAAAAUGGCUAUAUUCCUCUAGUAGUGAGUGUAACAGAAUCAUAGCCUUGACUUCAUCCUUAAUAUCUUCAUCAAGAUUCUUCAAAUCAGCAAGUAACUUUUCAAAUCUUGAGACAUGAUCGUGCAUUGACACCUCAGGCUUCAUUCGAAAACCAUAUACUUGGCUCAUUGCAUGAAGGCGAUUUUCAGGACUUUUCACCAGGUACUUCUCCUCCAAUGUACGCCACAAAGUCACCGCACACUCCUCAUCUAUCACCAAGUAUUUCACCUCCUUGGUCAAACAAGAUCUGAUCUGACCACAAGCUUUCUCAUUCAUACGAUCCCAAAUUUCUUCAUCAUACAAGUGUCUUUUAUUUUUCAGAACAACAUUGAGAUCGAUUUGAAUAAGGGCAUCCAUAACUUCGCGCCUCCAUAUGCCGAAGUUGAUUUUCCCAUCAAACUUUUCAACAUCGAUCUUCUGGCCUCCUAUAACAGGUGCUGAAUAGUGAUUUCACAAAUCUCGCCUCCCACAUGAAGUGUCUCCUGAAAUAGUCUCGGUAGAUCUCUCCCCAAUUUUGGAAGUUUCACCUUCUACCAUUUUCUCAACGAACUAUUUCCACUUGAAAAACAAUCUCUAUGAUGUUAAUUUCGUGUGAAUAAAUGCACCAGGAAAGUUCCCAGAAGACUAGAUGGGAACUCGGUCCCAAUUAAAAACCAGAAUCAUUAUACUCUUAUCGCCUUUGUUGACAGAACUUUCCUAGACAUGCAAAAAUACACACUACUUACAAUAGACUGUCUCUCAAGUACAAAUGGCCGUCUCCACCGUAUUCAUGAACAGUACUGUAUGUGAACAGUACUGUAUACGGGAAUAGUACCGUAUAUUUGAACAGUACAAUAUCCCCCCAAGUACGAACCGUCGGCUCUGAUACCACUUGUUGUGCUUGGAAUACGGAAUCAAGCGCACCAAAUAAUUAUAGAAAAAUAAAGGACACUAGAAUUUACGUGGUUCGGUAAUUAAACCUACAUCCACAGAGGCAAGAAAGAAUAAUUGUUUAUUUAACAAUUAAUAGAGUACAAUAUUUGAGUAACGAAUCUCACUUCCCAGAAACCCAAAUAUACCCAGUACUCUCACACUCUGCAGGAAAGAUAAAUUCCCCAGACACACUUCUCUCACUUCUCUCAAAAGCUUAGAAACUUAUAAGCUUAACAAUUUUGGGAUGAUAUGGAAUGAAGAAAUGCUCUCUAUUUAUAGGCUUGAAACUAGUACUAUUUCACCUAACCCAAGUACUAUUCCACCUAACCUAAGCACUAUUCCACCUAACCCAUGCAAAUAUGUCAAUGGUUUCCAUUUGGCAAAUUUGACAACUUUUCAUUUUUUUCUUCAAUUGUUUGGUAGCUCUUUGAAAAAUUGCAUGCUUUGUUGAAUUUGCAUGCCACGUGCAUGAUUUUUCAACAGUGAGCUCAACCAGUUGUUGAGGAAUCCGUCUUGCAAACUUCUUAUUUAAGAGAUCCAGUGAUUCCAAAUUUGUUAGAUUGCCCAAACAUGACGGAAUAAGGCCUUGGAGAUUAUUGUAGUGGAGGUUUAGAAUUUGAAGUCCCUUUAAAUUCGCAAUCGAUGCUGGAAUCGCCCCAACAAAUCUAUUGUUUGAGAGAAUAAUGCCCGCGAGGAUAUCCGGAAUCUUGUUAUAUGUCAUCAUUCGCCCUUUGGUGUUCAUUGUCAUUGAGUAGUCAUAAGUGCUAAGUACAUUAUUGGUCACUUGUCCAUACGAAGAAAGCACAUCUUGCAGAUAUCUUAGCUCACUUGCAUUGACAAUUUUCAUGGCAUUCCAACACAGGAAACUCUUUGAUGGAAGCUUUCCACUAAAUCUGUUGUUAGAUAGGUCAAUAAUGCGGAGUUUAGAAAAUCCACAACCAGUUCUAGGUUCUUCUAUAACGCCAUAAAAUAUGUUGGAUUGUAGGAUGAGAACAUUCAAUUUUGGAAGAGUUCCUAACCAAGAGGGAAAAGUGUCACUAAUCUGGUUGUUCCCAAGACCAAGAAAUUCCAACUUUGAACAGUUGAUCAAUGAUCUUGGAAUUCUUCCUUCAAAGAGAUUAUGGCUUAAAUCAAUCACGCCUAAUCUACUUUCUUUAAAGAAAGUAUUUGGGAUGGUCCCAAAAAAGUUGUUCCUCUGCAAGUCGAGCACUGAAAGUUCAUCGUUGAAAUUGCCUAAACACUGAGGAAGCAAGCCACUUAAGUUAUUGUGAGACAAAACAAGGCUUUCAAGAAUAUUCAAAUUGCAUAUCCACGAUGGAAUUUCCCCUGUUAAGCUAUUGUUUGAAGCUAGAAAGUUAACGGUUCCGAGGGGUGGAACUGGGAGUGGUCCUUGUAAAUUAUUAGAGCUAAGAUCAAAAGUCACCAAAUCAACGUUAUUCCCUGGAAGAACAACAUGAUGUUGAUCAAACUCGGUUAACAAGUUAGGCGAAAGGUUCAAGGCAUUGAGAUUCUGCAUAUUGGGGUCUAACAAACAUUUAGGUACUUUUCCCUGAAUUUUAUUGUCAGAAAGGUCCAGGACCACCAAAUGACUUUGGUUUUGCAAGAAAUUUGGAAAUUUAGUAAGAUUGCAUGAACGCAGUCCUAUGUACUGAAAUUUUGUGAAGUGGUAUUAGAAGUGGCUUUGGUGAGCACUGACAACCUAUUUAAUGAGAGACCUAAAACUUCCAAAUUUUUCCAGCAAGUAAGCAAAACAUCUAACUCUAUCGUUCCACUAAAAGAAUUUCGAGCCAUGUCAAGGAUGAAAAGUUGGGUAUGAUUCCUAAGUGAAUAUGUAAUUUGACCUGCAAAAUUACACUUAGCGAUAUGUAUUACUUCCAAUGACCUAAGAUUUCCAAUGGAACCAAGUAAGUAACCCGAAAAAUUAUUCAAUCCAAGAUACAAAAAUUGUAGCCGAGUGAAAUUACCAAUCGAAUCUGGAACUUUGCCCCAAAAACUACAUGACCUCAGAUCUAAUAGCUUCAAAUAACUGAAAUUUCCAGUCGACCAUGGAAACUCACCCGAAAAUUUAUUGAAUGAAAGGUCAAGUUUUUCCAAAGAAAAAAGAUUUUGAAUGGAAAUUAGGCAACUCACCAAAAAAAACAUUUUGUGAAAGGUCAAGUUCUUUCAAAGAACCAAGAUUUCCCAUGGAAAUUAGGCAACUCACCAAAAAAUCUAUUUUGUGAAAGGUCAAGUUCUUUCAAAGAACUAAGAUUUCCAAUGGAAAUAGGCCACUCACUCGACAAAAAAUUUCCAGAGAGAUCUAGUUCUUUCAAAGAAUGAAGAUUACCAACGGAAAUAGGCAGUUCACCCUGUAAUUCACUUAGUGAAAGGUCUAAAUGAAGGAGCUUCGAUAGAUUACCGAGUGAAAAUGGAAUUCUUCCUGAAAUUUGUAAAAAAAAAAAAAAACACAUUGCUUAAGUAGAAGAUUAAAAAUAAUAAUAAAUUUUACUAAAGAAUUUAACAUCGCAACUGGCAAUUUUCAAGUAAAAUUUAUAUAUUUAACAAUAUCAUGCAUGUAUAUUAAUUAAGGAGAAAAUAUAUAAAAUUUAAUUACCUUGCAAUUCACAGUUUUGAAGAGAAACAAACGUCAAAGAAGAUAGAUUUGCGAAGUUAUGAGGUAUCGUUGACUGAAUAGAAACAUCACCAAGGUCAAGUGUUUUUAGAUUGCUUAACUUCUCGACUAAAUUUACGAAACUGGGCUUCUGAAGUUCAAGUCUACCACCAGGAACAUCAUUUAGUGAUAAAUCAAGGGACACCAAGUUGGAGAGCCUUAGAAUUUCUGAUGGUAUUUGGCCAGAUAAAGAAGUUCCAGAGAGAUUCAAGUAUGAUAACCUGGAAAGGUUGGUGAUUUCUGGUGGGAUUUCGGAGGAAUUGAAGUCAUUCAAAGCAAGAUUAAGCCACUCGAGAUGGACAAGCUUGAAAAGGCUGCUGCUAGAGUUGAUAGAACCAAAAAGGCAGCUAUGGGAGAGGUCAAGCUUGAUGACAUGACCAGUAUUCUUAUUGCAAUGAACGCCGUCCCAAGAGCAGCAAUCAACGUUACCUUCUUCUGGCUUCCAUGAUGCCAUUGUAGGACGACAGUCAAAUUUCCAAGCAUAAAAAUCACCACUGCUGAUGCUUUCUUUGAAUUGCAACAAAGCAGAGCGCUCAUCAUCAUGGCAGAGUGGCAGCAUAGAAGAAGCAGUGACGUUAGCAAUUGUUAAAUUAAAGAAAAAGAAGGGAAAAACUAACCGUAUGAAUAUUGUGAAUAAACAUAUGGAGGGUAAACCCAUAGUUUUCUCAAAAAUAAAAUUUGUUUAACUUUGUAGAUGUUAAGAAAUUUAAGGAUCUUGGUUUUUAUAGGCAAAUUGCAGCAAUUCAAACAUUUUAGUCAUUGGAUUCUUUUUUUAUUUUUUUAAGUCAACAAAAGUUAGUCUUAGUAAUAUUUAUUUUUUAUUAUUUGAUGUGAUGUCCCACAAAAAAAAAAUUGAUUUAAUGUGUUAUUAACAAUCUAUCCAGAAAAAACAAUUCUUUAAUAGGAUCUAUCGAACUUGACCUGUGUUUAUAUUUCCUUUCAUUUUCUAUAAUUUCAUUUUCUGCAUUAAUUUGCUCCUUUUUCUUUUUUUCUCCUUUCCCCGCUUGUAUUUCCCUUCACGGCCAGUUGAGUAUUUUCCACAUAAAUCUACUCAUAAAAGUAUUACAUAAAUGAUUUCUGAAUCUACAAAAUGCAAUCAAGUGAAUGCAAUCUUGCAAUCAUUCAUAUUCGACUUUCCACAUAAAUCAACUCAUAAAAGUGAUGCUUACAAAAUGUCCAGAUUCACACCAGUAUAGCAAAAUCAUACAAUUAUGUCCAGAUUCACACCAGUUUAGCAAAAUCAACUUCUUUUAGAUUUCCCAAAUUGACGCUGUUGGUUAUUUUGCAAAAAAAUUUCAGGAUCCAAGUAAAAAACAUAAAAUCUAAAAUAGGGUAAAAGCUUAUAACGAACAUAAAAGAAAAUAAUCCGACUCUUUAAGCUUAUCAACCUUACAGCCUGAGCAAGAACUGAAAUUCGAGUUCUGGAAACUCAGCAGAAUCAAACUCAGUUUGGCCACGAUCAUAAUUUAAGCCAAAAAUGCUCCCCCCCCCCCCCCCCCCCCCCCCCCCCCCAAAAAAGCCUUAAACGGCCAUCUCCGCCGAAGAACGAAUUAUCAGGAGUUUGAACCCUCCUAUGAAUUCAUUUAGACGACCCCCGAAAUUCACCAAUGACCCACCGCCUGAUGUCCAGCCGCCAUCACCGCAAAUCAAACCGCUCCAGCGGCAAAUUGUCCCCAGUCCAUCCACACAACCAACUCAUAUCUCUACAAACCAUUCCCAUGAAGACCCUCCCUCUCCAAUCCACCACCAUGCUGACCAUCCACCAACAACCACUGCCUCCAUCCUUUCGAAACUUCGGCAACCCUCCAUCCCUGUUGCCGUAAGUGAACAAAAAGAAAUGCCCCAUGAAUGCUGCCAUGACGCAGCAAAUCAGCCACCCCUUCAUGAGGAAGGGGAAGAAAGCCGUGCUCGAGACGAGCCGGAUCUCAUGAACUCACCGGCUGAUGGGAAGCGCAGCCAGCCAUCUCCGGCUCAUCCCCCCAAUUCUAGAAACGAACCUCCCUUUCUUAGGAGAUCUCAAAGGCAAACUCGCUCAAAAUAGAAAAGUAAAUCGCUAGCCAUCCAACCUCAACAGCCACCAACUUCCGCAAACACAGCCAAUCAACCUCCAUUGUCAUCCCUUCAACAACCAACUUCAAUCUUAACUAGCCAUGAUCUACUUCUAAACACCGAGCCAUCAUCACCUUCAAAUCGAACCAAGCCUUCACAAGCUAACACAAACCAGCUACCAGCCUGUUCGCAGCCAACACAAGCCACAAAAGACCACUCGGGAGAUGCUCGUCCAGCCGUUACAGCCACCAUGCAAUCUCAAAACCAGCCCGUGCUCCAUGGCAAUUUAAAUCAAGAACCGUUACAAGCUGCAACCACCGUGGCUAAUUCCAGUCAACCACAAUCGCCACCCACACAAACAAGCCCCACGUGCCAAAAAAUCUCUCACGCAUGCACUCGGGACAGCUCUCACCGCCAGCUGCAGCUGUUGAACUCCGAUUGUCAGCUUCCCAUGCAGGCAACCACCACCGAAUCCAGUCAAAGUCAGCAAACAUCCCAGCCCAAAAGUCUUCACGCGUGUGACAGCCAUGAUGUUGCUCCACAUGAAAAUGAGCCACUUUCGGCAACACAUGAUUUUUGUCCCCCAUGUGUGUCCCCCACUAGCCUUUCCCAUGUCCCACUAGCCCCUUCCACUAAUCAAACUCAAGUCCAAUCCAUUCCCGAAAUAAAUCCCACGCAACCUUCCCAAAUGCCCUCCACUCUUGUCUCUAAUAACUCUCAAUAUGACCCAUUGACCCAAAAUACUACACUGCCCACGCUCAAAAUAGACCCACUAAAAAAAUCUUUGGUGGAUAUUAUGAACGGCCCAACUAGUUUGAUGAUUCUGAUCAAGAUUGUUACUUCAUUUGGGAGAGAGCCUAACGUGCAAUUUUCCACUGCAGAAAUUCAAACGAUGGCCAUUCCCUUUAAGCUAACAUUGGUCGGUAAAUUUUCUUAUAACAGACCUAGUAUGGAAUUUAUUCGUAAAUUUUUUAUUUCUUUGAAAUUGAAGGGAACUUCCAAGGUGUCCUUACUAGAUAAUCGACAUGUCUUAAUUCAAUUGGACGUUGAGGAGGACUACUCCCGCCUAUGGGUUAGGCAGACAUGGUACAUUAAUAGGAGAGCCAUGAGAAUUUUUAAAUGGACCACCGAUUUUUAAUGCUCCAAGGAGUCCCCUAUAGUCCCAGUAUGGAUAGCAUUUCCUUACUUGCAUGUCCACUUCAUGCACUGUAAGGAGGCAUUAUUUUCUAUUGCAUCAGCUAUUGGUAAGCCAUUGCGAAUUGACCAAGCUACUGCCUCUUUAGCUCGCCCUUCUGUUGCUAGGGUAUUAGUGGAAUAUGGUGUUACUCAACCUCCAUUGUCACAUAUACGAAUUGGUGUGGGAGAUUAUGGAUUUUGGCAGAGUGUAAUUUUUGAGAAAAUCCCACUCUACUGUGCAUCCUGCAAGCACCUUGGCCAUACCAUUGAGACGUGUUACGUGGCCAAUCCAGGGCUCCGUCCCUAGCGGCCCAAUGGGAAUAGGCAGACCAGAGUAGAAAAUGGUAAGAAGUCAGAAAUUCUACCGUCAGAUACUCCACAACCCUCUAAUACUCCACAACUUGAGCCUUCCAUCACUAAGCAAAUAUCGAAUGCGGGGUCCCCGAUUACCAAACCUAUGAAGAACUGAGCUAACGUUACAAAUUCUACACCCAUUCAGAAGCCGCUUGCCCAGGAUGCCACGACUCAUGACUCUAGGGUCCAAGAACCUCGUGAUCAAAGCCUUUCUCCCCUACAGAGCAUUGGUGAGUAUAAUCCACACCUUCAUCGAGCAUGCAGCAAAGAUUUUAGGCAUUACAAUUCCCAUACUGAUAAUGAUGAUAGUUUUGACGAGCACCUGGCGAAUAAUGAACAUUUUUGUAUGCUCCUCAAAAUUAUGAGAGAAUUGACUUCAACCCUGAUUUUAGCAUGGCCGGUCAAUCGAAAAAGGGCUUUAAAUUACUUACUGGCCGGAAGUAUCGUAAGACAUAUUAUCAUCGUCUACAUUAGUCUUUUUUAUUAUGAUUCUCAUGUUAAGCUAUGCCUUAAUUGUUUCUUUUACUGUUGUAUUUCUUUCUCUUGAUUGGAGGUUUUGGUUUUUGUCCCCCUCCUUUUAUCUUUCAUUAUCUGUUCUAAAUAACAUGUAGGGGUCCUGCCUAAAAAUAAAAAAUAAAAGAAAAUAAAGAAAGAGUACACAUUAUGCUAUAAGUGUUCAAAGAAAAUUACGAACAGUUUCUUCUACGUCUCCUGUUUCUCCUCAUUCUUUUUUACCAUCCCAAAUUUCUCAAUCACCCUCCUGAGGAUUGAAGAAGCAAAAUUAUUAGUUCUAAUAAAUAACUUAAUGAUGAUAAUUUUUUGUCACCAAGUCCUUAUCAAAAACCAUUAGACUACUCUUGUACUGGUGUUUACCGUAUGUGUAAUACGUCAGUUUUUAUUUUUGUUUGAAAAAAUGAAAAACAUAAUUCCCAAGUGGUCCAGACCACUUGAAAUUAAAAAAAAAUGAUAAAUAUUAUUUGGUUAUGAUAUCAACUCACAAUUCAAACAAAUCUUACAAACAACUGGCGAAAAAUGGCGAAUUCCAUUCCUUAACCGAGGUUUAUUAAAUUGAAAAAAAACUAGUGAAAAAAAGAUGAUAAUUAAAUAAAUUUUAAUGGAAACAAAGUCACAAUAGUAGAAGUGACAAUUUCGGCACGAUUAACUAAUUAAUCAGACACAAACACAAGGCAAAUUAAUGAAUUUGGAUUUACUAAAAUUGACAUGAUUUUCAAUUUAAUUAAAAACCUUUCAUUUAAAUUAUAGUCAACAGACGAUCAAUUUCAGAGACUCAAGACUAGUAAUUAGAAGUCUUUGCACGCUGUGUACAUAUGCCGUAUCAGAAAAUUAUUUCUUAGUUUUUAAGAUAAGAAUGACGAAAGAGAGAUGUAUUUUUGGACAAUGUUCUAAGUCAACUAAAAUUAAAAUUGGCCAUAUAUCAUUAUAGUGGAUGUUAAGAUAAUUUUAACUCAUAGUUGCUGGAUAAAAAAACAUUGUUAUCUUUAUUUUUGUUCACAGAAUUGUUAUUAGUAUAGUUCUUUUAAGGUUCUCAAAAUUUUCAUUUAAAAAAAUGUUCCUACAAUAUACCCAAAAAAAAAAAUUGAACCCAAAAAAAGAAAACAAUUUUUUAAAAUAUACCACAGAUAAUAAUGGUGAGGGUAAUUUAGGUCAAUUCAAAAUCGCUAAUUUUGGAGUCAGAUUCAUGUAUUAAUUGUAUCAUAAGUUACCAUCUCUGUGUUUAUGGCGUGACAGAGGCUCAUGGAAACUCCAGACUAGUGAGAGUCUAUCGUUACUGAAAAAUGCAUGAAUGGCAUGGAUGCAAAAGUAAUAAAAUCUGGAACUGAUGAUUAAGCCAUUAGCUAACAAUAAUUAACUUCUGAAGAGGCAACGUCCCACCCAAAAAAAAAAAGAAAAAAAAAUGAUUUAAUGUGUUAUUAACAAUCUAUCCAGAAAAAAAAAAAAUUAUUCAAUAGGAUCUAUCGAACUUGACCUGCGUUUAUAUUUCCUUUCAUUUUCUAUAAUUUGUCAUCUAAUGGGUCAAUGAAUUAAUUUGCUUCUUUUUUUUCUCCUUUCCCCACUUGUAUUUCCCUUCACGGCCAGUUGAGUAUUCUGCAUACUCGAGGGUAUGUCAUUGUCUUGAUGACUUUUCACUACAACUCUAAAAUUUUCCUCCCCACGGCAUGUUGAUAUUAUCUCCAAACUAGCAGUAUUAUCACUGUCACUCUUCUUUGUAAACUACGCACUCGUUGGUUGAGUGAUGACACCUCCUCAACUUAAUUAUUCUCAAGGUCAAGAAUGAUAUUGCGCCAAUUUAAUUACCUCAGUUUAUUCUUAAUCCCAAAAGAACGAGAUAACCAGGAUGUCCUAACAAAAAGCAUCUAUAUCUUCUAACACCAUCACGUGGCCAAGACUCAAAAUAUAUUUAUAGUCGCUGGGUCAGUCUGGUGUACCUGUAACCUCCAGGUGGGGGGGGGGGGGAAUAUAAUAAAAACGGGAUGAAUAUACAAUUCAAUGAGUGGAUAGUAAUUUUUGAAAAUUAAUUCUUACUUUAAAAGAAAUAAUCAUAUCAUUUCCAAACACGAUUAUAUCAAACCAUAUGCGAGAAACCAAUAAUAAAUCAUUUAACAUUUAAAUCAGAUUACUAACCAUGAAAAGUAUAUAUAAUAUCAUACCUAAUAACCAUGGAAAUCAUAUUACGAUAUCAUAUAGAAUACACAGAUAUGAAAAUCAUCACCAAACAAGUACCUAGGGGAAUAAUCUGGUCGUAUUCGGACCUCAACGGACGGGCAAUGAAUAAUAUUGCGCCAAUUUGUAAUGAGCUUUAGCUGAUGGUUUCUGAGAUGCGCGCUAAUUAGUGCACCUAAAAUGUAACAAAUAUCUCACGUUAACAACCCAAAAUUCCAUAAUUUCAUGCAAAAUCAUUCUAGAAGUUAAAAUUAGGUGUUAAUCCGACACAAACACUAUAAAUAUUAAUGAAAUUUGGAUUUACUAAAAUUGGCAUGAUUUUUUAAUUUUGAUCAAUUAAACAUAUUUUUAAUUUUUAUAGUGUCGGAUUCACUAUAAGUCGUCAUAAAUCAUUAUCAACAGACGAUCAAGGCCCGCGGAUAAAGACUCAAGACUAGAAUUAGAAGUCUUCGAGUAUCAAUCAAUCUUAGGUGAUGGCAAGCUCGAUUUCAGUCAAGUGGUUUAGGUCAUUGCAUUUUCUGUGCAUAUGUCGUGUCAGAAAAUUAUUUCUUAGAUAGGAAUGACGAAGGAGAGAUGUAAAUAAGAGCGCCAUUCUAUGUCAGUCAAUGUUAAAUUCGCCAUGCCAUUAUAAUGGAUGUUAAUAUCUCUAAUUUGGAGUCAAAGUCAUGCUUCAAUUUAGGUAUUUGUCUUUAAUAAAUCUGAUUCUUUUUUCUCCUUUCCCCACUACUACCAGUUCACUUAACUUUUCCUUCACGGCAUGUUGAGUAUUCCGUAUCCUCUAACAGUGCCUUGAAUGAGAUCUUCUACUCCAUCAAUGCUUCUAUGCUGUGUUUCAUUUGGGGAUUAGAUUUCCCAGUACGUAGACAGAGAACUCUGACUCUGUUGUCCGAUGUCUCUGCAUUUUCUUGAACUCUCUGCUCUCCUCGUGUAAUUAAGGAGGAUUGAAGUAAAAGAAAAGGGUAGAACCAGUUCUCCCUAUUUGUUGCACUAGCUAUCAGAUUUCCACGUUAUAGUAAUUAUUGGCCAAAACAUAAUUUUUUAUUUAAAUUGUCAAAAAGACUUGAAUGUUCUCAUCCUAAAAUAAGUUCCAUUAAAACAAUCAUAAUAUUUAUGGAAUGUUUAUAACUAGAAUGAGUGCUCCUACUUAAACUAGUAAAAUCUCUUGAACUAAUUUAAAGGUUCAAUCCUGCUCACAUGAGUAAGGAGAGGGCAUUUGUUUUAAAUUUUAUUGUAUUGAAUUUCAAACUUUCAAUACUUCUACAUAGUUAUUAUGAUUUCAUCAAGUUUACGAUGUUAAUGAUCAAACAAUACACUUUCUAAACUAACUAAAAUAGUACCUAGCUAGCUAAUUAGAUAACGGAUUAAUGGAAUAGAUGUGGAUGUCUAGUUUGAAAUUUUGAGUUUGAAAAUUUUAAAUUAAUCAAAGAAAAUAUAUUUUUAAUUUUGAGUUAUUGUACUAUUAAUUAAUAAUUUAAUUAAAAAAUUUAUUUAUUUGCUAUCAUUCUAGUUGUUGAAAAUGCCUUUAAUAAGGGUUGGUUCAAUAUUUGGUUAGAGUCUGAUUUCAUGCUGGCGGUCCAACUCCUUCUCUUCAUCCCUCUUGGACCAUUUGCAAUGUACUUGCAUUGAAAUGUCUGUAGUCAAACUUGGGUCUUCAAUGUAGUCACAUCCCUUGGUAGGAUUUCUCUCCUUCAAAGAUUAACGCUCUUUCUUCUCGAGAUGCAAAUGGCUUCUCAAAUUGUCAGUUUUGUUAAUGUAGGUCCUACAUUCACUACUAGAAAAAUGGGCUACCAUGACAGAAUUUUUGUGAUAGAUAUUAGAAAAUUAGUCAUUUAUCACAAGAAUACGAUAGACACAUGACAGAAUUUUCAUACAUCAUAAAUCCAUGACAGAUUUGUGAUAGCAUUUUUAUAUAUCAGAUAAACAUGAUAGCAUAUUAAUAUUUAAUCAAACAGUGAGUUUCAGAUGGAAUUAAUUUGGGCAUGAAAUGACACCGUUUAACAGAUUUAAAAAAUUUUUAAAAUAAAAAUUUUUAUUUAACAUUUAAACGCUAUCAUUUGUAUUGACUAAACCACAAAAAAAUUCUAAGUGUUGGCACCUUUGAUUUCUCACCUCAUCUGCAAGGGCUGAGAAACCGAAGCAGUGAAACCCCUCAAAAUCUAGAAUUAACCUAUUUUAAUCUACAAAUUGGUUUUGAAACCCAUUGCAUGGAAACCAAAAUCAUAGUAUAUGCUAUUGAAGGAGCCUUCGCGUCCUUAUUUUGAACCCAUUGUUUUUAAGAAAUUAGCAUUGUUAGGUGUCCAUGUGAUAAAUGUCGGAAUUUAGCAUUUCAUAGGCCUAAAGAAGUGAAAGAUCAUUUAAUUAUAUGGGGUUUUGAUAUGUCAUACAAAACAUGGGUUUGGCAUGGGGAAGAUAUCCGCAACAAAUCUCCUGACAAUAUAGGUUUCCAAAAUGACAGUGGAUAUAUGGAUUAUGAUGGUGGUAAUAUUGUUGAAAUGGUUGGAGAUGCUUUUAAGGAUUGUGAUAGUCAUCCUAAAGCAUUCAAAAAACUAUUAGAAGAUUCUGAAAAGCCUUUGUACCCUGGAUCAAACAAAUUUACCAAGUUAUCAGCUUUAGUUAAAUUGUACAAUAUAAAGGGCAUAUAUGGGUGGUCUGAUAGUAGCUUUUCAGAUUUGUUGAGUGCUCUUUCUGACAUGUUACCGGAAGGAAAUGAAUUGCAUGUAUCAAUGUAUGAGGCCAAAAAGACAAUGAGUGCUUUAGGCUUAGAGUUAUAAAAAUUCAUGCUUGUCCAAAUGAUUGUAUACUCUAUAGAAAAUAGUAUAAAAGCCUUUCUAAUUGUCCUACAUGUAGUGAAUCUAGGUGGAAGAAAAGGGAUGGUAGUGUUGCUGCUUAUAGGAAGGGGGUUCCUGCAAACGUGUUAUGGUAUUUCCAUUUUAUACCUAGAUUUAGGCGUAUGUUUCAAUCCUCACAAACUGCCAAAGACUUGACUUGGCAUGUAAAUGAGAGGGAAAUAGAUGUUAAGCUUCGACAUCCAGCUGACUCACCGACAUGGAAGUUAGUUGAUGAAAAAUUGCCUACCUUUGCAUUAGAGCCUAGAAAUUUGUGUCUUGCCCUAUUAGCUGAUGGCAUUAAUCCUCAUAGCUCUCUUAGUAGUACGUAUAGUUGCUGGCCGAUUCUUCUUGUAACAUACAAUCUUCCACCCUGGUUGUGUAUGAAAUGAAAAUUUAUGAUGUUAUCCUUAUUAAUUUCUAGUCCACAAUAGCCUGAUAAUGAUAUUGAUGUGUACUUGGCACCACUAAUAGAGGACUUGCAAACUCUAUGGGAUGUUGGUGUGGAAGCUUAUAAUGCCUAUAAAAAAUAGUUCUUUAAUUUACGGGCUAUGCUAUUGUGGACUAUAAAUGACUUUCCCGCUUAUGGGAAUUUGGCGGGUUGUACGGUCAAGGGUUAUUAUGCUUGUCCUUAUUACGGUGAAGAUAUGCCAAAAUGUAGACUUAAACACAGUAAAAAAAAUGCUUAUAAUGGCCAUCGUCGUUGGCUUCCUCAUGAUCAUCCCUUUUCAACUCAAAAGCAACAUUUUAAUAAUAAACAUGAAAGAGAACCUCCUCCGAAAUCAUUGAACAGCGAGCCCAUUUUUCGACAGGUGGAGAGUAUUGAAAACAAAUGGGGUAAAGCAAAAGAUAAAAAGCACAAAAAAAGAGGCAAGAAAAAGGAUGAUGAUGAUGAUCGUGUUUGGUGGAAGAAAAAAUCAAUAUUCUUUAAGUGAGAAUACUAGAAGUACUUGUUUAUUCAUCACCAGUUAGAUGUUAUGCACAUUGAAAAAAAAUGUUUGUGAAAACAUCUACAGAACAUUACUAAAUAUACCGGGAAAGACCAAAGAUGGCAUUAAGUCGAGGUGGGAUCUAAAAGUUUUAAAGAUUAUUGGCACUUGAUGUUAAAGAAAAUAAUCGUACUUUUUUGCCUCCAGCUUGUUACACCUUGACCAAAGAAGAAAAGAAAAGGUUUUAUAAAGCAUUAAAAAGCAUAAAGGUUCCUAUAGGUUAUUCUUUAAAUAUUAAGAACCUAGUGUCAAUGAAAGACUUAAAACUUUAAGGUUUAAAGUCUCAUGACUGUCAUGUUCUCAUGCAACAACUUUUAUCUAUUGCUUUAAGGUCUAUCUUACCAAAUCAUGUUAAAUAUGCCAUUAUUAGAUUGUGUUUCUUCUUUAAUUCCUUAUGCACAACGGUUGUUGAUGUGACCAAACUUGACCAAAUGGAAGAAGACAUUGCGCUGACCUUAUGCUUGCUUGAAAAAUGCUUUCCAUCAUCCUUUUUUGACAUAAUGAUCCAUUUAACCAUCCAUUUAGUUAAUGAAGUUAGACUAUGUGGGCCGAUAUACUUAAGAUGGAUAUACCCAUUUGAAAGGAACACUAAAGGCCUAAAGGCUCAUGUUUGAAACCGUAAUAACCCUGAGGGAUGCAUAACAAGGAGUUACAUUGUCGAAGAGGCUCUGGAAUUUUGUGCAUAAUAUGUUUCAAACAUGCUUACAAUUGGGCUUCCUCUUGGACAUGUUGAAACCCCUUCAAUUGAUAAGCCUUUGCCUGGUGGAAAAUUUGAGCAAGUUGAUCUUUCCUUAAUUCAUCAAGCACACCUGUAUGUGUUGCAAAAAACAGAAGAAGUUCGGCCAUUUAUCAGGUUUGUUAAUGUUUUACCUUUAAUUUGUUCCUUUACUGAAUUAUUUUUAAAGAAUUUGAACAAAAGCUUAAUAUGUAUAUGUCAAAUAUGUAGUGAGCACAUUGAAUGGCUAAAGGGUCAUCAUUCACAAAAAGCCAAGAAUGAAAUAUGGUUGAGCAAUGAGCACAUUGAAUGGCUAAAGGGUCAUCAUUCACAAAAAGCCAAGAAUGAGAGAUGGUUGAGCAAAGAGCACAACUGCAACUUUUCAACUUGACUUAAUAAGAAGGUUAAUAAUAUAUGUUCCAUUAUAUAUUCUUUUUAGUAAAUCUAUUGUCAUGUUUAUACAAUUAUUCAUUCAUUACGAUUAUUAUUAUGUAGGUAUAUGAGAUAAUAGAUGAUGAUGAACAUGUCUCAGACACCUUGAGGUGGUUAUCUCAAGGACCCCAUUCUUUUGUAGUUAAACGCCCAGGAUAUGACAUCAAUGGAUAUCGUUUCCAUACUCGAGAACGAGACGAACAACGAGUUCAUCAAAAUAGUGGAGUUAGUCUUAUUGCAGCAACUUUACAAGUAGCAAGUGCCAAGGACAAAAAUUCUAUCGUUUGUGACAUGUCUUACUAUGGAGUUCUUAACGAAAUAUGGGACAUUGACUACCAUAUGUUUAGAAUCCCUUUGUUCAAGUGUGAUUGGGUUCAAAAUAAUGGGGGUGUUAAAAUUGAUGAAUUUGGCUUCACUUUAGUGGACUUAAAUCACUUGGGUCAUAAAUCAAACUCAUUUAUAUUGGCUUCACAAGAAACACAUGUCUUUUAUGUACUAAUCAACUUGAUAAAAGAUGGUCAGUUGUAAGUCAUAUGCAUCGUAGAGGUGUUCCAAAUAAGACAAGUGCUGAGGAUAUAGCUAUCAUGAUGGAACACAAUCCUUUGACCAAUGGGUUACCAAAUAUUGAAAAUUUAAAUGAUGCGAAUAGAUAUACAAGAGAUGGCAAAUAUGGCAUCUAGAUUGAUGCUUGAAAACGCUGAUGGCCUUCAUUGCUUAUAUGUCUUAUAAUAGUUUUGUGUUACAUUAUCUUUUAUUAUUAUAUGUUCCUUGUAUUGACUUUAGAUUAUUGUUUUUCAUUAUUUAUACUUUAUAUAAUGUUCUAAUACUAAAUGUGGAUUUAUUGCAGAAGCAACCUUAUGGAUAAAGGAAAAGGACUUGCUGAUGAACACUCUAACGAGGAAAGUAUUGAUUAUUUGGGUAAUCAAGAGGUUCCUGAUGAUGGUAAUUCAAGUGAUAAAGAGGUUCCUAAUGAGUUUCCUAAUUCAGAGGAUGAAAAUGAUAUUCCAAAGAGUAGUUCCACUGCGAGAAGACCAACUAAAAACUCUGGUAGGAUGAGGAUGAGUGGUGGGAAGCUUGUAGUCAAGUACAAUAGGCUCGGUGUACCUGUUGGUACUGAAGCUACUGAAUUAGCAAGCUUUAUUGGGCUUUUGGGACGUACUUCUAUUCCAGAUAUUAACCAAGAAUGGAGAAAAGUUACUCCAUAUUUAAAGAGCCGUUUGUGGGAGUUUAUUAAGGUAAAAUGAUUAUUUAUAUUUAUAUCUCAGAAUUGAAUAAUGUAUAUGUUAAACUAUUUGAUCAUUAUGCUAUGUAUUUUUCUCAGUAACGUUUUAUUGUUCAUCCAAAUAGUAAGAAGCAAGUUUUUCAAGCACUUGGUAGUGCAUUUAGAAACUUUAAGUACUUCCUCACCAGAAAGUAUAUCUUGCCACACAAGCACAAUCGUAAAAGGUUGAAGAGGCCACAUUUUCAGUACAGUCAUAUUCCUCAAAAUGUUUGGGAUAAAUUUGUGAAUUUUAGAUUGUCCACUGAGUUUGAGGUGAAUACUUUUAAAUGUUAAACAUUUAGGCAUUUUAUAAAACCAUCUUUAAAUCUAAUUAAGGACUGUUUUAUGUAGAGAAUUAGGCGUCAACAACAAAAUAAGAGGGCUAAGAACAAGUGGAACCAUCGUUUAAGUAAAAAAGGAUAUGCUGGAUUGCUUGAUGAAAUUGUAAGUAAUAUGAUACUAACUUGACCAUUCUUGUAUAGAUAUUGGUAUAGAGAUGGUUGGUUUGAUGAUGAUAAAUUGGUAAACCUUUUGUUUUAAUUUACUACUUAGAAUUCGUGGUUAGUUAAGGAUGCAUACCAGCUAUGAUAUUAUUAUUAUUUUAAACUACAGUGCUCGGAAACUGGACUUGUCGAAACUGAAGGUGACAGGAGUAUAGCAUGGAAGCAUGCUAGGAAGAUGAAAAAAUGUGAAUAUGACCUUGAUGCUGAAUCAGUUGUAAAGAAGAUUGUGAGUAAUAGCAAGUUUUUUUUUUCAAUUAGGCUCUAUUGGAAAGAAUUUGAUAUUCAUCAAUAUGAUUAUUAUACAAUUAGGAUGCAGUAGAGGAGAAAGCUAAAAGAGAAUUUAAAGCUGAUGCAAGAAAUGAUAUUCUUGCAAGUUCAAUUGGAAAGCCUGCCACUUCUGGACAUAUGCAGGGUGUUGGGAAAUUUAUAUCGCCUAAGAUGUACUUUGACACCCCAAACAAUUUAUUUCAGAUGCGACAAGAGAGACUAAACAUACUACAGAGGUUAGAUAAGCAAGAAGCAGAGUUGAGUGAUCUGAAGAAGAAGAUUAAAAAGCAACCUCGACAUUCAAAUGUUGGAAGCUCAAACUUUCCAUUAGAUGAGCAAAUAAUUGAAGAUGAAGCUGAAGAAAUGACUGCUCGUAAUGAGGACAAGGUAUGAUAUAGAUUGUUGUGCACAAUUAAGUUAAAAAAUGACUUAAACAUUUUAUUUUAGACAAUUUUAGCCGUAGUCAAAACCGUAAUUACAAUCUUAUUUUGUUUGUUUUUUAGGCUUGUCAGUCAAUCGGCAUGACAAGGAAUUGAUCACCUGUAAAGAAGAAGCAUGAAACACUGACUAAGGAAGAAGAAAGAAUCACCAAAGCAACAAGUGAUUGUUGAUUGUCCUAGAGACAAGCCAAAAAGUUUUAAGAAAAGGCAAUCAUCAAGAAAGAAGAAAGAAGAAAUAAUCACCAAAGCAACAAGUAAUUGUUGAUUGUCCUAAAGACAAACCAGGCAGUCCAAUGAAAAGGCAAUCACCAAGAAAGAAGAAGGAAUCACCAAUGAAGCCUCACAAGAAACCAAGAAUGACUCUUGAUUGUCCAGGAGACAAACCAUACAGUCCAAAGAAAAAGACAUCACUAAAAAAGCCUCAAGAGAAGCCAUUGUCAAGAAGAAGAACAAGGAAUUAUCAUAUUGUGCAUAUGAACCGAGUUAUUGGGAUUGUAAUAUUUGGAAAUCUUUGUGAAAAGAACUUGGCUCAAACGGGUUAUUACGUACCUUAUCAGGGGAAUGAAGACCAUUUGGGUUCAUACACACAGGACUUUUAUCAUCAGCCCACGAUAAGGAUGCCUUUGCUACAAGGGUAGAAGGGCACAAUUUAUUGUCAAACGGUUGAACAAAGCAAACAAAGGGCAAAUGAUUUUCAUGCCAUAUAACCCUUGGUACAGUUCUAUUUACUUUCUAUUAAUGAUCAUUUACUAAAAUUGAUUCAUAAUUUCAAUUUCUUUGUGUAAUAGUUUCCAUUGGGUGUUGAUUGUAAUUGAUAUGACGACAAAGCAAGCAUUUUAUCUAGAUUCUACGAACAACGAUUUGGGUGACGACAGUGACCUAAAGGACAUAGUUACCAAGUAUGGUGAUAUUGUAUUUCUAAUAUAAUUUUAUAUAUCAUGUUUAUUUACUAACUGCAUGUAUUGUAAUGUAGUGGGAUUUCAAUGCAUGUUGUGAUGAUUGGUAAAAAAAGGGUGAAACCACAUAUCACAAAAGUUUUGGUAAGCAAUCAUGACUUUUUUUUCUUUUUUUGCAGCACAUGACUUGUUAAUAUUUAAUCACUUGAAAGAAUUCAUAUGCAUUUGUAUUAAUGAUUAUUCUGUUGAUGAUAUAGUCCCCAAAUCAACCAGGGAGUACUAAGUGUGGAUACUAUGUGCUGAGGUUUAUUAAAGACAUAAUUGCAAAUCCGAGUUUACUUCUCCAUGAUGUAAGUACACAUUCUUUCAGAUGCGUUGUAGGAUUACUUCACUUAUUACCUUUAACUAUAUAUAGUUUACUUUAGUCUGACAUGUGAUCAUCAUUUAACAUUUUAAAGGGAAAUGUGAAUACACUCAAAGUGAGCUUGAUGAAGUGCGUCUCAAGUAUGCUUCCUUUGUGUAUGAGCUAAUAGUAUGAGCAGCGGAGUUGAUGAUGUGUAGUUUUUUGAAGUUCUAAUUAUUGGUGGUAUUAUGGUAGUAUUUUGAAUUUCUAAGUGGUAGUGAAUUUGAUAAAGUCCUUAUGGAAUUUCAAAUUCCUUGUUACUAGAAGAUGAUAUUGUUUUGUUCCAACACUAUGUUUAUCAGCCUGGAAGUGUAAGAUCUGGAUCAGCUUGGUAGUGUUUCAGAUGAUAUAUAGUGUUGUGAUGUUUUUGUAUGUUGGUAAUGAUCGAGAAGGUAGUGUUGGGAUGUAUUAUUGUGAUAAUUGAAUAGAUUAUUUUUUACAAUGUUAUGGUUAUUUCAAGUGAUGUUUUGAUGAUAUUGUUGAGAUAAUUUUGAUGUAUUGAUUUUAUACAUAUUUUGAUUUUUAAAUUUCAAUGGAAUUUAUAAAUUUAUAAAAUAAUAAUAUUAAUAAUAUUAUUUAAUAAUAAUAUUAUUUAAAAUAUUAAAAUUAUUUUCUAAUUUAAAAUUAUUUAAAAUAUUAAAAAUUAUUUUCUAAUUUAAAAACAUUAAAAAUUAUUUUAAUAUUAUUAUUAUGUAAAAAAAGAUUCUCAUCAUGACACCAUAUUAACAUCAUAAAGCUGCGACACAUAAUUACCCGCUAUAAUUUAAAGUUGAAUUCAUAACACCCGCCAAAAGUUUUUUCACAAUAAAACAAAUUUACCACCAAAAUAUUAAAACGACGUCGCCUUUUUUGUGUCAUUUUUGUGAUCGCUAUAAGCUGUCACAUACUCCUGUGAUAGAUAAAUUACUGUCACGGAUUUAUCACAGGGGAUACAAUUACAGAUCGAAACUCUGUCAUAAAGAGGGUCGGAUGACAGAUAUUCUCUGUCAUGAUAGCCCAUUUUUCUAGUAGUGAUUCAUGGUUUUCUUAAGAUUUUACAUCAUCUUAGCUUUAUGCAUUUAAUGAGUAAGAUUUUAUAUCAUCUUAGCUUUAUGCAUUUAAUGAGGGGUAAGGUUUACUAUAUCCCCUAAUUAAUUGUGUUAAUUCUAUUAUUUAUAGAGUUGUUAUUUUAUGGCAAGUCUAAUAAAUUAAAUUUUUAUUUACUGAAUAUCAUGUAAUAUGUUUUAAUUUAUUAAAUUCCUAACUAAUUUAAUGAAAUUCCAAGAUUUCCCAUGGAGAUAGGCAACUCACCAAAAGAUAUAUUUUGUGAAAGGUCAAGUUCUUUCAAAGAACUAAGAUUUCCAAUGGAAAUAGGCCACUCACUCGACAAAAAAUUUGCAGAGAGAUCAAGUUCUUCCAAUGAAUGAAGAUUACCAAUGGAAAUAGGCAACUCACCCUGUAAUUCAUUUAAUGAAAUGUCUAAAUGAAGGAGCCUCGAUAGAUUACCGAGUGAAGAUAGAAUUCUUCCUGAAAUUUGUUAACAAAAAAAUUUAACAAAAUUCAGACAAACCAUUGCCAGCAAGCAUUGUUUAAACAUUGAAUGGAAAGGCAAGUAAAGAAUUGAACAAACCUGAUGCUAGAAAUCGAAUUUGAAAGGGAACAAAGCAUUGAAAUCCUGCAAUUCAGAAAAAAAAAAAUUUUUAAAACGACAUACUAAAUUAAAUGAUUGAGCAAUUUAAAAUUUUAAUAAAAGGACAAAGUAUAAGCUUCUUGAAUUAAAAAAAUAAAAAAUAACCAAUGAAACAAACAAGAAUUAAAAAAAUAAAUAAUAAAGAUAAACCAUUCAUGAUAGAAAUCCCAAAAACAGGGCAUAAAGUAUGAACAAAUAAGGGAGAUAACAACAAAACUGACAAAUAAUUUUAUAAUGCCCAACUAAUUUAUUCAAAAUAAAAAAUAAAAAGCUAAUUGACAAUAGACCUAAGGAUUCAGCAAUUACAAGGAUGGCUUCUCCACCGCCAAUUAAACAAUGCAAAGAAAUAGUAACAACGACAGCUUUAAUAGCGAACGUGUUGUUCGAAGGCGCAACAAUGAGCAUAUAUGGUGAUUUUGUGCCUAAAAAUUUAUAAUGAAGUGGUUGCUUCAAUAGCAUAUACGAUGAUUUUGGUUUCCAUGCAAUGGAUUUCAAAACCAAUUUGUAGAUUAAAGUAGGGCUUGUUAAUCAUGGAUUUUGAGGGGUUUCAAUGCUUAGGUUUCUCAGCCCUUGCCGAUGAUUUUGGUUUCCAUACAAUGGAUUUCAAAACCAAUUUGUAGAUUAAAGUAGGGCUUGUUAAUUAUGGAUUUUGAGGGGUUUCAAUGCUUAGGUUUCUCAGCCCUUGCCGAUGGAGUGAUGAAGUCAAAGGAGCUGAUGUGUUUAUUAAAAAUUAGAAUUUUGUUGUAGUUUAAAGUCUAUAGUAAACGACAGUGUUUAGAAGUUAAAAAAUAUUUUUAUUUUUAAAAUUUUUUAAAUUAUGAAAAAUCAACACACAGUGUCGUUUCAUGCCCAAAUUGAUCAAUCCUAAACUCACCGUUUCAUUAAAUAUUAAUAUGCUAUCAUAUUUAUAUGAUGUAUAAAAACUCUAUCACAAAUUUAUCAUGCCUUUAUGAUGUAUGAAAAUUAUGUCACGGGUCUAUCAUAUUCUUGUGAUGAAUGACUAAUUUUCUAAUAUCUAUCACAAAAAUUGUCAUGUUAGCCCAUUAUUCUAGAGUGAGAUAUUUAUCCAACCAGACUACAAAGUAAUUGACAUUAAUUGUAACACCUAUGGCCAAAACUUGGACCCAGUGUUAUUCUAUAAUCAAAAUUGAAACCUAUAAUUACAGUCAACUUGAAUCUGAAUCAAAUGGGCAAAUGCGAGCAAACGCCUUCUCUAGGCUCUAACCAUGAAACAAUAAUCAAAUCGUCAGACUUCUAAAAUAAGCCAAUGAAACAUUACUCACAAACCCAUCUAUUAACAUCUUUAAAGCUUUGGCACUGAAACUUAAAAGAGAGUUUUGUGUUAAAUAGUAUUGAAAGUAAACACAACAGCAAUUAUAUAUAGCAAAGAUUAGUGGGAAAACAGAUGUAUUAAAAUUGUUUUUGACUCCCAAUUCUGCCAGAAUAAAAUAAAUGAGCGUAACAAGCAACCGGACCACAGAGAAAGAUAUCUCCAACACCAUAAGCGGUCGCUUCUGAAAAUGCAUUCUGGUUGCAGCUCUAGUUCUUCUCACGGUACAAGUGCAACAAAUAUAACUUCACCAACCUGCUGUCAUCGUUUAGCAAAACCCCUAACUAACAACACCCACUAAUAAUAUUCUAAAUAAUUUAGCCCGCAUACAUUUAACAUUUAUUUUAAAAAAAAUCUAACAAUCCAGCAUUUCAUGGGCCACAAGACUAUAUAUAUAUAUAAGCAACUAAACAUUCCUUGGUCCACAUGACCAAACUUCCCGCUUCUGAAAAUGCAUUCUGGUUGCAGCUCUAGUUCUUGUCACGGUACAAGUAUGCGUACUGUUGGUAACAGCAAAUCCAAAUGCAGCAGAAGGAUGCUCCUCUUCCCAAUCAACAAAAAAGUAUUGUCAUUCAUUAUGUGAAAAAAUUUUAAAUCAGAAAUUGGAGGCCAAUUGUGUUCGAAACUCUGAUAUUUUACUUCGAUCGAUCCAAAACCAAAAAUGAAAAUGAAUACUCGAGCAAUAUUCAAAUAUCGAAAGAGCAUAUUUUCAAAAUUAAGUGAGGAAAAAAAUUUUCAGUAUCAAUUAUCAUCAACGGGUUCUUGAUGUUAAGUAUAAGCAUUAAAAUGAGCUGCUCAGGUCGUCUGAUGAAUCAGCAAGCUCUUAAGCAAUAUGCUGAGUCAUCAGCCACGUCAGCAGUCAGUUAUGGAGGCUGUUGCUUUGCUUAAGAAGCAUCUGGACAUGUAUAUAUAAACCCCUGUAAUCCCAAAUGUUGUUACAAGCGGCCGAGGUCACGCUCAUGAUUUUGUUGCUUAUAGAAGCUCCUGGACAUAAACCCCCGUAAUCUCAGUUCAUUUUGUAGCUUAAUGAAAUGAAUUUGGCUCACUAUUCUUCUAUCAAAACUUUUAGUAUUUUCCCUUCACCGCAAACAAACACAGCAACAUCUUUUAACUCUUGAAAUCUUCCAGCUCCGGUGCAAGCCUCAGUCGCAAUGUAUUCACUGGAUGGCACAUCUUCACCCCGACUUUUCGGUAAAGUGAAUUAAAGCUUUCAGAACGACGCAUAAAACUUUAAAUUGUUCCUGUAACACACAGAAAAUCUUUAGUUCGGUAUCGUAAAUUCAAUUUCUUAUAAUCUCAUUAAUAUACUUUUUGAAUUUUAUUGUGAUCUUCAUUAGGCGUCAAUUUUUAUUUUUCAUUUUAAAAAAAAGCACUUCCGGAGUCUUUGUAACAUCUUUUUCUUUUAAUUUAAAAUUAGAUAUAUCAAACUUAUUCAUCGGGGUUUUGUUACAUUUCCUUUAUUUUCAAUAAUUAAUUUGUUAUCUAAUUGGUCAAUAAAUUUGCUUCUUGUUUGUCCCGUACACUAAUAUAGAUGCUGUUUAUUUCUUAAGUUUUGAUAUAGGAAUGACCAAGGACAGAUGCAGGGGCACCGUUUUAAGUCAACCAAAGUUAAAGAUGAUUCGAACCCAUAGUUGUUGCAUAAAAACCUUUGUUAUCUUUACUUUUGUUGUCAAAAUUAUUAUUAUUAUAAUUUUUUUAAUGGUAGAAGUAGAACCUAAUCCCCCACAAUUAUCAUUUAAUAAUAUGUUAAUUACCAAACACUAUUAUUUUUUAUUCAUACCUAGUAGUGAUUUAAAUUUGAAAAGCGACAAAACCAGAAACCAGUUUUUAAUAUAUAAUAAACUAGUUUAUAUUUUUAUUUUUUGAGGAGAAAUGUAAGGAUCCUUUAAGAAAAAAAAACCACCAACAUUACAAUGACAGAAUUAGAAACGAAAAUCACAACAACAUUCUAAUUGCAUUUAAUUUCUACGUCUCCUCCUCCUCCUCGUUGCCUUUUGCUGCGUUCCCAACUUCUCCAGAAUCCAUCCGAUAAUUCCUGUGCUGAAGUUGAACCCGAGAACCAAUCCUGCCACAAGUCCGCCCGCGUAGCCAACCAGAAUGAUUUUCCAAUCAGAUGCGCCUGAAAACAGAGACUCCUCUGAGCCCUCAGUAUGAUCUUCAUUUGCUGGAGCUUCAUUACUCUCACAUCCUUUGGACAAAGGCCUUCCACACAAUCCUGAGUUGCCGUCGAAAGAAGUAUUGUCAAAUGUAGCAAAUUGCUUUCCUUGUGGUAUCAGUCCUGUAAGGUGAUUGUCCGAGACAUUGAAGAAUUCGAGAAAUGUGAGCUCAACUAGUUGUUGAGGAAUCUGUCCUGAAAACUUGUUGUUUGAGAGAUCCAAUGAUUCCAAAUUGGUUAGAUUGCCCAAACAUGACGGAAUAUGGCCUUGGAGAUUAUUGUUCUGGAGGUUUAGAACUUGAAGUCCCUUUAAAUUUGCAAUCGAUGCUGGAAUCGCCCCAUCAAAACUAUUGUUUGAGAGAAUAAUGCCUGCUAGGAUAUCCGGAAUCUUGUUAUAUGUCAUCAUUCGCCCUUUGCUGUUCAUUGUCAUUGAGUAGUCGUAAGUGCUAAGUAUAUCAUUGGACGUUUGUCCAUAUGGAGAAAGCACAUCUUGCAGAUAUCUUAGCUCACUUGUAU
rnacentral:lncRNA from 1 species